AAGAAGAAGAAGUGGAGAGAAUUGAUGAUGGAAUGAAUGAGAAAUGCCAUGGGGGGCCCUAUUUAUAGGUUUUCUGGUGACUCUUAGAAGAGAUGUGUCUUAAAUACUUGACAUAUCUUUUGACACAAGUUGUGUCCAUUAGGAAGAGUUGAGUCUAAUUGAAACAGUAUGUCUUAAUUUCCAUUCACCUAUAAAUAUCCCAACAAUCCCCCACAUGAAUGGAAAUUGACUUAAAAAAAGCAAAUGGAAAACUAAUUAAACAAUCAAGAUAGUACAAAAUUGGAAAGUGAUUGCAUCAGGAUAGGUAGUUUGUGGCUUUGAACCUUCCUUAGCGAAAUACUAUCGGAUUUACUAGCUAAUCAUUGAAUGUGAUGUCUUGAACUGUUCAGCUAUUGAUGUAAAUCAAGACAAUAGUAUUCACACAAUUCCUUUCUGGAUCACCAUUGAUUCUCACGGUUGUGUUCAUUUUGGCCUUGAACAAUUCCCUGUUUCAUGAGUGCUUUAGAGAAUUUUAGCCUUAAAAAUUCUCAUAGAAACGACCCCAUUUCACACUCACAUAGGUGAUUCCUAUGGCGAGUUUUCUACCAUACUCCACUUGAACUCUUUCAAAUUAUUAGAAUCAUUAAAAGCAUAGCUUAUCCUAGACACAUCUUGUAUAGCACUAGUUCACCAUAGGAAUGGGUAGGAAUUUAUUUUUCCCUAGUGUUCUUCACAAAGUAUUUCAUAAUUUAGUUGUCCUCAUUGAACCUAGAUCUUGGGAUCUCCAAUCAACUAGGUUGGGUUUCCAUUAUGAAACUCUUUAGUGAUAGGCCUUAAUCCCAUUUCUCUCGAUGAGCAGUUUACUUGAUCUCUAGACAAUCCUUUAGUUAGUGGAUCCGCCAGGUUGUCCUUUGACUUAACAUAAUCAAUGGAAAUAAUUCCAUUUGCAAGUAACUACCUUACAGUAUUAUGUCUAUGACGGAUGUGUCGAGACUUACCAUUGUACAUGCUACUUUGUGCCCUUCUAAUUGUUGAUUGGCUAUCACAAUGUAUACAUAUUGCAGGCACUGGUUUUGGCCAGCAUGGAAUGUCUUUUAGAAAAUUAUGAAGCCAUUCUACUUCUUCUCUUGUUCUAUCUAAAGCAAUAAAUUCAGAUUCCAUCGUUGAUCUUGCAAUACAUGUUUGUUUAGAUGACUUCCAUAAUAUUGUAGUGCCACCAAUUGUGAGUACAUAUCCACUUGUGGACUUUGAGUCCUUCGUAUCAGAUAUCCAAUUUGCAUCACUAUAUCCUUCUAGUACGACUGUAUACCUUAAAUAAUGAAGUCUAUAGUUUAGGGUGUAUCUUAGAUAUCUAAGAACCCUAACCAAUGCCUUCCAAUGGUCUUUCCCGGAUUAUUAGUGAACCUACUUAGUUUAUUAACUGCGUAGGCUAUGUCUAGACAUGUGCAGUUCAUGACAUACAUUAAACUACCAAUGAUACAAGAAUAUUCCAACUAGUCAAUUGCAUGUUGGACCAUUAUUUUUAGCUAAAUGUAGAUUUAAAUCUAUUGGUGUCUUAAUUGGACUAUCAUCAUAUUGGUUAAACGGUUUAAGAAUUUUCUCAAUGUAAUGACAUUGAGAUAAUAUUAGUCCACUAGAUGUCUUGGCUAUUUUUAUACCUAAGAUCACGUCUACGACACCCAUGUCUUUCCUAUCAAAAUAAUUGGUCAGCAUUUUCUUGGUAGCUUUAAUAACAUCAUUAUUGCUACCAAUAAUUAAUAUAUCAUCCACGUACAGGCACAGAAUGACAUACUCACUUUGUGUAUUCUUUGUAAAUACACAUUUAUCACAUUCAUUAAUUUUAAAAUCAUUUGACAACAUUACUUUGUCAAAUUUCUCAUGCCAUUGUUUUGGUGCUUGUUUUAGCCCAUAUAGGGACUUUAUCAGCUUAUACACUUUCUUUUCUUGUCCAAGAGCAACAAACUCUUCAGGUUGUUCCAUAUAUAUUUCUUCUUCUAACUUGCCAUUUAAAAAGAUUGUCUUAACAUCCAUUUGAUGAAUUUCCAAAUUAUGCAAUGUUGCGAUUGCAAUUAACACUCUAAUAGAUGUUAUUCUCAUAACUGGUGAAUAUGUAUCAAAGAAAUCAAGGCCUUCCUUUUGUUUAAAUCCUUUGGCUACCAAUCUAGCCUUGUACUUAUCUAUUGUUCCAUCAGGCUUCAUUUUUUUCUUGAAGAUCCAUUUUCAACCCAAAGGUUUAUUUUCUGGUGGUAAAUCCACCAAUUUCCAUGUGUGGUUAUGCAUGAUGGAUUCAAUUUCACUAUUGAUAGCCUCUUUCCAAAAUAGGGCUUCUGGUGUUGACAUUGCUUCUUUGAAUGUCUUGGGUUCAUUAUCUAACAUGUAAGUUAGAUAAUCUGAGCUAAAAGACUUUGUCUUCUUGGCUCUCUUACUGUGUUUUGGUUCUUCUUCAUUUUGAUGAUUACCAUUUGCAGUAUCAUAUGUUCUCUUAUUUGAACUUACUUCUUGCUUUUCUUUACAAGAAAAAAUAUUCUAAAAAAAUUACGCAUUCCUAGACUUAAUAAUUGUAUCUUCAUGUAUAUUAGGAAUGCCAGACUUAUGUACAAGAAAACGAUAUGCACUACUAUUGUUUGCAUAUCCAAUAAAUAUACAAUCAAUAGUUUUAGGCCCAAUCUUAACUUGUUUAGGUUUUGGCACUCCUACUUUAGCCAAACACCCCCACACUUUCAAAUAUUUGUAAGAGGGUUUGUGACCCUUCCAUAACUCAUAUGAAGUUACAUCCUUAUUCUUGUGUGGUAUCUUGUUAAGAAUGUGGUUUGCAGAAAGAAUUGGUUCUCCCCAUAAGUUUUGGGGUAGACCCGAACUUAUCAACAUAACAUUCAUCAUUUCCUUUAAUGUACGGUUCUUGUGCUCAGCAACACCGUUCGAUUGAGGUGAAUAAGGUGCAGUAGUUUGGUGGAUUAUUCCAUGUUCAAAACAAAAUUCUCCAAAAGGAGCUUCAUACUAUCCACCUCUAUCACUUCUUAUUGCCUUAAUCUUUCUACUAAGUUGAUUUGCAACCUCAUUCUUGUAGUGUUUAAACACAUCUAAGGCCUUAUCUUUGCUUCUUAGUAAAUACACAUAGCAAUAUCUUGUACAAUAAUCUAUAAAGGUAAUAAAAUACAUUUUCCCUCAUCUUGUUUGUACAAACUUUAAGUCACAGAUAUCACUAUGAAUUAUAUCUAGAGGUUCUGUGUUCCUUUCAAUUGAAUGAAACGGUGGCUUAGCCAUCUUGGUUUCCACACACACUUCACAUUUAUGUUUAAAAUCAAUGCUAAAAGAAGGUAACAAAUUUAUGUUAAUCAACAUUUUUAAAGUUUUAUUGUUAACAUGUCCUAACCUAUCAUGCCACAAUGUAAAAGACUCAAUCAUGUAAACAGAAGUACUUGCUUUAUUAUUAUUGAAAUCACGCUUAAUAGUCAUUACAUUCAUCUUAAACAGGUCAUUUGUCAUAUACCAUUUGCCCACAUACGUCCCAUUUUUCAUGAAUACAAAUUUUUCAAACUCGAAAACUAACUUGAACCCAUUUUUGCUAAGCAUAGAACCAGAAAAAAAGAUUCCUGCAAAUAUCAGGCACAUGUAGCACAUUCGUGAGAACAAGUUCUUUUCCAGAAGUCAUCUUUAGCACCACUUUUCCAAUUCCCACAACCUUAGAUGUGGCAGAAUUUCCCAUGAUCAAAUUUCUACCAUUGACUGGUACAUAUGUAGAGAACAUGUUUCUUUCUCUACAAACAUGACGAGUGACACCCAUGCCAACCCACCAUUUGUUUACGUUAUCGACCAUGUUGACUUCAAACAGUACCAAUGCAGAAAGCAUGUUUGCCAACUCCUCUUCCUCAGUCACAUGUGCUUUAUUUUCCUUGCUUUGUCCUUUCAAGCGACAAUCCUUGGCCCUAUGGCCUUGCUUAUUGCAAAUGUAACACUUCCCAAGAAACUUCUUGUAUUUGUUCUUCCCUUGACUUAGACUUUCACCAAAGUGUUUUCUCUUUUUAUUAGCCUUUGGUUCCACCAAGUUUGCCUUGGACUCCAUGGGAUGUUUUCCCACUUUCUUCUCAGAGACACAAUUAUCUUCCUCAAUUUUUAGUCUCACAAUCAAGNNNNNNNNNNNNNNNNNNNNNNNNNNNNNNNNNNNNNNNNNNNNNNNNNNNNNNNNNNNNNNNNNNNNNNNNNNNNNNNNNNNNNNNNNNNNNNNNNNNNGAUGUAAUUUUUGCAUAGAAAAUCUGAAUGUUUCCAUGCUUCAACUACUGCCACAAUUUUCUUGUUAGUCUCUCCCUCCUUUAAGGUAGGUGCAUCUUCAUGCAACACUUUGGCCAAGUUAAGUGUUGUGAGAUAAAACAACAUCUUUUGUUGCCACCGCUUGAAGUCCAACCCAGUGAAUUUCUCUGGUUUCUCACCAUGGGUAGUAGUAGGUGUGACAACAGGAGUAUCAAUAAUAUUUGUAAAGACCAUGUUAUUAACUGUAUUAAAAACACAGAUAUAAGCAAAAGAUUAAAAAAAAAUUGUCUUAAGAUUGUUAUUCUUGAAUUAUCACAAAUGUAUGGUCAAAUAAUUAUGUAUAAUAAAUAAACAAGAAGGUAAGUAAAUAUUGAAUCUUACAAACGGUUGAUCGAGGCUAGAAUUUGACUUUAUGUCCUUAAGAUGAAUUUGCCCUGCACUGGUACUUACGAUUUGUUGACAAUCGUCUCCUAGGAUACAACGAUCACUUUCUUGUGAUAGUAGCACUCCAGAUCAUAAGAAACGGUGAAUCACUUGAUGACUUGAACUCUCUUGAAUACAUAACACUUGGAAGAAAUGAGAAGAAGUGGAGAGAAUUGAUGGUGGAAUGAAUGAGAAAUGCCAUGGGGGGGGGGCUAUUUAUAGGUUUUCUGGUGACUCUUAGAAGAGAUGUGUCUUAAAUACUUGAUAUAUCUUUUGACACAAGUUGUGUCCAUUAGGAAGAGUUGAGUCCAAUUGAAAUGGUAUGUCUUAAUUUUCAUUCACCUAUAAAUAUCCCAACAUAUAUUAUGGUCAUCGUCAUGUAUCUGCAUUUUCAUAAAUAAAUAAAUGAAAAGGUUUAACAUAUUAUUUGAUUAAAAUAUAUAAAAUAAUCUAAAUGUAUAAAUCUCACUCUCCUCGUGUUUAAACUUGAAAAGCAAUCUGUUUUUUUUUAUAAAUGUCCUUUAAUAUUUUGAUUAUUUAUUUGUAAGUUUUAAAAAAGAAUAUUAUUUUUUAGUGGUCUAACUUAGGUGCUAACUCGAUGUUUGAAUGGUCUUGAACAAUCAUUUGCAAUACUUGGAUUGAGUUUGGAUUAGGCUUUUUCCAAACCAAGUUCAAUUUAUGAGUUGACUCGGAUUAAGGUUCAAACAAUUCAAGCCUAAUUCAAACCUAUGUUUUUGUAAUAUUUAUUAUGUAUACUAUCCUAUAUAAUAAUAUUUAUUUUCUUUUUAAAUUUUUAAGAAAAAAAUAUCAAAUUAUGUUAUAUCAUAUAUAUUUUUUUAUUUUUUAGAAAGAUAUAUAAACUUAUUUUUACUUUUUUUGUUAUUAUCUUGCAAUUUUGUUCUAUUUAUUACUUAAAUUUUAAUAUAAAUAUAUAAUUUUUUUUUUAAGAAACAUUAUAGAUAGAUUUUAAAUUAUAUAACUUAGUCAACCCGACCAACCUGAACUUGGAGAAAUGAUAUUAGGUUAAGUUUGGGUUGAGUAUUCAUGUCAAAGGUUAAGUUGAACUUAGAUUUAUCGUUUCUUAAUUUGAGUUGGGAUUGGAUUAGUCAUCAACUCAUCCAAGUUGCAACCUUAUUGUUCUUAAAAGAAAAAAGCAAAGAUAUAUAUUUUUUUUAAUAAAAAAUUUGUAUUUUUUUAAGCUAAAAGAAUGUGGAAGGUUAGAUUUACAAAUUGAGGAUUAUUUUCAAAUAACCCUAUAUAUAUAACCUUGUAUAUUAAUAAGAGAUUAUGACAAUAAUAUUUGUUUGCAUUAUUUAUCUUUUUAGUGUGGAAUAAAUUAGUGAUGAUAAAUCAUCUUCAAACCUUUUCUCUUUGCUCAUCUCUACUCAUUGAAUUUAUUUAAGUUAAUUAAUAAUUCAAUUGUUUCUAGUUAAGAAACUAAUAUAUAAAAAAAACACAUUGAAAACACCAUGCGACGUCGACUUUAUAAACGGGUAUGUUUAAUACUUUGUAGUUAUAUCGUGAUUGACAUUUUAUUUGAAUAUUUAUUUCUCAACUCCAUUUCAAGAAGAAGAAAAUGUGAAAAAGAAGAAUUUUAUAUAAAUAUACGUACUUUUAUUUUUAUAUAUAGCAUUUUUCUCAAAUAAUAGACUCAAUUCUUGUCUAUAUUUACAACACAAAAGGGAACAAAUCCAUCUAAAAAGGGUCAACGUCAUCAAUCAAGUGAUGCCACUUAUAUAUUUUUCAGAUCCAUUGUUUAUAUCAUAAUCCCAUUUUAUUUGUACCUUUAUAAAUAAGUUCCAUUCGAUUAUAACAUCGUUGACUAAGCACACAUAUUCAAUGAUCGGAAUUCCUUGUUUAGACACGGCUUAGGUGCCAUAACAUUUUCUUAAAAAGAAAAGGUUUUUGGUUGAUGAUGGAGUAGUUCCUGAAUUGGGAAUAGAUCAUGAGAAAAGAAGAAACACAACAUGCUUUCUUAUGGAGACUGACCUAAGUCAGCUCUAUUAUUAAUCAAGCAAACUCGUAAUACAUAGUACUUCUGGACUAUAUAUAUAUAUAAUCCAACACUUAGAAACCACAGUCCAAAUCAACCCAUACAUAUGUCACAUGCGCCCAAGCUAUAUUAUUCUACCCCAAGCCACAGCCACUCCUUCAUCCUAUAUAUAUAGUACCAGUUUAUCUUUUCAUUUUCAAGGGCUUGGUGGGCUACAUCCUCGAUUUUUCUUGGAACACGGAGUUGGUUUUGGUUUGGGAUUGCAGUUUCUGUAAGCUUUUCCAGGUUCACAGUUGGAGCCUGCUGUAAUGCCCACCUUAUGAUCAGUACUCAUCAUUUCUGCAAGAUCCAUGUAAGAUAUCAUCAACACAAACAACAUCGAGACAAUAUUUAUACUAACAGCAAAAAAAACAAAAACAAAAAAAAACUUCUUUUAUAUUAGAAAAGAUGGAAGUGAAAGGAUUUUUCUUAUCCAAUUUUUAUUUAUAGCUAUAUAACUUAUAUAUGACAAAGAGGAAAAACAGCAGCUCAUGCAUGAUUAGGAUUGGCAACGGGGCGGGUUUGGGCAGGGCCACCCCUACCCCAUUCCCGUCCCAAUUAUAUAAAUCUAUUUCCCAUCCCCGUCCCAUACCCGGGGCAGGGCAGGUUAAUGGGAUCCCAUCCCUAUAUCUCUCGGGGCAGGGCGGGGUCGGGUGCUAGCCCAUGCCGUCGGGACCAUCAACAGCAUCUUCCAAUUCCGAAACAGUUUCAAAAUCUCGACGGCCUCUGUCAACACAUCGGAGUACUUGAUGUUGGUACAGUGGCUGCCGUUGUCUCGAACCACGCGGCUCGGGUGCAGGAUCGCCAGCGUGAGGACGGUGUUGACGGACAUGAAGCACAUGAACCUAAUGUAAGUACCGUCGUUCACGGACGCAGCCUCGCUCCGGUUGUAGUUCAGAAUGAAGGGGAUGAGCCCGCCGAUGAUGCCCCCCAUAUUGAAGAUGCUCCAGAACAGCGAUAUGUAUGAAGCCUUCCUCCCAGACGGGGGGGUAUGACGUCAUGAUAGCUCCCUGCCCCGCCUAGAGCAGUCCUGUUCCGAUUCCAAGAAUGGCGUCAGCGACAAUGGCGAAGCCUUGGUGUUGGUAGUGGUUGUAGUAAAGGAAAGAGUCGGCGUAGAGGACUAGGUUGAGCAAUUGACUCUUCAUCUUCCCCAAACCCCAUUUCUCUUCUUACUCAUUAAAUCAUAUUAAAUUCAAACCCAGAGUCUAUUGGUAAUUAUAAUUUUUGGGCGGGGCGGGUAACUAUAAACCCAUACCUGCCCCAAGCUCGAUUCAGGUUUCACAAAAUUAUCCCAUACCCGUUCCAAUAGGGGCGGGGUGGGGCGGGUGACCCGAUUGACCUGUGAAAUUGUCAUUCCUAUGCAUGAUUGUGUAUUCCUAUAUACAUACAUACUAAUAUUUUCCAAAAAAAGAAAUGAAAUAAUCAAAAUAUAGGUCGUUGAUUUACAUCCAAGAAAAUAUUAAUGAUAUGGACUGAAAUUUUAUUAAUAGAAACUUAAAUAUAAAAUGGAUGUAGAAAAGGAAAUUACCAUUUUGAACCAACUCUCGAGCGCUAAGUACGCAAGAGGGAAAGAGAAGGACUGAAAUCAAGAGAGAGCAUACAAGGAUAGCCUUCAUGGUGAUGGGAGAUUGAAGUAGGCUAUGCUAAACUUUCUCCCCUGCUGCCCUUAUUUAUAAUAAUGGGAUUCGCAUGUGUAGAUCGGGAAAAAGAUAUGGCAAUUUUUAUUUAUUUAAAAGUAUGAAGGACAAGGUGUCCCACAAAAAAACAAAGCAAGGAUGACUCGCUCUCUCAAUUAUCACAAUACUCCAAAUAAUUCAUAUCAUAGAAAGCAAAGAAUCCUAAUACAAUAAAAUAAAUUAUGAACUCGUUUAACAGUAAAUUUAAGAAGUGUUUCUAAUAUUUUUAAUACAUGAAAAAUUAUAUUAUUCAAAUAUUUAAAAAAUUAAAAAUAUGUUUUAAAAUCAUUAUCAAAUGCACUCUAAAUAAUUAAGAUUUAUCCCUUAAAAGAGAUUUGUUUUUUUUUUUUUUUUUAAGAAAUGCAUGGUCUUUCUAUGAGAAACUAAAGUCACCUUGGUUUCGAUAUUACUUCCAUUUUAAUUUCAUUCUUUAUUUUGAAUAUAGGUACGGUAAUCUAAUAAUUAAAUACCGCAUUCUUUAAAUAAUGCCACAAAAAGAAGAGAAUGACACAAUAUGCCAAACUUGAUUAGGAAAAAAGCAAGGAAUGGUAUUAUAAAAAUAAAAACAUAAAAAAGGACUUAUGGAUUGACUACUAUUUCCUUUCCAUCAUUUGCAGAACUUUUUCACUCCACUCAACUAUUUUACUCCAAAAUAGUAUUUUUCUCUCAUUAUCAUAUGGGAAAAUAGGAAUUUUGUAGAUCACAAAUGGCACACUGCCUUAAUGCUAAUUAUUAGAACGGCUGAUAAACAGACACCUGUGCUAUAGACAGAGAUCAUGAAGCCAGCUGAGAAGCAACAGAAUUGGAACAAAGAAUACUUCACGUACAAAAGCUAGAAAGACUUGCAAAAAUUGCAAUGAGAGAGUGAUGAAAAGGAUAACAUCUAUAUUGGUCAUGUUUCACGUUGCUCCACUCCUGUUCAUAUUUUAUUACAUCUGGAAGAUUAAAAUAACAAAGUUGUGGCCAGCGCAGAGGGUGCUGUUGGAGGUAAGGAAGGAAAGAAAAUUGAAAUUUGUAUAGAGGGGAAAGAGUGAAAAUGAAUAUAAUAAGUGAUGAAAAAAGUAAUGAGUGCUCUUAAUAAAUAACCAAAAAAAUAAUGAAGACAAAAAUUAUACCUUAAGCUUGAUUUUUACAUUAAAUGUAACUUCAAAUUAGUCAAUUGUAUGUUACUUUGUAUAUGCUCAAUUCUCUCACAUCUUCUAUUAGUUGUUGAUGUUUAUUACUAUUUUCAUAAAUAAUAAUAAUCUUGAUAAUUUCUUGAGACAUCCGGAAUGCAAAGUAGGAUAUGAGUGGAGUGGAAGGAUUAAAAUUGCAUAAAGAUCAAUGACCAAGUCCAAUAAAACAUUUGGGGAUGAUUGAGGAGGUUUGGAGAUGUCCAAACGACCUUAAAUAAUUAAAAAAAAAUAAAAAAUUAUAGACUCUUCAAAUAUCAAUCUCAUCAAUCUUUAAAAGAUUUGAACAUUGUUUGCUUAUGCAGAAAAAAUAGGAAAAUUUGCCAAAAAACAAGAAAAAUACUGAAGGAGCUAAAGGGCAUUUUGACAAAAAUGGUGCCACCCUAUAGUCUUGCGCCAUUUUUCAUAGUGGUACCACCCCUUUGAGUUAAAGAAGCCCACCAACCGGGAAAAAAAAUGGCACCAAGAUAGUGCAACCUCAUAAACCAACACCAUUUUCUUCAGAAGUGUCGUCAUUUUGUUUUGUAACAUCGAGAGCAUGUGGGACCCAAUUUUUUGGACUUUUCCCAAGCCACCAUUAGAUCUCUCACCUUGUUUUUUUAUGCCUCCACAUAAGAUAUAACUUAGAACAACAUGAGAGCACUUCUUUAAAGGGAUUUUGGAGCUGGAGAAGGAGCAUUUUUGGGACAAGGCCCCUUGGUGGGGAACUCUUCUUCAACCUCCAACCUUGGAACUUGCUGUAACUUCAAUAAUCUUUGUAAUGUUUUCUAGAUUUUAAGAGAUUUAAUGCAUUAAACUUCUUUAUCUUGAUUGUAUUUGCAUUUGGCUAUAGUUACUCUUUAGUUUUGUAUAACUUUGAAACUUAAUUUUGAAUUUCAAUGGCUCUUAUUUCAUACUUCAUUUUUGUCUCUUAUUUUGAUAUUGAGAUUAUGUCUUUUGAGUAGUGUGUGUGCAUGUGUGUUUUUUCUUUUUCUUUUUUUCUGCUAAAGAGAAAGGGUCCUUAGGAGCUCCCUUGGACCAAUGAAAUGACCCUCAAAUCUUUAAGUAAUUAAUGAUUUAUUGAACUUGUAAGUUGAAUCUACAUUUUUAAUUAGAAAAUCAUGUCUUAAUACUUGGGAAUUGGAGUUUAGGGGUCCCUUCAAGAAUAUCUCAAGCACUUAGUUGUGACAACCGUUUAAACUUAAGAUGAUAAUUAUUUAGGCCUUAAUACUAUAAUAUGGCAAAAAAAUGGGUUGUGGGGGCUUUAAAGAUUUUACAAGGAGGUUCAACUCACAAGUUUGAAGCAAUAGUUUUAAUUAAAUUGUGCUUGUAUUGAAAAUUCUCUAACUGAGAGCACUUCUAGGUAAUCUCGAUUGUGUUAGCUUGAUUGAGGGAAAUUUUAUGAAAAGAAAAGAGCCCAAGUGACAUAGUUAUCCUUACAAGUUUAUCAAAUCUUGUUAAGUCAAAUUUCAAUUUAAAUUCACAUGGUUUCUCCCUUAUUUUUCAUAAAAUUCAUUAACCUCUUUUUUUUUUUUUUGAAAAGUGUCUCAAAUUCUAAUUUGAGUCGAUUGGAAAGUCACUGAUAGUUUGUCAUUGAUAGUUUUCGAAUGGGAUAUAUUCUUGUAAAUAAAUUUUCUAGUAUCAUAAAGAAAAUUUCCUAUUGUGAGAUUUUUUUUAAGAAAUAAGUAUCUUUUGAUAAUCACAUAAUUAGUUUCCUACAAGGAAUCUUAUCGUGUAAUUAGAAAAAUAUAUAAGAAGAUAUUUUGAUUAAAAAGUAUGAGUCUCUUUUUUGGUUUAGUUGAGAUUUUGAGAUUUGAGGGCUUUAGGGUUGUAAUCUUCUUCAAUAAUAAUAGAAAUUCUUCUUCUUCACCCAUGGAUGUAAGCUUUAGGUUAAACCAAGCUUUAGGUCAAACCACAUAAAUCAUAACAUGUUUUGUGUGUUUUCUGUUUUCAUAUUCUUAUUUUCUUUUCCCUCUUAUCUAAACUUCUCAAUUUCCCCAUUAUAUGUGAGAUCUCCCUAUCUUUCAACACCUAACUUACGAGGAUUUUAAAACUAAAAAAUUGACUCCAUAUACUUGGGGAAUUGCAGUUUUGCAUAUAUAUUUGGGAGCGAUCAAUAGGUUAAAGAGAAGUUCAGGGGUUAGGUUACCUAGUAAGAAGGUAUUAGGUGCCCACUAAGCCCAACAUGAGAAAAUGGAGGCAACUUUAAUAAGUGAUUGAUUUGAUAAAAAAAAUACAAAGUCAAAUUAAAAUAAUAAAAUUAGUUUUCUCUAGCUAUUUGUGACUUUUGACAUGGUGGUGGAAGAAAGAAAUGCAUACAAAUAUGAAUAAUCACAUGGAUAAUCAAGUAAGAGGUUGUGGACAAGGAAUAUGAUGAGAUAUUUGCUCUCAUUGCUUAUUUAGAAAGUAUAAGAUUAAUCAUCUCUUUGGCUACUAAAAAUAACUGGAAGAUUUUUCAAAUUAAUGUGAAAUAUGUCUUUUUAAAUGGACAUCUUGAAGAAAAAGUGUAUAUGGAACAACCCAUGGAUUCUGUGUUAAGAUAAAACCCUUAAAAUAUGACAUUAUGUAAUAAAAUUUUGGAUUUUAUUUGUUUAAUAAAGUUUCGAUUCACUUUUAUCUAUCAUAUUUCCAUGCAUCAUAUCUUGUAAACACUUUAAUCUGCAUCUUUUGCAUUGUACAUGAUUUUGGUGCAUUAGAAGUUACAUGAAAAAUCUAAGUCAUGAGUUCUUUGCAAAUAGAUGAUUGUUCACAAUCGGUUCAUGGGUCUAGGCAACCCAUUAGAGGUUGUAGUGCACCACCUCCUAAUUGGAUGGAUGGUUGGUCUUGGCUAUCAUGAUAGAUUUCUCAUGGUGAGUGCACUAGUAUGUAUGAUUACACAUUGGAUACAACCUAUGAUGAGUCAUGACUUAACGUUAUCAAGUAUUCAUGACCUUACCAAAUUGUUUCAUUGUGUUGUUUCUUAAUUUUGACAAAAUAAGUUUGUGCUGAAAUUAACAGUGGCUUUGACCUAUGGGUGAGAUUAUAAGUUGAUUAUAUAUUAUUUAUAGAUUGAGUCAUUGUUAAUGAAAGUUAAUAGCAAUAGGUAUUCUCAAUAGAGACACCAUGAUAUCUUUUAGGAUUGAGACAGUGUGUUUCCUUAGAAGAUCCUAAGGAAAUGUGUCAUGGAAACUAUGACUAUAGUAGUUCCUUAAGUAGAACUUGACAUAUGCUCUUGAAGAGCUAAAACAUGUCAAUUGAAUACAUAAUAAAAGGACUUGUAACUCAAGGAUAGUAGAGAUAGUCUUGAAAAACAAAUAGUAUUCACCUUAAUUAUUAGACUACGGACACCGGUUCAUGGGGAGAUUGAAUGCAAUAGAUAAUAGGUCACAGACCUGAGCAUUUGGCAUCUCGUUGUUAUUUACAGAGGAUACUAAAAUUUAGUUGAUUCUUUAUAGUGGAAUGUUAAAUCAACUUUAUAAUUGGCUUUUGAAAGAGUCAGUACUCUUAUAAGUCCUAUUGCUCCUCGUUUUGAGCUCAUAUACCUUGUUGGUAUGGGUUAUGAGGGUUGGAUCAACUUUAGGUUCACAUUUUUGCAUAAGGGUGUUUUGGUAAUUACACAAGGUUGCACAAGGGGAAGUAAGUAAGGUUUCUGGAUUGAGUUAAAUGAGUAAUUAUAAUUAAUAACCCUUGUUGGGUUAAUUAAUCAAUUAGGACCCAUUUUGGGCUAAAUUAAGUGACCCAAGCUCUUAGUGGACUCAAGUCACUUAAACCUAUUGGGGAACCCUAAAUACCUCCUUAAGGGUUAGGGUUUCCAUAACUUCUUCUAGAGAGUCAUUUUCCACUUCUAAAGAGAGAGAACAAUAGCUUUCACCAUCUCUUUCAUUUCCAUCGGAAGUGUGUCAAGAUCAAGGUUCAAGUUAUCAAGAGGAAUACUUUGGGUUUACAAGACUUCCUGGGACUUUCAUUCUUCAUCUUCAUCGUGUGGAUUCAAUUUGGGAACAUCCGAAUCUAAUGUAUGUUGUUCGUUAGUACUUUCUGAAUCCCUUAAAUUUUAAAAAUGCAAUUUUUCCACCGUGUAUAGGAUUUAGAAAAGCUUAAGAUAGUUUUACAUGUUUCUAACCUAAUCCGGACUUGGGAAAUGUAGAAAUCUUGGAUUUUCCCUUCAUUAUGUGGUGAAAGGGCACAAGAAUAAGGUUUUAAAUUUAAAAAGAGUCAUGUAUGGAUUAAUUAAAAAAAAAAAACAGCAAGAGCAUAGGAAUAGUAAAACUAACAAAUAUUUUUAAGAUAAUCAUUUUAUUAAAUACCUUCAUAAACAUGCUCUCUAUAUAAAGGUGAAUGAAAAAGGUAAUAUUUAUUACUUGUUUGCUUGUAUGUGGAUUAUUUGAUCUUCAUUAAAAAUAAUUCAAUCAUAUUUGGUGAAUUCAAUAAGUAAUGGCUCGAGAGUUUGAGAUAACUGACAUUGAUCUCAUCUCAUACUAUCUUGGCAUAGAAAUGAAACAAACUAAAAUGGUACUUUUAUAUCUUAAGAAGGCUAUGCAAAAAAACAAAAAAACAAUCUCUAGAAGUUUGAUAUGAACAUGUGUAAUUCGAUGUACACAUAAUAGAAUAUGGAGUUAAAUUAUCUAAGACAUGAAGAAAAUAUGCAUCCAACAUAAUACAAAAGUUUAGUUAGAAGCUGACGUUGUUUGACUUAUACAAGGUCAGACAUUCCUUUUGGAGUUGGACUUGCUAGUCGUUAUAUAAAAACACCAAUAGUGACUCACAUGAAAAUUGUUAAAUGAAUUCUUUACUACAUUGAAGGUAUACUUGAUUAUAGUUUAUUUUAUAACUCCUAACCAUUUUAAGCUUAUUAGAUAUAGUGAUAGUGAUUGGGGCAGAGACUUGGAUGAUUGAAAGAAAACCAGUGACUUUGUGUUUUUAUGGGAGGUUCCACAUUCACUUGCACCUCAAAGAGGCUAUUUAUUGUGAUACUUUUAACUUGUGAAAAGGAAUUUCUUUCAACAAUAUCAUGUGCAUGUCAUGCAAUUUGGCUAAAAAAUUUGUUGAAGGAACUGAAUUUUCCACAAAAUAAACCAAAAAAGAUAUAUGUGGACAACAAAUCAACGAUUACAUCAUCAGAACAUCCCAUUUUCCAUGACGAAGCAAAUACAUCGAGAUAAUAUAUCAUUUUAUUAUAUAGUGCAUUAUGAAGAAAGAAGUGUAAUUAAAAUUGAUCAAAUUUCAAGAUCAAAUUUACAGACAUUUUUACUAAAUCUCUCAAAUUUAAAGAUUUUAAAAGGUUAAAAAUGCUACUUGGAGUUACAAAUCAAGUUUAAGAGGGCAUGUUGGAAAGUUAAACUUGAUUUAGAAAUUUUUAAAAAAUUACAAUUCAAUUUAGUUUCCAAAAGUCAAAGGAAAUAUUUUAUUUUGAGUGGUUACUGUAGUUUGUAUAUUUAAAUACUUUGUAAUUGUUUAUAUUCAUUUUUCAACCCCAUUACUCCAAUAGAUGGCAUACAUAAAGCUAUGUCUUUGGAUUAAUAUUAGAGCUGCCUCUAAUUCUAAUGUGUUCAACUUCAUUAGACAAGGUUAUGUCGAUCAUCAUAUCCACAUAGUUACCUACAACAUUUUAUUGCAGUGCAUGCACAUGUCUUCAAUGGCUGUAUGCAUAAUACUAGUUUUUGCAAUAUGGGGUUGAAACAUGACUAGUUGUUAUAUACAAAGAAAUAAAUAAUCUAUACUUUUAAUAAUUUUAAUAUAGAUUUAUUUACUAUAUAAAUAUACUGGUAUUUAUGUAUAGCAUUUUCCGCAAAUAGUAGCCUCAAUUCUUGCCCAGAUUCACAUUCCAUUGUCAGCAGAGAAAAGGGACAAUUCCAUCUGAAUUGGGAAUAGAUCAUCAGAAAGGAAGAAACAGAAACAAUUCUAUCAUUAAUCAAUCAAACUGGUAAUACAUAGUACUUCUGGAUCGUAUAUAUAUAAUCCAACACUUGAAACCACCGACUCCAAAUCAACCUCCUUCAUACAUACUAAGCCUUAGAUACAAUGCCUGUUGAGCUUGUUGAGCUUCUUCUCAGUUUCAAGGGCCUGGUGGGUGGUAGGGGCUGUGUGGUGGACUGUAUGGACUUUUAUAUAUUUUGGGGCUGGGUGGUGGAUAGUGUGGGCUUUUAUAUAUUUUGGGGCUGGGUGGUGGACUGUAUGGGCUUUUAUAUAUUUUGGGGCUGGGUGGUGGAUUGUGUGGCCUUUUAUAUAUUUUGGGGCUGGGAGGUGGAAUGCGUGGGCUUUUAUAUAUUUUGGGGCUGGGUGGUGGACUGUGUGGGCUUUUAUAUAUUUUGGGGCUGGGUGGUGGAUUGUGUGGGCUUUUAUAUAUUUUGGGGCUGGGAGGUGCAAUGUGUGGGCUUUUAUAUAUUUUGGGGCUGGGAGGUGGAAUGUGUGGGCUUUUAUAUAUUUUGGGGCUGGGUGGACUUUUAUGCAUUCUUUUACAGUCCCUUGAUCCGGGAUUGCACAUGCUUGUAGAUGGUGGAUCAGGUAAAUUCCCUGCUAUAAAGCCCACCUUAUCGCUACUCAUUUCUUCUGCAACAUCCAUGCCAAAUAUUAUCAUAAAUCACAAAGAGGCAAAAACAGCAGCCCAUGCAUGACAGUAUAUUAAAUGGGAAAAUUGUGUACUAGCCUCCAAUCAUAUCCAUUUGAAGUUUCAAGAACAGAAACUUAGUAGGACAUUUGAUCUUAUUCAACUAUUCAAAUCCACGUAAGUAAGCAUGCGCAUGUAUAGUUAAUUACUUGCAUGAAUAUUAAAUGCAUGUAGGGAAAGAAAUUACCAUUUUGAGUCAGCUCUCGAGCACUAACGCAAGAGGGAGAGAGGAGGACUGAAAUCAAGAGAAAGCACACAAGGAAUGGCUUCAUGGUGAUGGGAGAUUGGAGUAGGCUAUGCUAAACCUUCUCCCUCACUACCCUUAUUUAUAAUGGCAUUCAUAUGUGUGGAUUGGGAAAAAGAUAUGGUCAUUUUAAUUAAUGGGAAAGUAUGAAGGGCAAGGUGUCCCACCAAAGCAAGGAUGACUCACUCUCUCAAUUAUCACAGCACCCGAAAGAAUCCAUAGUACAACAGAAAUGCAUGGUCUUUCAAUGAAAAAUUAAAGUCACUUCGUUUGACGAAUGCCACAAAAAGAAGAGAACGACACGACAUGCAAAAUUUGAUUAGUAAAAAAGCAAGGAAUGGUAUUAUAAAAAUAAAAACAAUAAACAAAGACUUAUGGAUUGACUAGUAUUUUCUUUCCAUCAUUUGCGCAACUUUUCACUCCACUCAAUUAUUUCACGCGACAGUAGUACUUUCUUACUUUAUUUCAUUAUCAUGAUCAUAUUCUUGCUUUGCAGCUGGCUACCACCCGAAUUUUAUAAGUGAAAAUAUUCCUUCCAUCCAACAAUAUUUUUCUUUCUAUCGACUAGAGGAUGGGCUGGUUCUUUCUAAGUCUAGGGUCUGUUGUUUUAAGCUUUGAAUUCAAAACACAUCUCUCUUCAUUGUGAGGGGAACUAGUCUGCAAACUCAGAAAUUUUAAUGAGAUUGAAUCUGUCUAAAGCAUAUGGGAAAGUGGUAAUUUGGUAGAUCACAAAUGCUAUACUGCCUCAUUACUGCUGAUUAUUAGAACGGCUGAUAAACACACACUAGUGGUAUAGAGAGAGAGAUCAUGAGGCCCACUGAAAAGCAAAGGAAUUGGAAUAAAGAAUACUUCACAUAGAAAAGCUAGAACACUUGCAAAAAUUACAAUGAGAGACAGAGAUGAUAAGGAUAACAUCAAACGUCAAUCCUAUAUCGAUCGUGUUUCACGUUGCUCCAGUCAUUUUGAUAGUUUGGUACAUCCGGAAGAUUUAAGGGAAAGUAUGUUCUCAGCUACUAAUAUCAAGAGAAUGAGAAAUUGAGAACCCAACUUUGGGAUCAGCAUACUUACCUUGAAAAUAGCAAAGUUGAGUUCUCGUUCUCAUUAUUUUGAUAUUAGCAGCUGAGAACACACUUUGCCCAUGAUUUAAAUGAUGAAAAAGUUGUGGCCAGCUCACAGGGUGCUGUUGGAAGGAAGGAAAGAAAGAAGAGUGAAAAUUUGAAGUAUUAUGAAGUUAUGUUGUUGAGCAAUUCACAUUGAAAUAUCUUAUUUGCUGACAUUGAUUUCAUCAAACUAGGUUUUAGAUGAGAGUAAUAAAUUCUACGUAGUUUAUCUUAAUGUAGGUUUUUUCUUGAAUGUAAAAAACAUUUUUUCAAUCCAUUUUUGUAACCCAAGAGAAGAAAGAUCAUAGUCUAGACAGUCAUAGACUUCCAUGGUGGAAAAACCAAUUCGUAAAGGCAAGUGGUUUGGUGAAAAGUAGUCAAAAAACAUAGAGAAGACGGUCUCAUUGUGGAACUACCAGUGGCAGUGCUCAAGUGCUCAUCAAAUGCUCAAGUGCCCCAAGUUUCUUUAGGCAUUUUGGAGCUUUAGAGUUUUUCAAUUUUCUAACCUUAUUUUUUGUUAUAGGGGUAUUUUAGUAAAUUUGAAUGUUUGGUAUUCCAAAUUAUGAUUUCUAAGACAUGUGAUAGGAUCCUUAAGGUCACGGGGGAUUAUGUUAAUUUCCUUUUCCAUGUUUUAUGCUUUACAUAUAUUUUUAUGUGAUAUGUCUAGCAUAAUUAUGGAUAUUUUAGUAAUUCUUAAUAGAAAAUAAAUUUUCUUAAAAAUUAGAUUCCAAAAGAUGUUAUUUAUUAAAUUUUGAAAUAGUAUAGAUUAAGGAAAUAAUACUUGAGAAAAUAAAAUUAUGAGAACUAAACUUCAUUUCUAAAAUUAUUCUAAAGGAUUCUAAUAUAAUUUGUUUAAAAUUAUUUUGAUAAGAAUCCUUAUAGAAUAAAAGGUUUUCCUUUUUGGAUAAAGUGCUCUUUAAAUUUUUACUUUGAAAAUUUUGAAAAUUUCCCUAUUAUACUAAUCCUUAAUUCGGAGAACACAUCAUUUUUUAAAAUUUUGAAGAUGGAUAAUUUAUCAUUAAGGAAACUACUAAAAGUUGUAUUUUGAUAACUUUUAAUAAAAUAAAUUAUUAUGAAAAUGAGAUUCCAUAGUAAAGGAUAUUUAUUAAAUCGGAAAGUAAAUGUUAUAAGAAAUUUGAAUAUAAGAGCUAAAGUUACUUUCUAAAUUUAUUGUUAAGGACUUAAAAUACUUUCCUUAAUAGUAUUUUUGAAAAUUCUUGAAGAAAUAGAUCUUCAUAAUCGGAUAAAGUGCCCAUAGUUUUUCAUAAGUUUCCUUGUUACAUUAAAGUUUUCAAUUUGGAAGUUAAAAUAUUAUAAAAAUUUUCAUAAGAGAUAAUUUAUGGACAUUACCAAAAGGUUUAAAGGAAACUUAGUAAUUUGAUGGAAAUAAGAUUUUUUUUUUUUUUGAAAAUAUUUCCAAGAUAAAGUAUUUAUUAAUUAGAAUUGUGUAGAGAAUGAGAACUUUUAUGAAAAUAUAUUUUAAAAUUUGAGAGUAGGGAUUUUUUGCAAAAUUAUUUUUAGGAUAAACUACUUGAAUAGAAAUUUUUAAAAAUUUUCAAGAUGACAUUCUCCUAAGUGCACUAGGUUUCCAAUUCAAAAAUAAAUAUUUUGGGAAACUUUCAAAAAAGAUUAUUUGUUCAUUAAGGUUAUUAUUAAUGUUUUAAAAAACUGAAAAUAUUAAGUGAGAGAUGGUCUUUGGCAAGCCCAUAGCCUCUAAUAUCAAGCACGUCUUGUUCUAGGUCAUCACCAACCCUAUGGCAUGUUGGUCCAAGGAAUUAAGGGAUAUGGAUUUUCAUUAUCUUCUGAAGGCCCAUUAUGGUUUGAGCCAUCAUCACCCCAACAGUGGGUUGGGCUAAGGUAUUAAGAUAUGGAUUUUCUAAAAGACAAGACUAGAUAUAUUAAUAGUGGGAGCAACCACCCCAAUGGUGGAGUUCUUUAUUUGGUAACACUGAUGUAAGGAUCUUGGUUAUACACUUGACUUAAAAUAUAGAAGUGGCCUAUCCAACGUAAGGACUUUCAUAGACUAAGGGCUAAACUAAAAGGUAUGUUGAUCUUGCAUUGGGAACUUUUCAAGUUUAAAGCAUGGAGAUCAAUCUAAGAGGAUCUCUACUUAGAAACAAGAUCAUGGCUUGCCUAACAUAGGCUCGAAAUUUAUGAUAUUGGGAUACCUAGCAAAGGAUAUGUAGUCCUAAGAGCUUUAUAUUUGUUAAACUAUUGUUUGACUUGAAUGUUGAAUUAUUAAAUGCAUUAUUUGUUAUGGAUAUUAUGUUUACUUGUUAUUAUCACUCUCAUUCUCACUAUCAAUUAAUGGACUAAGCCCAACUAGUUAUUUGGACUGAAAAAAUUAAUAUGGAUAUAGUAACUAAUUGCAAAGAAACUAAUUUAGGUAGAGCUAGUAAUUCCUUAUGAACAAACCUAGUAAAAAGAAAUAAUAUUGGUAUAUCAAAGGUGGUAUAAGACGGAUCAGAAGACCAAGUGUUUCAUACUUAGGUCUUUGGAUGAUGUGUUGCACUAACAACACAUGUCUAUUGUCACAAUCUUUGAUAUUUUCUUUUUAAUCUAUAUUUGUUGAUAAGGGUGAGUUAGCUAGACAAGCUGCCUUAGAACUAUUAUUAAUACCAAGAUUUGUAUGAUUUUAAAGACUUCAUAUUCUCUAUAGAUGGCAAAGAGGAUUUUAAAAUAUCAUAGAAGUGUUCAUAUGAGAGUCAAGGGUUCUUCAAGCUCUUUUACUAAAAAGAAAAACCACAACACCAAAUAAGGAAAGUUCAAGAUAGGGAAUGAGAAAACAAGCUUAGGGUCAAGUAAUUCCUUUGUGGCCUUUUGGGACAUUAAAAAAGUAAGGCUUAAAUUACUUAAGGAAAAAAGAAAGUACACAUCAUAUUCUCAUUAUUGAAUAUAUGUUGUUAGAUUCAUUCUAGGUGCACUAUCUGUAAUUCUUUAUAGAGUUUUAAUAAGUGAGAAGGUUACAUAGUACUACUACAAAAAACAAAAACAACGACGCUCUCUUUCUUGGUGCUUUAGAAAAAGCUCCAUUAUUUAGUUUCUUAUGAAUAAAUGUUGGCUCUUGCUAACCAUGACGUUUUUACAAGUGUCAUUGAAAGGGUAAUAUUUUGGAAAUCUUGGCACUUAAAAUUAAGUGUCAUCAUAUACAUAUGCUUUUUGCAUUAUUAGCGCUUUUAAAAAGUGUCAUUAUCUUGUAUAGUAUAUAUAUUUACCUAAAAUUUUCAUUCCCCUCCACACAAUUUCCCACCCAUCUGAACACGAUUUCCCUCCACAAGCCUUGGAAAUUAUACUUCUUCUAAAGCUCCAAUUGUAAGGUUACCUUAGCUUGGCUUAGCUUAAUGAGGAUAUAUUUACCUUAGUUUCAGUUGUAAGGUUAGUUGUGCAGGUUAGUGGGAGAUGUUACCUCUUCCCCCAUUACCACUUUUGCCAAGUAAAGAAAAUAAUCAUAUCUCACUUAAAGAAAAGAACCUAGCACUAAUGAAACAUUUGGCUUCUAAAGCUUAAGUAACAUUAAUCUAAACAAAAUCCAAAGAUUGGGUAAGUCUAGACAUUUUGAUUCUAAAGGAUCUUCUAACUUGUGAAUUCCGUAUAAGUGGUAAAAUAACUAAGAGGCCCUUUAUUGCUAAAGGACAUAGAACUAAGAAAUGUUUAGAGUUAGUACAGUAUCAUGUGUGUGGAACUUCUGUCACUCAUGCAUAUAGGAAAUUUGAUGCCUUGAAAAAUUCAUUGAAUUUAAGGUGAAAUCAAAUAACCUAUUAGGUAAACAUAUUAAGGCACUUCAUUAGAUUGAAGUGGUGAGUUUAUGUCUAGUAGGUUCAAUUCAUUCCUUAGGGAGCACAUGAUUAUAUCUCAAUUGUGUGCACCAGGGACUUUAUUGCAAAAUAGAGUAAUAGAGUAAUAGAAAAAAGAAAUCAAAACUUUGAUACACAUAUUGAGAUCAAUGAUAGGUUUCUCAUUACUUCUUGCAUCUAUUUAGGGAUUUGCCUUAAAGAUUGUAUCUUACUUCCAUUAUUAAAUUAGUAAUUUUGACUUUAAGGAGAUGUAGAGAAGUUGUAAACUUAGUUUAUGACAUAUUCACAUAUAGGGGUAUUCAUCACAUAUGCUGAAACCAAAGGUAGACAAGUUGAAAGCAUGGUAAGAGGUAUAUCAGCUUCUAGGAUAUCCAAGAGGAUCUCGAGGAUUAUUACUUUUUAGUCAAAAUGAUCAGAAGGUAUUUUUUGGAACAAAUGUCAGAUUUUGGAUGUAGACUAUAUGAUAGGUCUAGAGAACACUAGAAGAUAGUCCUACAUUUGCACAAAACGCUAUGGAUACAAAGGUAUAAGCACGUGCCAUUCCUAAUAAUUUUAGCACAUGAGAGUCUCAUCAUAGUGGGAGAAUAGCAUCUCACAUAUUAUGAUGAAGUAACAAGAAAUGUUGAUUUCCUUCAUGGCAUGAAGCUAUAAAGGGAGAGUUAGAAUCUUUGUGUUCUAACAUGACAGUCUCACUCUUUACAACUUUAUAUACAAAUAAUUUCAUUGAUAGAAUGUCCAAGUAAACAAACAAACAAAUAAAUGAACAAGUAACCAAAUAAAUAAACUAGUAAAUAAGUAAAUAGACAAAUAAAUUAAUAAGUGAAUACCAAUAAAUCAAUCUUCAUUGAAGAAAAAGAGUUUAUUAAAGUGGCUUAACCAAAAACUACAUAUUCAAACUAGUUCACUAAAAUAUUUGAUUUGCUAGACUAAAAUCAUCUUUCACACAAAAUUGUUAUUUUUUUUCAAUAAAAAUGAAUAUUCUCACAAAUGCAAUUAUUUCCCUACCAUUUCUUUCUCUUGUCAAAACUAUAGAAUUUUCACAUCAAAAUUGACUAAAAAUAAAUUGAAUUAUUGUUUUCAAAGUAGUAAAAUAUUAAUGAGUGUUCUUAAUAACUGAAGUUCUAUGCCAAAAAUUGGGCAACAUAAUUAUUUUCUUUUCCUUGCCCUUUUUAAAAAAAAUAAAAAAAUAAAUCUUGGAACAAAUUUUAUUAUUUUCACCAUUAUUAGGAUUACCACUCUUUUCUUUGUUUUCUUUUCCUAUUUUUCUUUUGCUCAAUAUCAACACACUCGAAAAUAAAUUUAAAUUUUUUAUUAUUUGUCAAAAACUUAUGGUUCACAUAUAUUUAAGAAAAUUAUUAUUAUUUAGUUUUUUUUUCAUAUUAAAAUAAAUUUAUGAAUUAAACCUCUCUUGAUCUCAAUUUAAAAUAUAUCUUACCAUCUCCAAUCCACCUUUGACAUUUCUUCUGAUAACAACAUUUUACAUGGAUAAAUAAGGCAUGGUUUUAAUAUAUUUCUUAUUUUUUAUUUUUAAAAAUAGAGAAUAAGAAUAGCUUGUAUCCUUUAAGACUUGCAUUAUAUAUAUAUAUAUAUAUAAAAGACUCCAUUUUUUUACAAACCCUUGGCACUACAGAUUCAAAUCUGAUACAUGCCAAACAACAAUUUUCUAUCAUGACUACAUACACCUACAAAUAUCCCAAAAUUGGCGACUUUCUUUCUUCACUUGGCACACACAUCAUUCAAUCAUUUGUUCAAUUCAAAAUUUAACACUUCAACCAAAACUGACGGGAGUAAAAGGCUAGAGUUGUGAAUUGACAAACAAUCAAAGUAAGUAUCGCCUUUGGGGCAGUGGCACAUCCCAACCACCACAACCGUGAGUUGCUACACAACCUUUUCAGUGUUCACAGCAACACAAAUCAGGGAUAAAAAAUUUGUAAAUGAAAUGCCCUUCCCCUCUAGUUCAGCAUAGAUUCCAGAUAUAGUGCCAUUUAUCAUGACCAUAAAACUAAAUGGAAGAUAAUUCUUUAAUCAAACCCAUACCCUGUGGGUAAGUAAGUACAGCAGUCACAGGAAAAAGGGCAAAAGAACUAUGAGGUUAUUUGCUAGAUGGCUGCUUCGGUUCACGUAGCUAAUUUUUCUUCAAAAUGAAUGUUCUGGUGGUUAUAGACUUCUAGUAUAUAUCCCACAUGAACACCGCCCAAUUUUCUUGUUCCUCAUAGCAUCCUCCCUUUGGGCUUCACCGGAACCACCAUCUCUGAAUUGCAGAAAUUGGAGUAUUUAGGAAUGGGGCAUAGCGGUGGACAAGCGGAUUAAUGGUCCUUCCAAUCUUACUCCACACACUUUGAUGGUAGCUAGCAGUCACAGGUGCGUGAUACAUUAGCUUUAACAGCUGCAAGGGAAAACAUCAUUUUGUGAGGUUCUGUUAAAUAAACCUUAAACGUAACGAAUAUAAUGCUUAUAAUACAACAGGAACCCCAUGGCCAAUACUAAGCAAUACCAACAUGCAUGUGCCCAUGACUAAUCCAAGUACUUAAAUACCAUAAAACCCAAACUGACCGAAAAAUUGAGGGAGAACCUCAAUAGGUUUUUACCUAAAAACAACCCCAUUGGAGUGGACCAUGUCAGAAACUGAGUGGGUGCAUACAUUUAUAAGUAAAAGAUAUAGAAUAUGCAAUAAAUACUGAUAUUCAAGACCAAACAGACCAGUAUCUUAAACCCAAUUCUGACCCGAAUUCUUGUUGAGUUUCAAAUUCUCAACCUAUCCCAAGCAAAGGAAUUACCCAACUAGUGACCCACAGAAAUCCUAAGUCUACCAUAGUAAAAACUAAAAAGUACACUUCCAAGUUAUGAGAUAACAACAAAGCACAAAACAGACAAAAACCUCCCAUUCCUCCCCCACACCAAAAAACUGAUCACCUCAUGAAAACCUUCUCCUUUAAGCACAAAUGUAAACCUACAUAAGAGUAGGAAUUCCUCCAAAGUAGAUAUCAAAAAAGAACAAAAACAAACCUGCCAAUACAUGAAAGUUUGUAUUAUGUUGCGCUGCCACCUGCACAUGAAAAUUAAAAACCUAUGAGAAAUUGAAAAGGUGAAAAAAAAUGUUAAAAAAUGAGAAAACAGAAUGGAUUAAAAAUAAAACAAAAAAAAAAGGAAGGGAAGGAAUUGAGCAACUCACGACAACAAAGAGAGAAUCAAAAGGAAGCCAAGACCAAUCUCAGUGUGUGAAGACAAUAUGCUGAGGGUAGUAGCAUUUGACUCCACCCAGACGCAAGGCUCUUCCAAGUAUUUCCUGGACAACCAGAAAAAUUAAAUAAUUAAAAUAAAAAACAAAAUGACUACUUACUGCUUUGGAACAAUGAUAGAGCCUCUUGUCCUACAAAACAAGUAAGUCUCUUAAGAGAAAGAAUGACUCCAAACAAGCCAUGCCAGGCCCACCAGUGGUUAACUAAAUAAGGGAAGGGGACCAUUCACACCAAGGGUUGAGGAGGUGCUAUCCAGAUACAUUUUUAGUUCACAUCCAGGCUUAAGCAUAAAAUGAUUUUAGCACUAAUAACCCUUUGCAUAUAAUACUAGUCUAUAUUACAUGGACUUGGGUGUAGCAUCAAAUGUGGGUGUGUAUCUAGGUGUCACUUUUGUAGAACCACCAAUCUUAAGGUGCAGAAUACAGCUAAUAUGUUCAAGUAUCUCCAAGCUAGGGCAAGACAUAACAAAAGGUGGUUGCCAAUAAAUGAUUGAUAUGUUAAACAUUUAUACUAGUGGGUUUAAUUAAGUGAUACUAGAGAUGAUGUUUCUAGACAACAAGUAAAUAAACAACUUAUUAAAAAUGUAAGUUAAAGAAAACUAUUUCCAAAUCCUAAGUUAUAUGAUGGGGUUUCAAGAAACCUCUCCGCCACGUUGAAUUACCCUAGACCUCAAGCUGGUGACCCAUCACCAAUUUGUACUUCUAGCAAUCCAACAAAUUAAAAAAAUGUGAAAGGACUUGUAUUUUUAUUUUUAUGUUUCUUCCUUUUUUCUUUAGUUUUUCUCUCUUUCUUCAUUUCUUGAUAGAUAAUAAAAAUGCAUACGGAAAGUGCCAAUGGGAGCACAGUCCAUGUAUAUAAUAGAUAAUCUUCAACAACAACUAACCAGAUCCUGGCUUCUAGAAUUUUGAAUAAGAUUGUUCUUAGGAUCCUUGGUUUUUUGUGUGCAGUGUUUGUUUUUGUCUGUCUGUGUGCUCUACAAUGCCAAAUGGCACUGUUGAAAUGGUCAAACAAACCAAAACAGGAAGGUAAAUAAAAAAACUUUCCUAAUAAAAAACUUUUUUACAUUAAAAAAAUGGAAAAGCAAAACCUCUCCAACAAGGAUUUCAGUUUCAUCCAAGGUUUUUGUCUGCAAAGGAGGAAUCUAUAAACAAACAUGCUAAUUUAAAUAAAUUCAAAGACGAUAAUUAAUAAAACAAUUGCAUUUGAAAGGGGGAAAAACAAACAAACAAACAAAAAUAAGGCUUCUCCUACCUGUACAAGGAGGAACGAGUGAAAUUGCGCCUAAGGAACUUGGCAACAUGUUCAACAGCUCGGCACAAAAUGGGAAUUAAAGCAACUGCAAUGAAGCUCAACAUCAGCUCUAUAGAGGUAAUGGAGUAAAAAUGCUCACUAUAGGUUCAAACACGUGGAGAAAGAAACAAAAAUUAGAGGCUCAGAAAUGCUCACAUUUGAGGUAAAGAUGUGAUGUUACAAACAUAAGGCAGUAAAUGAAGUAGAGAAAAUCCUUUGUUGCGAUUACUGACUGAAACCACACUUGCACAGCCUGCAAAUUCCAUGCCCUAGGUUUCUGCAGAUACAGACUAAUCAAUAGAAGAAUGAUAGCAGCAUCACAUCCAAAAUAAAUAAAUGAUCACAAAGAUGAUGAAACGAGUACAGUAAGAUUACCCCGUAUAGUGAGUACAAAGAAUAGAGAGAGGAACAUGCAGUGCCCAUAAAUGAUAGCCGAUAUGCCCUAUUUGAAAGAUUCUGAGGUAUAAUUGGAAAUAUUGCCAGCACAGCCACAACAAACACCUACAGAGGAAACCAAAAAGGUACAAAAGGCAAUAUCAACUAAAUGAAAAAUGGCAUGUGAACAGGACAUAGCACUAGAUUUACCAUAGCUAGCAUGCAUGAUUUUCUGUGAUCAUUCCUCAUGGCCAGUAAUAUUUGAUAGAAACAUCCUUCCUAUUAGAGGGGGCCAAAUCCUAAAAGCUUAAGCUUGCAAGAUUUGGAUCCACAAUGCAUAUCAUGUUCUUUAACACUCCCCCUCACAUGCGUCCCCACAGCCACAAAUGGAGUGACAUAGGCCCAUAGGCAAACAAUCAUAAUCAGCCUCUUUUGGUUUUACAAUGGUUUAAUAAAUUGGGAAACUAAAUAAUAUGCGGUAAGGGUAAAAAACAUAGCUCUCACCAACUGAUGCUCUGAUACUAUUAGGAAAAUUGGUCAUCUAACUUUCAAUGAAAUUAACUUUGUCCUUUCUAGGUUUUUUCCCUCCUUUGUUGCCUCGGGAUUGGCUUUCUUUGUAUACUGCCUGUGUACAUAGGGAGCACCCCUUGUUUUGGCGUGUUUUAAUUUAAUUUUUUCUCUUUGUCUAUAAAAAAAAAAAACUUUCAAUGAAAAAUAAAAUAAAAUAAAAAUAAUUUAACUGCUGAAAUCUUAUUUGAAAAAAUAAACAAUUAAAAAUUUAAAAUGAUGAUCUUCUGUUUUUUUUCCUUCGAGGCAAUAAUAUUUGAAAGCAGUAACAGUGAUGGCCCAUAAACUACCCUUGCAACAAAAAAAAAUUUCAAGUCCAAAAAUAUACCAACCUUGACAGAAAUCAAAUAAAGAAAACCAUGAUUAAAUUGUCAACAACAAUUAUAGUGCACUAGUUUGGUGACAGAAAGAUUAAAGAAUUGCUAAAGUAAAAGAAUUCACAAUGGUCAUUUUAAGGAAUGAAAAACAAGUUUUGUAUUGAAGCAAGGUUCAAUCACAAUUAAAUGGUAACUUAGAAUACACUGUGCAAGGACAAAUUAAUGGUUCAAAAACUCAUUAACAUGGCCUUUCAACACUUCCAGCAGCUAUAUAUCUUCAACAAUGCACUUAUCCAGUGUACAUUGUUUCUCAACAUUUAGCAGGAAAAUGGCCAACAGAUUGUUUCUAGUGCUCACAAUGGCUUGCAUCAGUUUAUCCUUUCUUUUAUUGGCCAUUGCAUCGAUUUGUUAAUUAGGGCAUCUGAGCAAGUUUUACUAUCUAGUUAACUGUUCUUGAUCCCCAAAGGAAACUGUAAAAUAUUAAGCAUUAAAAGAGCAGGUGAGAGAAUUAUUGAUGACCACAGGAAGGACCUUCAUCCCAACGAACCAACAAAAAUUGAAAAACCAAAGCUGAUCGAUCCAUUUCACAUUUAAAGAAAAGAUGUGUUCUUGUUCUCAAUAUCCCACUUCAUAUGUCUCAACUUUGAAUUCAUGUUGAGCUAUAAACCAAAGAAUUACACAACAAAAGCAUGCAUAAGGGUUUUUUAUGAAAGAUGUUGCAAGAGUACCACAAAAAGGCGCAUUUUUUUUAGUGUAUUAAUAUAUCACUUCCACGGGUCAUUUGAAAUUCUAUUCAAUUCAAUAAAAUCACUGAGUACCAGAUUUUGUUUAUUCAUGGUGGCUGCUACUCCCUACGCAAUCUCCUUCUCUUGCAAUUGUUUCUAAUAAAAUAAAACAAUGAAGAAUCCAGACAUAACAAGUAACAAGAAAUUCUAAAAUGAUUUAUUUAGGUACUUAAGUCAAAAUAUAAGGUCUUUAUAACUUAUCUACUUCCAUCACUCUUAUAAUAGUAUUUUGUUUGCUACAGAAAUGACAGUUGUUCUUCACAUCCACUUAUGAAGAGAUUAAGUAAAAAAAGGAUUUUAUUUUUUUUGGUUGGGGAAAGGGGGGAUGGAAUCAAUCUCAAAGGAUUAAAAUUCAACAAAAACAGUUAAUCAGACAAGUUGUUAUACGUUGACCCAAAAACAGAUAAUAGUUUGUGAAUAUAAAACCAAUUAAAUUCACCAAUUAGUCACAUGCAAGGAAUCAGUACGUGUAACCAAAGAAAAUUAAGAAAACAUUCAGAUAAAAAUAAUUAAGCCUCAAGCCAAGCAAAAAAUAAGUAAAUCAUGAAAUGUUGAGAUAAAAUAAAUAAAUAAUAAAAUAAAAUAAAAAAAUUAAUUCAAAAACAGAGCUUACCAAAGUUGAGCCAUACUUUCAUAAUUCAUCAUAUUCAGAUUCCUAUUCGUUUAUAUAUAUAUAUAUAUAUAUAUAUAUACAUGUUAUUCAGCAUAUUUGGAUUCAUGCCACGGGCAAAACAUGACUGCCUGAGAAAAAAAUCAUGAAAUAAAAUCCACAGUGGGUUGUGUUGUGUUUGUGCAUGCAUGCAUGCAUGAAAAGUUUACUCUACCCAAGCAUUGACAGAAAAUUGUAUGGUUUGUCGAUCCCAACGCAUGGAAGUCGGAGCUGGAGUUGGAGUUGGGCCUGAAGUUGCUGAUGCCCCAGAUGUCCUGGUAGCAGACCCUACAUUAUAUAUUGGAUUGGGUUCAAUAAAACAGUAAUCCAGCAAGUGAAGAACAAAAGAAGUUCAGAACAUAUACAUUCAGUAUUUUCUUUCCUUUUCUAUUGCAAUUUUCAUAGUAGAAACAAGAAUUUAUCUACCUGAGUUACGUGCCCGUGGUUGCUCACUUGCAGCUGAUGACGAUGACGAGGAUGAACUACCCAUAGACAUUGCCUCAACCACAAGCUCAGGAUCCUGCUUUCCAAACAAAGUGAAGGAUCAUCAGAGAAUCAUUGUCUAAGCAACAAAAGGUAAGAUAAAGCUAGAUGAGUAGCAGAAACAUGCCAAAUUAAAACAACAUAUUUCCAAAAGCCUCUAGAGGCCCAUAUAAUAAUUAGAAUGCAAACGGCAUGAGUUCGCAUGUGUCUCUUAACUCCAUGAUAUAAUUAAACCCCAAAAAGUAUAGUUGUGUAUUCAAAUACCCAUUCCCUUUCCACAAACCUAUAGUUAACCCCAUUUUUUGAAACACGCAAAGCAAUAAUUUCAAUAUAUAUAACACAAAAUAGAUAUAUUAAAUGCACUAACUGAAGAUGCACUAAAGUACCCAAACCGUUUUCAAAGGAAGCUAGGGAGAAAAUUUCCAACCAAAAGGUGAGAAUCUUAGCAUUACAAUUUAAAGUAUAAAAAGAUCCAGAAGCAAAUGUUAAAUCAGAUAUUCAAACAAGAUUUUAAUGUUUAAUUCCCAAUUCACGAGCAUGUAUAAAAAGAAUAGAUAUAUUAGUAAAAGGAAAGAAAAGAUGUUGAAACCCGAUACAAGGACAUAAUCUAAAGCAAGGGAAAAAGAUGAACAAUGAACUACUUGGAGAAAUAAUAAAAUAACAGAACCCUAAUUCAUGGAAGUCCAAAUAUAAAACACAGAAAGCAAGCACAAAUAAGAGAAGGAAAACCAAAACAAUUUUAAGUUUAAUUUCUAGUUUCACAAGAAAAUAAAAAUAAAAAAUAAAAAAAAUGUCCAGAAGAAUGAAAACAGGAAAGAGUUUGCCAGAAGAAAAUUUGGAGAAGGGAAUUCUUUUUAGAAGUGAAUGGGAAUUCUCAACCAUUCAAAAACAGAACCAUGAAGUUCAUGUGAAAUGCCUAAACUUAAAACCUAAAAGGCACACCCCUCCCUGGGGGGGGGGGGGGGGGGGAACACAUUCCAGAUUAAAAUGAAAGGAUUUUCCUAGUUUCAUAAGAAAACAUCGAGAACUGGAACAACAAGCAGCACCAAGUUUGCAGUAAGAAUAAACGAAGAAUCAAAAAGAGAGAAGAGGAGAAUUAAAAGGUGCCAGAGCAAAGCGAACCCAGUAGGACACACCCAGAACCCUCUCCCCCUACUCCCUCCCUAAGUAAAACCAAGAAAAAGAAAAUUGAAAAAACGGGAAAAAAAAUAUAAAAAAAUAAAAAAUUCCCUGAGCUAACAGCAACCUGUCAAUGAAAACACUAAACAGGAAAGCCAUCUUCAUCUAAUGAAACCCCAUCCACAGGAAACCAGAAAUCAUGCAAAGGUCUUUAAUACUAAUACCAGGAGUCCUAUCCUUUUAUACGGUGGGAUGAUUCUCCGCCUUUCAAAUACACCAUCAUGACUCAAAUAUAUGGAUUUAAAGGCAGGCCAAGCACAACACUUAUCUGAAGUGUCAGGUUUUCAAAGUGAAAAAGAAACAUUCAGUGCAAAAAGAACCAAAAUCAAUAGAAAAAAGAGAUAUCUGCACUACAAUUAUAAGAUCUUUUUUUUUUAGUAAGACCUUUAAGAUCUACUCUAAAAAAUAUGUCCAGAAAUCAAACUGUUGGGUGGAUUAAACAUGGGAAAAAAAUUAGGAGGGAAGAGUGUUGCAAGUUGAAAUCCAUAUAAGGGCACACUCAAAGGAAUGAGGAGAAGAAGAUAACACACGAACUCCUCAUAAGCUGACUUUGAGAAUCACAACAUGCCAUUCUAUGAAAUCAAAAUCCAAAACCUGAGAGGUCAACCACCAAACCUAUAAUGGAGAAGGGAAGCUACCUAUGCUGGUUUCUAAUCCCAAGGUAACAGCUUACCAAGAAGAAGCCAAAAGCAGCAUCACAAUCAGAGGUAAAACCAUCAAAGAAACCCAAAGACCAAAUUCUCAACCAUAAAAACAAAUAAGAAAAAAUUUCAAAACUGCAAAAAUAAGAAAUAUAGGAAAUAAAACUACAAAAAAAAAAAAUUAAAACAAAAAUAGAAGAGUAAAGAAUUUCUCAGCAGCACAAAAACAAAAUCCAUGGAAAACCAAUCUUGUGUCCAAGAAUCAAGUACAAUAAGUGGAAGAAAUAAAACCCAAAUGAGACUCAAUUGGGUUCAGUUCUAGUUCCACUAGAUUCAUACAAUCAAAAAAUAUAUAUGCACGGAAACUAUGAUACUAAACGUUAUGGAAAAUGAAUCAAACAAAUACCUAUUUUAAAAGUCCAAGAAUCAAAGCUGCGAAGGCUAAGGGAAAUAAACAAAUAAAAAGAUAAAACUCAAUCAGACUUUCAGUUCAACCGUUACAAAAAAUAUAAAAUCAAGAACACAAACAAGAAAAUGAAAAUUUUCAUAUUUUCAAAUGCGCCAAUAAAUUUCUAAAACCCUCAUUUCAGAUUCCAAGAAUCAAAGCCCAAAAACAAAAACCCAAAACAGGUGAGAUGAGAUUAACAAGGUGUAGCUCUAAUUCCAAUAAAAUCAUGAAGAACAGGUCCAAAAAUAAAAAAAUCCACAAACCCGACUGACAGAGAAUUGAAACCCACAUGGAAGACAGACAAAACGAAAGAAAUCCAUCAGAGAUACGAUCUAAUUCAAAGAAGCCAUAUAAAGAAAAGAAAAAACCGAUACUUCAGGUGCCCAAAAACAGAAACAGAAACAGAAACAGUGGGAAGUAAUGAAUGGGAAAAAAUAAAAUCCAACUCAACCCAAUUGCUAGAAACCAAAACCCCAGAAAUCCGUAAUGACCCGGAUAGGAAUCUCCAAACGACCGCAUACAAGAGUCCAAAGAAAAAAAUCUCAUAGGAUCAAGAAGAAUACAUAAAGACUUACAUACAACACAAAUACACAUCUGCAUACACAAUUAUAGGCAUAUCUAGAUGUAUGGACAAGUGAAAGGAAACUAAACAAAAGAAGGGGGUUAAAGACGAGGAAGUGUACGGACGAUAUAACGCUGGUAGAACUUGCGCUUAAAGUGUUCGCGAACAUCGGAGCGAGAGGCCAUGUGGGGAGGGAUGAGGAUGUUGGACCAGUAGUCUGCCCAUCUUGGGUCGUUCUCGUAGUCGUACGCCGCCGCGGCUAUCUUCUUCAACCUCUGUGGAUCUUCUUCUCUGUCCGCCAUUUCAGUCUGUGUUUUCCUUUCCUGAAAGUCUCGGAUGGUGAGAAAGAAGAUCGGAAAAUGGGGCAGUCGUCUUUUCUUCCUCUACUCUUACUAGAGAGAGGCCCUUUCGGCAUUUGGGUAUCGUAUCUCUGGGUUCGGCUACAAUUAACGACGUCGUUUCAAUCAUAUAAAUUCCUUGAUACGACGCCGUUUAACGAACAUACAAAUUAUGGGUGUCGUGCAAGUUGUAGCUCAUUUAACAAAAUUCUCUAAUUAUUAAUACAUUAUUGUGGGUUUAAUUUCUAAUUCCCUUUGGUUGAUACUCCAAAGCCAAAUCCCAUAAAUAAAUCAUAAAUAUAAAUUAGAAAUCCAUCAUAUAUGAAAAUUAGGGUUAUAAAUCAAUUAGUCUGAGCUCCAUGCAACCUAUAACCUAAAAUAUUCAAUCAAGUAAGUUUGAUCGAAUUUAUUUAAUGGUAUAAUUUAAAAUUUAUUCAUAAUAUUUUUUUAAAAAAAUUUAAAUAUAUUUAUAUCAAAAUUCAAAUAAUAAAUUAAAUAAUAUUUCAAGAUAACAAUUAAAACGUAAAUAUAAAAUUAUACAUUUUUUAAAAAAUAUAUGAGAUAAUUAUAAUAUGAUGUUUUAAAAAAAAUUAAAAAUAAAUAUUAUCAUAUAGAAUCAAAUUAUAAAUAUUAUAAAAAUAUUAAAUUGGAUUGGGUUUGAAUGGUUGGAGCGAGGAGGAGAUCGGGCCAAAUAAACUUGCCGAAAUUACCCCUCGACUAUAAAUCGCAUAGAUUCAUAUAGGGGUAAUAAUUUUAGUGGGGAAAGAGUGGGAGAUUAAUUUGUGUAGUUGGGUGGGUGGGGAAUCAAGCAUCCCCAACUUUAGUGGUUGAGGAUAUUCCUUCGUUAGUUUGGAUUACAAGUCAUAGUAGAAAUCGAUGAAACCGACGUUAUGAGAGGCGCUACCCCUCACGUUUUCCGCGUGGCUCGAGCCUUCCUUGGUAGCUGCUUCCAGGAAUUUUCCCCCUAAUAAGAUUAAAGUUGAGUUUGGCCCCUGCUUUUGAAAGUCUUUGAACCCACUUGACCACAUAAAUCUAAAAACCUCAAAAAUAACCAAAAUAAGACUUAACUUUAUACCCUUUAGCUACAAAAAUAAAAAAAAAUAAAAAAAUAUUAUUACUACUUUAUUAUGUGUCAAUUUUUUAUCACUUAGGUGUUGUUUAGCUUGUUUUCCCAUUUCAAAUUUCAGAUUUUUUUUCUCUUUUUUAAAAUUUUUUUACUCUCACUUUUUUUUUUUAAUAUUAAAAGUAUUCUAUUAGUUUUUUUUUUAAAUUUUUAAUAUUUAAUAAAAAUGAAAUAUUAAAAAUUAAAUAAUUUAAUACUUAAUAUUAUUUAAUUUUAAAUUUUAUUUAAAAUUAAGUUAAAAAAAAAAACACUAUCUUAAUAUAAAAAUAAAUUGAAUAUCAUCAUAUAUAGUAAAAAUGUUUUCUUUUCAAUGUCAAUGAUAUCUCGAUUUUUACAAUUUUUUUUUCUUGUUUAGCAUAAAUAUGAUUGAAGUAGUCAAAUAGCACACUCAUAAAAAAAUAUGUCACAAUUUUAUUUCUUGGACUUCAUGUGAAGGUUAUUUUUUUUGUAAAGAAGAAAUGAGAGGUAGAGAUUUUUCCAACCGGACGUAACAAAAAAAAAUAUAUGUAUGAAUUUCUUUUUGAGAAUGUGUGAUUAGUCUAAUUGAGGCGAUUAUUAUAGGUUGGUCCAUUUAGGGGAUAAAUAUCAAAUAAGGAUUUUAUUAGCAUAUGGUCUUUAUCCUAACUAGUAUUAGAGUCAUUGAGAUAUUUUCGAGUGAAAAUCUCUUCUUUAUUAGCAUAUGAAUUUCUUUUGUCCAUUGUGUUGAGUUACGCGUGGUUUUGAAUUAUGGGUAAUGAGCCAGCUUUAAUUAGUAUUACAGUUCAUAGGUGGUUCCUCUUCCUGCUUUGUGACGGUUCAUAAUGGGCCUAAGUUCCUCUGGGGGCCCAAUCUGACCCAAGCUAGCCUAAGAUAUGUCAUUCUUGGAGUCAUAAAGCUGUACUAGCAAGUGUGAUUGGCAUUGUAGUGUCAGAAAACUGAGAAAAGUCUCUCUUAACUACUGCACUAACCUUUUCUGCUGAAUUUACUCAGGCAAAAUGGCCAUUCAUGGUACGCAAUUAUGCAUUUAUAUAACUAGGAAAAUUCUUCAAUAGCAAAAGUGAGUACCAUACCCCUAGGGAUUUCUAGCUAUUAGAUGAAGGUCUUUGAAUCUACACCAUCCAAAUGGAAAAUAGAUUUUAAAAAUUAAAUAAAUAAAUAACAAGUACAGGAAUAGGAAUAGGGUGUCAGUAUCUCCUAUCCCCCCACUUUCCUACCCUGUCUAUUUUCUUCCUAUUCUCUUUUCUCUUCUCUUUCCCAUUCCCUCAUAAAUCUUUUUUUUCUUCUUAUGCUCUCGUCAACAUGGUUGGUUUUAAUCGAGGAUAAAAAUAUUGAUAAUUAUAAAUAUAUUAAUACUUUAAUUUUACGAAUAUAUCAAAAAUAAAUUGAUGAAUAUUUUGACACAAUAUCAAUAAAUCUAAAAUUAAUUAAAACUUAUAAAAAUAUUAAAAAAAACUCUUAAAAAUAAAAUUAAAAAUAUAAUAAAUAUUUUUAAAUUAUUUUGUUCAAUAAAUUGAGAUAUAUAUAUAAUUUAUCAUAUUUUAUAAUAACAUUAUAUAUGAGGUCGAUUAAAAAUAUAUAAAUUUCAUAAAUAUACAUUUAUUAUUAAAUUAUAUCAAAUACUAUUCGAUAAUAAUAUUGUGAUAUUUGAUUAUACUUUGUAUGAUUUUAAAAUAUAUUUAACAUUAAAAUUAUAAUUCAUUUAAUAUAUGUAUAAUUUUUAAUACUUAAUUAAUAUAUUAAUGAUAUUAAAAAUAUUAUGAAGAAAAUCAUCAUGAUAAUUUUUUUAUAUUUUUGGUAAUUAAUUAAAUAAAAAAAUUUCAUUUAAUUAUAAAAUAAUUAUAAUUAAUUUGUUCAUUAAAAUAUUAUUUAGUAUUAUGUUUAUAUGAUGAGUUUUAGGUUAUAUAUGUUUGGUGGAGUAUAUUUAAUGAGAAGCAAGAUUGGCCCGGUGGUUGGCCUAGCGACGAGUUUUUUACCUUUGACCACAUCGUCCCAGGUUGAUCGCGGCAAAAUAUCACGAUAAAUCAUUGAAAAUUGAUAAAAUGACGAUAAAUUAAUAAAUAUAGGAGAAACUCACGAUAAAUUGACGAAAAAAUGAAGUAUCGAUAUUUCUCCCCUAUAUAUUGUGUUAAGGUCCGCCGAAAUACAAUAUUUUAAUCCAUGGUUUAACGAGGAAGACAAGACUAAAGCUUGGUUGGAGUUGAAGAUGAAGAAGGAAGAAGAAGAAUAAAAAAAACUUGAAGUGAAGACAAACCAAGAAAAUGAAAAAGAAGACCUUGAGUAAGGACAAAGCAAAAAGAAGAAGAAAAAAAAUACCUAAAGUGAAAAUUUCGACAAAGCAGGAAGAAAAAAAUAAAAUCAAAUCAAAUUGAAACUGUAGAACUUAUGGUCAAUCCAAAGACACUUGUGACGUAGUUCUUAGAGUAGUAUUCUAAGCUUAAAAAAAAUGUGAGAAUUAUUGAUGUUUUUAUAAAAAUAAAAUAAAAAUAAAAAUUCUCCAUUGUGGAAUUGCUCUCUCUCUAUGUAUACACACACACACACACGUACACAUACACACACAUUUGCAUUUUGUUAAAAUUUUAUGGGGAAAAAAAAUCAACAUGUUCUAUUCUACUUUAUCAAUGUUCCGUUUUUAAUGAGGAGCAUAUCUCACUUGUGACGUAGUUCUUAGAGUAGUCUUCUAAGCUCACAAAAAAUGUCAGUAUUAUUGAUGUUUUUAUAAAAAUAAAAAUUCUCCAUUGUGGAAUUGUUCUCUCUCUCUCUCUCUCUCUCUCUCUCUCUCUCUCUCUCUCUCUCUCUCUCUCUCUCUCUCUCUCUCUCUCUCUAUAUAUAUAUAUAUAUAUAUAUAUAUAUAUAUAUAUAUACACAUACACAUUUGCAUUUUGUUAAAAUUUUAUGGGGAAAAAAAUCAGCAUGUUCUACUCUACUUUAUCAAUGUUACGUUUUUAAUGAGGAGCAUAUCUCACAUAACUCCUUCAAUAAAUGUCUACCUAUUGAAGAUUAUUGGCAAAUUUUAGGAUUGUAGUGUCAAAUGAUAAUUGGGAAUUUAAGAAAAUAGGAAAAGGGAAAGAGAAAUUUCAAGAUGGAGAUAAUGAGUUGAAAAUGUGCCUUUUACCUUAAAAUCAUAAUAGAAGAGGAAAAAAAAACAUAAUAAAAAAUGAGUUUAAUUAAUGGAUGAAUUUAAUAAAAUGGGUAAUCAACUUAUUUUUUUAAAGUUUCAAUUUUGAUUGAUUGAGAGACCUUGAAUUUUGAUACCUCCAUUUUUAAUCUUUUUUUUUAUUGAACAUAGUUUGUAUAAGAGUUAUUUAUCCUAGGAAGGGGUAACGAAGAUGGUAUCGAUGAGAUUUUCAAGAUAAUAAUGGAGUGGUCCAUAAUAUUCCCACAAUUGAAAAUGUAAAGAGAUUUGUGGGGAAUUUUGAGUGGUAAUUUUGUUUGUAUGUUCUUUGACAUUUCUUUGUAAAAUAGUAAUACAAAUUUGAUUGAAAUAUGAGUUAGAUUUUGUUGGAGUUUUUAAGAUAGUUUGGUUGAUGGAAGUAUAACUCAUUUAUUAUGUAUUAGUUCUAUUUUAAUUUGUCCUUUAAGCAUCAUAAUUCUUCUCAUUUAUGCCCUCAACCAAUGUGAAAUCAAUAAUAAUAAUAAAUUAUUACAUAUAUUUUUAUAAAAACUUUAAGCCUCUAACAUAUUUAGUGGAAAAGAAUUAAAAUAAAAAUAGAUUAUAGUAUUUUAAAUCAUAUUAGAAAAUUAACUUAAUGUCUUGAUCUAUUUUUUAGGAGCAAUCACAGUGGAACUAAACUUCCUACAAUUCCUAAGAGGUCUAUCAUAACUUGUAUACAUUUUUGGUAAGGCAAAUUAGAAAUUUGUAAUGUAGUAAUUAAUUUUUUUGUCUUGUUGUUAUGCUUCUAUUUAUUUCAAAUUAUGAUGCAAUAAUAAUCAAUUGGGCACUAUAAAAGAAGGUGAUAAAGGAAUGAGAAUAAAUGUUGUAAGGAGUAAUAUUUUUUUUAGCUAAUAUUACUAUUUUCUAAAUUUGAAAUUUCAACUAACUAACAAAUAAUUGUAGUUGAGGGAAAAUUUGAAUAAGAAAUAGAAUGUGCUUCCAAAGAUUAAAAAAAAAUAAAAUUGGUUUCAUGGUAAAGUCAAAGGAAAGUUCAAAACAAUAUUUGCUUAAAAAAAGUGUGGGUCUAAAUGUAAAAGUAUUUUUAAUUAAUAAAAAGUUUCAUUAAUUUUAUAUUUGUUUAAAAUAAUAUUAAUUGAAAUAUAUUUAUAUAUCUUUUCAAUUAUAUCUUCACAUACAAUGCUCAUCCGAUUGAAUGCUUAAAAUUGUUGAAAAGUUACAACCAAAACAAAAAGGACAACGGAAAAGAUUGGAUUUGGUAAUCUUUUGCAACAACAAUGUACCAAAAUUGAUCAUGACUUAUGUCUUGGGUUGGUAAAUAAUUUUGAUUUUUACUCUUACACAUUAGAAGUGUAUAACACUUGUAUAAAAUUGUUGUCGAUUGAUGUAAAAUUUAUUAUAGGCUUGAAGGCAAAAGGGUUGAAAAGUGUGUAUGAAUAAAUAUAUUAGCAAUAAGAAUGAGUUGUGUAAUAAAUAUUGUGAUAAAAAGGGGCAGUUGACAUUAGUUAUGUUAGAAAAUCCAAUUAGGGAUAACAGAUAUGGUGGAAAUGAUUUUAAGUUUGUUUUGUAUUAUUUGUGUUAGGUGUCUUGUUAUGCCUAACAAUGAAGAUUUUUAUUAAACGUUCAUUCUCACAUAUUCUAGAAGACACUGGUUCAAUAAAAAAGAUAAAUUUGGUUGAAUUUGUCUUAUCUUAUGCAUGAAAUUGAAGAUUUUAAGACUAACAAACAAAGUGACAUUUCUGGUUACUUAUUAUUUUUUAUGGUAAUGUCCUUAUAUAUAAUUUAUCUUAUGGUGAAUUUAGAAUUUGUUAUAAAAUGUGAGGUAAACUAAGUAUAUGUCCUAAAAUAUAUUUGUAGUUAUUCUACUAUGAGCAUAAAUUGUUUGAACAAAUUUUUUCACUGCUAUCUAUUGGACCUUGUCCUUGUAUUGGUGCUUGGAGAGAUAACAAGUUGUUACAGAUGAAACAAAGAUUUAGAAAACUCGAUGGUUAUCCCAAUGUAAGCUAUAUUGACCAAUUUGAUUGAAUAUUUUAUUUUGUAUUUAGUGAUUUUGAAUAGGAUCUGUCUAAUAUAUUCAUUAACAUAUGAUAGGUGAAUAUAUGGGUUAUAUAAAACGGGAAAGAAUAUGAAAUAAAGAAAAUGAGAUGAGAGUGGAGAGGGAUAUGGAUGACAAAAUGAAAAUCUCUCCACAUGGAGAUGUACUUUAAGUUAGUGUAACAAUAUUUUUUAACUUGUAUAAAUAUUAGUAGUUAACUCUUAUAUUAUCAUCUUAUUAAUCAAUGUUCCUAUAUAUCAUUAGGUUGAUGAUGAAAGCUUAAUGAAUAUGGAAAAAGCUUUUAAACAAUUGAAGACCUAAAUAUUUGAUUUGUGUAAUGGUGGAAAUAGAAGUUGUCAAAGUGUUUUCCAUGAAUUUUAGGUCAAAUACACAACAUUCAAACAACUAUUUCUUGCUUAAGAGAAAAAUGUUUGAGAAACAAAGGGAAUGGAAAACAAAGUAACAUAACUUCAUUAGAGAGAUCUUUGAAAGAGAAAGAAAAUGAAAAUGAAAAUGAUGUUAACACUUCUUUAAUUGACAAGUACUUGAAAGAGAACUUGAUUGGAAAAAAGAAAGACGAAUCUCUAACAUCAUUAGAAAAAAUAAACCUCGUUUGUGAAGAAAUUAUUGAUAUAUUACCACUUCCAAUGAAAAGGCAAAACAAUGAUAAUGGAAUGGUAUAUAUAAUCAUGAGAUGUGUGUUUUUUUUUAUGACAACUUCUUCAUUACAUAAUGCAUACAUGUGUAUUAAUGAGAUUUUCCUUCUUAUGAACCAUUAUGAUCACUAUAUCUUAUUCCUAGUCAUGUAAUGAAAACACGCACAUCCAAGGAGAGAAAGCCAAGAAAAUCCAAGGUAUCCAUGUUUGUUCAAGAUUUAGAGAAGAUGGAAAAGCUUAAACCAUGUGAGAUAUAAUACAACUACUCACAUAAUAUUUUCUCAUUGAUUAAACAUUAUAUUUUCAGCUAAUAAUUGUGUUGUUUUCUAUGUAGUUAAUCCUCAUGUUCAUUCAGGAAGAUGUAGUGGAUUCACAAUCAUGCAUUGUACUUAAAUCUCUUAUUGGUAAUUAUGUUUUUAAUAAAUCAUUGUCAACAAAGUUUGCAUUGUAGUUAACCUUCAUAGAUGUAUUUUAAUAAUUUUAUUUAAUGUUCUUUCAUAUGUAUAAAUUUUUUUUAAUAACUAUUAUUUAAGUGAGCUUCUUGUAGAUAUUGAUUAUGAACAUAGAGUUCAAGGAGAUUUCCAACCUUAACGUCUAAGACAAAAAAAUUUGGAUGUAGUAAGUAUUAUUUCAUUCAUAUAAAUUUACUGUUAGAUUAUAUUUCAUAGUCAUUAUUAAACUUAUUAUACACCACAUAUGAUAAAUCUUGAAGCAUCCAAACUUAAUAUUUUUAAAGAGGCAAUUGAGAGGGAUACACAAUAUAAGAUCUUAUCUACCAAUGACAUUUUCAAUAGUCUCAUUUCUUUGUUGUUGUUUAGGUAGAUAUAAAAUAUAAUAUACUAAUGUUUAUCUUAUUUUGUAUGAUCGGUAAAUGAUUUUGUAUGAGAAUCAUAAACCUAUUUUUGAUAAUAAUAAAAAAAAAAAAACCAUCCAUCGUGAGUAACAUUAUCAAAUUGGACGAUUGUGAGAAUGUUAGUAGUAAUUUCUAAUGUCUUAUUACAUAUAUCAAACUUAGUGCACAUACCAUUUUUUACUUGAAUAGAGUUUGAUAAUAUAAAAUUUUUUCUCCUUUGUAGCCAUAUUUAUGACAAUUGUCCUGAUCAUAGGUAACCAUGCAUAAUUCAUUUUGGAAAAAUGUAAUAUCUAAAUUUUUUAUUCCUUACAAUCAAAAAAUAAAGAAUACUUUUGAUAUAAUAGGGUGAAUAGUGGAAUGCUUCCAAACUAUGUUUUUUCUUUUUCUUUUUUCUUUUCCAUAUAUAUUGCACAUUUUUAAACAUUAUUAACAUUUAAAUACUCAAACAAGUUGAAUUAUGUCAAACCUUCUUCAAGUUUCAUGAAUAAGGGAAAUAUGUCUUCGAGUUCCCCAUUGAUUGACCAUCUUGGGUUCCAAGUCAAGAUAAUAGGUCAAUUAUAAUAUGUGAAUGUCUAUAGUAUUGUUUAUUUGAGUUAUAAUAGUCAAACCCCUGUACUAAGAUGUUUUUCAUUUAUUCUACUUUAGUAAGUGGUAUUGUGUAAUCCAUGUGAUUAAACACAUACAAACAUUAGAGUAUUUGGAACCUAUGAAGGCCUCUAUCAUAACAAGUUCCUCUCAAAUGCAUUGACAAAUAACAAUUGAUUUAGUACUUUAUGAGGGAAACAAAGAAAAGAAAAGGAUUUUGUUUACUAUAUGCACAAAUACAUCCGAUCUACACCGAAACUAUAAGGAACUAUCGUGACCUAUUGGACUGAGUGCGGUCUAUACAAAAACAAGACAAAAUAACUAUGUGACUGAUCUUACAGGUGUAAUCUACGCUGAAAAGGAAACUGAGCUAUCAUGACCGAUCGAACAUAGCAAGAUAACGACGUAACCGAUUGUACACAUGUGGUCCACAUCGAAAACGAAACUAAGUUGUUGUGAUAGAUCAGACUGGGUGCGGUUUAUGAUGAAAACUAGAUAGGGCAAUGACAUGGUCGAUCGUAUAGGUGUAUUCUACGUCAAAAAUGAAAAUGAGUUGUCAUAAUCGAUUAGACCGAGUGUGGUUUAUGAAAAAAAACUAGACAUGACAACGAUGUGAUUGAUUGUAUAGGUCUAGUAUACACCAAAAACGAUAUUGAACUGUUGAGACCUAUCUGACAUGGUGCGGUUUGUGAUGAAAACCAGAUAAGACAAUGACAUGACUAAUUGUGUAGGUGUGGUCUACGCUGAAACCAUAACUGAACUAUCGGGACCUAUCGAAUUGGGUGUGAUAAGUUAUCAAAACCAGACAGCAUAAUGACGACCAAUCGUACAAGUGCGAUUUACACUAAAAGGGAAAUUGAGUUGUCGUGAUUCAUCAGAUCAGGGGUAGUUUAUGAUGAAAAUUAGACAGGACAAUAAUGUGACCAAUUGUAUAGGUACGACCUAUGUCGAAAAUAAAAUCGAGUUGUCGUGACUAAUCAAACCUGGUACGACCUAUGAUGAAAAGUAGAAAGAAUAACAACGUGACAAAUUGUAUAGAUCUAGUCCGUCGAAAACGAUACUAAGUUGUUGGGACCUAUUUAACCAAGUGCAAUCUGUGACAAAAACUAGAUAGGACAACAACAUAAUUGAUUAUAUAGGUGUGGUAUACGACAAAAACGAUAUUCAACUAUCGUGACCAAUCGGACCAUGUGCAGUUUAUUGUUAUUAUGAUUUUUUUUUUCUUCUAUCUUUGUGAUUUUCAUGAAUAACAUUAGAACGAACACUCAAGAUUUCAAACCAUUAUACCCAUGAAGGAUGAUGAAGUGAAAGAUAUGUUGAUGAAUUAUAUGACAUGAAAAACAAUACUCAAGAAUUAAUGAGGAAGAAAUUGAUGGAAAUUAUGUUUUAAAGAAAAUGAGAUCUUUUAGUCCCCAUCUCCAAAACAUCUCCAUAUAUGGUUGUUUAAUUAAAUGGGAAGAACCAACAACAAUGAAAUACCAUAGAGGGUUCCUCAUAAGUAGCAUAAUGUACUAGUUGAGAAAUCCUCUAUUGGUAGACCUUAGGCGGUCGAUUGGUACAACCAUAAAGUGGACUAUGACUUGGUUAGUUGUGGGCAAUCAAGGAUCAUUCUCUAUCGAUUAUCAAUUCUCAACUUUUUUUCCUUCAUUCCAACAAUGAUGCAAUAAUAUCAUUAAGAUUAAUUAUUGGCCUAAGUUAUAACGAAAGAAAACACAAGUCUCCAUUUUGAAUUAGCCUAAGUUAUCUGAAUAAGGAAUAGCAAUAAUCAUGCACAUCAUUUUCAUAUUGAGUAUUGUUUAGGCCUGCACCAUGACAUUCUUUUUCAACAAUUUCUUCAUAAUGUUCAAAUUGCGAUACCUACACAUUUAUAACCCAUGUUUAUAAUCUACACCACCAAGUUCACUACCAUUAAUUUUAGAUUAUUAUAUAAAAUAUUUAUCAAAAUGUUUGAAUAUGAGGAGGGUAUAUUUAUCACUUGACUCAACAUACACGAACUAGGAAUCUCUUCCAAAUGAUCAACCUUCAUAACAACAACCAUGUGAGAAUAGGAAAUGACAAUGGACUCAAACAUCAUACAAAAGCAUUUUAAUGUUACUAUCUCCGACCAAAACUAGACUUCUCAUUUAUAAUUUGGGUGUCUAAAAUUAGAUAAUAUGUACGAUCAAAAUGUGUUAUUAUUUAUUAUUUUGACCAUAAAGAGUAACUUUGCAUUCUUUAUCUUCUCGCACAAUUUGAAGAACAAUUCCAUAAUGAAGACACUAAUUGUAUGUUUCUCAAGUAUAAUGAAUUUGGUUGAAAGAAUAAAUGAAGCAUUGUUAAUCUNNNNNNNNNNNNNNNNNNNNNNNNNNNNNNNNNNNNNNNNNNNNNNNNNNNNNNNNNNNNNNNNNNNNNNNNNNNNNNNNNNNNNNNNNNNNNNNNNNNNUGAAGACCCAAUUUUUCCACCAUAUCAUGCCAAACAUGUUUCAAAUCUUGGGAAUUCUCUCUCAUGAACAUGCAACUUGCAAAAGUUGAUGUGAAGUCCUUAAUAUGCACAUUUGUGAAUGUAUUUCAUUAGAAAUUCCAUGCACACAAGUGAUGACACGCAUCAAAAAUGACUUUUUUUUAUAUUGUUUUAUACAUUAUUUUACCCCCAUUGGUUACAAAAAAAAUAGGUUUUUUUGUUUAUCAUUGUAUAAAAAACAACUUUAACACUCAUUCAUAUGUACCAAUACUUCCAUCCAUUAAUAGUAUACAACCAAACACCACAAUUUGGUGGUGAUGUUUAAUACCAAUCAAAACGAAAAACAAAUUCUUAUAUGCAUUGGUCCGAUAUGUUGUAUUAAAUGCAACAUAUCUCUAAAACAUGCAUAAUCCAAUUAAGAGGUUGAAUCAACCCAAAACAAGUUUGCUAGCAGACUUUCUUAAUCAACAUUGAAUUUAUAAUUAAAAGUAGGAUUUGUGUAUACCUUUCCAUAGAAAUAAGUCAAAGUUGCUUUUGCAUCACUAUUUUUAAUUUCAAUUCUACACAUUGCAUCAACAAGAUUGUAUAGAUAUUUUAGUGUGAAACCAACAUUUUCAUGUCCUCCUCAUUGUUGCACUAUAUAAUCCAUAAUUUGGCUAAUUUUAACAUUAGCUUUACACAUUGCAUGAAGUUGAGCCUUAUCUGAAUUAUUUAUUGCUCGAUGAAAUCAAAGAAAUUAUAUAUCAAUUGCAUCAACCAAAUGAUAAUUAUGGUUUUCCCUAACUCUUUAACAAUCCACUUCUCCAAUUUUCUAUUAAAACUAAUACGAAAACAGCUUGACAACCAAGUCUAGUCAAUGAUCUCGGGUCAUGUUGAUUUUUAUUUUGAAAACACUUUGCCAAUUUAUGUCUUUUUUAGAACAUACCCACUUUCGAGAAAUGAUAUCUCCAUUCUUAUCUCGUUUCAAAUCAUCUUUCUGAACACUAAAUAUGGUUACUUUAGCGAACAUGUUGUAAAAUGUUUAUGUUUCAUAUAUAAAAUUGAAUUCCGAAUUUUGUAGACUUCUUCAUUUGAAAUAUCAUUUCAUACCUUCUCAUUCAAGAUUUGAAAAUCAUUGUUAAAACUACCAUCAAUAUAUGGAUCCUCAUGAAUUUCAUCGUUAAAGUCGAUUACAAAAUAUUUCACUUUUUCUUUCUCCAUGUCCUCUAGUACCAAAUAAAAAUUUAAAAUUUAAAAAGAAUUGCAAUUGUCAAGAUUACAUUGAAAAACAUGGAAGGUAUUUUCAUGGGUUUUUUAAGGCAACAAAAUAUAGGUUCCUUAUUUGGUGCAAUAGGGUAGUGGUUUCACUUUAGCUAUAGCAAUUGGAUUUUGGUAAGCGACUAGUGAUGCAACAUAUAACGACAAAAAUGGUAGUAUAUAACGAUUGAGAAAUCACUCAACUGAUACAACUACAUCAGUCAAUCGAUUAGGGGUUUUCAAGAUUUUAAUAGUGUAGCAAUGAGUAGUGGUUAAGUUUUCUCUCUACCGGUCAAGACCAAUUCCCAACCACUACAUACUACUAGUUUUGAGUAAAUUUGAAAAUCAAAAUAAAUCAAAUAAUGAAAUAAUAUGCAUUUUCAAAUUUAAACAAUAAUCAAUACUAAGAUAUAAAUUAUAAUAAUACAAUUUAACAUUAUGAAUGGUUUUUUUUCCCAUAUUUAAGGUAAUAGGUUUGUAUUAUAAAAUUAAAUUAGUUGUUUGUCAAAGAUGUUGUUAACAUAUGUAUGGUUAGACAAUGAUCUUAUAUUGACAAUUAAAAUUUCAACUUUGGGGAUGUCUUCUUCAACACAAAUAUCUUUUAAUUUCUCCAUUCACCAUUCUAUUCUAAAACCUUCUCAUUUGACAUUCUUCAUCUCCCCUAAAUUUUUUUCAUUGUCUAAACUACUUACUAAUUAUAUUGGUUGGUAGGUAAAUUAAAUAGUAUUUUUAAUGUUUUGUCAUAUUUAGCAAAAAAAAUAUCUAACUUGGUAUAAUUGGUUGUUGUAUAUUCUAUUUUUGAUAUAUUUUGUUAGAUGACAUUAAAUUUCAAAUCCUAACAUAAUUUAUAAAUUGUAAUAAAAAUUUAUAAAUUGAAUUAAAUUAUUUCGAUUACAUAGGUUAUAAAUAAUUUAUUCCCAUUGUAAAUUAUCUAAUUAAUAUAUGAAAUUUCAUUUAACCCAUACCCCUAAAGGCAUUUUGAAGGCCCACAUAAAUGAAAAUUCCAUUUAACUUAUACUCGAAAAAGAGUGAGUCUACUCAAUAGUCAAUCGAUGUUUGGAAUGCUAAGUCGAAAUCCAAACAUCUAGUUGCUUCAAUUUUCAUCACAUUCUUUAUAGUAAUCGAGGCAUUUUGCUUUUGAAGCUUCCAAAUCAUACCCUUACCCUUAAAUCUAAACACAUUACCCAUUAUAUCAAAAAAUUGAACCAUUAGCCCAAAAUCCCUAACAAUGGCACCCAAACGAGCUCUGGUGGCAAAGAGCACUAAGAGAGGCAAGAGAUUGGAUGUUGACUGUGGAGUUAACGUUCGAAAAAAGGCGACAUUUGAUACCCACAUGUUCAACAGCCCAGAGUUAGCAUGGAGAUUCUCUCUACAUUUCGCCAAUAGACAUGUCAUUACGAGUAGGAACAUUGAUUUUGCUUGGUUAUGUUAUUUCAGAUUUAAUCUUCUUUUUUCGAAUAUGAGAUGACUAUCUAUUGUGUCAGUGAGAGAACUCUUUUAUCCAAUGGUAGUUAAAUGCUUAUAUUCCAAUAUGAAAUUCAAAGGAGAAUGAUUCAUUACUAUAAUUGUGAAUGGUACAAAAAUUAAGUUUGAUGUUGGGGAGCUAUGUGAUAUUUUAAAGAUUUUGAAUUAUGGGUUGUGUUUAUUUUUGAAUAAAAAAAGUGGCUCAAGGUCAAUAGUCUUAAACCGGCAGAAACUAUAUAGAGGUUGUGUGAGUAUUCGAAAGGCAUUAUGACUAAUUGACCAACAGCUGAUAAGUAAAUUGUAUUGAGUAGGAUCCUCUAGCACACGAUCAAUUAUAUAUUCAUUCCAAAGUUUAGACAUUAGGACAAUGUUUUAUUCUUUGAGGCGUUUUUGGUAGACAACAUUUUUGACUGGGAGGAAAAUUAACAUGGGCUCCAUUAUUUUUGAGCAUAUGAAAGUUUGUUUGUUAAGUAGAGAUUCUAUACUAUCAUAUGGGAUGUUUAUUACGAAGAUCAUGAAAUUCUACGAUGUAAAUUUGCACCAAGAGAUUGACACUAAAAGACUUAAGUUGUUUGACACAUACAAUAUCACCUCCCUUCAUCUCAUGCAAUUUGAGCAUAAGUUGAAUAGUAUGUGGGGAAUAAGGUUUUCCAUGGAUCUUGUAGGAGAUGAUGUGCAUUUAAAAGAGGAUGAUGAAAAUUAUGAAAUGGAGGAAGUAACGAAUAUGGCAUUAAUAAUGAUUUUAUAAAGGAGACUAAGGUAGGUACAAAGGCUUUAUUGAACAUCCCGUGCAUACACCUAUGAAAGAUCUUAAGUCUUUGGAUAACCUAGUUGCGCAAAUUAGCUCCGUUGGUAUGCAUUCAAAGGAAAUGACUUUAACUAUUGAUAGACGAUUGACAUCUCUGAAGAAGUGAAUUGGUAAGUUGUACAAGAAUUUCAAUGUCGAUAUAGUGUUUCUAAGAGGUCAACAUAAAGAAAUGAUGAUAUUUCUUAGAGCCUAGUUCCCACCUAAUGACCUAAUUUAACAUUGACUCAACAUACAAUGUAGAAGGAUUAUAUAUUUAGCUUCAUUUUUUUUUUUUUUUUUUGUCUUUUUGCUACAUUUUGGGAAUGUAGUGGAUUAUAUGGAAUUUUCAAGUACCAUUUUUUCUAUAUUGGCUAUUAAUAGCCAAUUGACAUAUCCGGAUUAUAUAAUUAGCUUUUGAUUGGGUAUUGCCCUCUUUUUUUUUACUACUUGUUAUAUUUGGAAUUAUGCAUUGGAUCUACUCAAUCUUGAUAUACAAUUUAAGUAAUUUAUCUAAAUCAUUCUAUUUUAUUUUCUAAGCUUAGUUUCUAUUAGCCUAUUCUCAAUGUUAGCUUGGUGUAGCUCUUAACAUUUUUUAUUUCAUUAUAAUCAUAUUCAUUGGGUCAUAAGCAUUUUAAACAUACUAUAUUAUUCACAUUUCUCUUUAUAUGCACUUUCAAUUAUUAGUUGUUUUACUAUUCUCAAUUAGUAUCAAAGUUAAUAAAGGCAAAAGAUGGGUGUUGGCAAACUGGUUAUUGGUUGCUGGGUUGGUUAUUAGUUGACCCAUUUGAGUUUUCAACCAAAUCUAGCAACACCCAUCUAGUGAAACAUGGUGGGGAGUGGAGAAAGGUUUCAAAACUAGGUAUACUCCCAAUAGGUUUUUCAUUUUUUGAUGUGUUUUUUUUUUAAUUAUUUUUUAUGUUUUUUUUUUCAUUGAUCUAUUUAUGUUUUAAUUUUGUGGUGUUAUUUCAAUUAUUAUUGUUUUAUUUUUAGUUUUGUGGGGUUUUGAUGUUUGAUUGAUAGGUUUCCAUGUUCUAAUCCAUCUCUCUAGUCUCAACCUAACAUUAUUGUGUCAUUUUGUCAUAAAUCCUUUUUGGGUUCGAUGUAAAGUGGUUGUUUUAUAUGGGGAAAAAGAAAGAAUGAACGAAAACAAACUUAUUGUAGUAAAAUCUUUUUAUCCUUAUUCUAUUUUUUGUAUUUCUUAUUUUUGCAAGGAUAGACCAGUGAUUUGUUUUUUAUGCUUUUGUUUUUAAGGCACUUGAAGUUGAUCUGGAUUUAGAGUAAAGCUUUCAAAUCCACUAAUAGUAUUGCCCUGUAUGAUUGCUUAGUUUUCUUGAAAUUUGAAAUAUUAUUUCCUCCUAGAUAUGGAUAUUUUCUUUAUCAAAAGAAAAAACAAAGGUUAUGUUUAUCAUGUUGAGAUCCUCUUUUAUUUUUCUCAUUCUAUGGAGUUGUUUUGGAUCUUUGUUCCAAAAUUGGUUCAUGUGGAAUCCAUCCACAUAACAUUGAAAUGUUUCUAAUUCAUCUUAUUCUUAGAGAGUGAUGUUUGUGUUUUAUAUUGUCUAUCUAAAAUAGAUGGAGGAGGAUGAGAUUUGGUUACAAGUCCUCAAACUUGAUUGUUGGUUUGUAUUAUCUUUGAUUUAUUGUUAAUUUUUAUGUUGUUUAUCUUUGUAUGAUGUAGUAAACAAAAUUUAUUAUCUAUUUUCCAAAGAUACUUCAAUUUAUUUUCUUAUUUUUUGUACUUAUAUCAUUUUGUCAUUCACAUUACCUGAUAUCUAAUAUUGAUUUUCCAUACAUCUUCCAUUUCCUCAUAUUUAAUAUAUUGAUUGGUGUUUUGAUUUAUAUUGGUCCAAUGGGUUUUAAGUUUCUUGAUUGAAGUGUUGUAUCGUGAUUCUAAUCUCAUGAGGAAUUUUUUUUCCCAUUUUCACAUUUAAGUAGUAGAAACCUUAUUCAUUCUUUUGGUUUAUAUUAAUUGCUCUUUUCCUUUAUCUGGUUUGUUUUUGUAUUGUUUUUUAAACAUAGAGGGAGAAACAUCAUAGAUCCACCAUUGCCUUGAUGACAAAAAGAGACAUCAAUUAUUUUGUGACCGGUUGCAUUUUUGGGAUUGAUCGAUAAGUGUGGCAUUGAACUAAAAAGUCGUAGUAUGUAGUGGUUGAAAAAUCAUUCAACCUAUCCAACAUAACUAGAUGGUCAAUACUAUAUUUUGAAAAUUGGGGAGGUAUGAUAGUGAUAUUAUUUAAAAGCACUAAUUAUAUUUAGAUUUAAUGGAAAUGAUGCACAAAAAAAAUUGAAAACUUAAAAUACUAAUCCUCACAUUUUUCGUACCCUUCAAAAUUUUCACUUUGAAUUUAAAUUUUUUGUACCAAUUCGUAUAGUUAUAAUAUUAUUUGAAAAUAGUAAUUAUAUUUAGAAUUGAUGGAAAUGAUGCACACAAAAAAUUAAAAACUUGAAAUACUAAAAAAUUGGGGAGGGUAUAAAGAAUGUGAGAAUUUCUCACAUUCUUUGUAUCCUCCCCAAUUUCCACUUCUUUGAUUUUUAAGAUUUUUUUUUUCUACUUCAAAUAACUAAGAUAUUGUUUAAAAACAGUAAUUACAAUUAGAAUCAAUGAAAUUCAUGCACAAAAAAAUUGAAAACUUGAAAUACUAACAAAUUAGGGAGUGUACAAAGAAUGUGAGGAUUCCUCACAUUUUUUGUAUACUCCAAAAUUUUCACUUCUUUGAAUAAAAAAAAAAAAUCAUAUCAUAUAGUCAUGAUAUUGUUUAAAAAUUACAUUUAGAAUUGAUGGAAAUGAUACACAAAAAAUUGAAAACUUAAAAUACUAAAAUAUUGGGAAGAGUUUCUCGUAUUCUUCGUACACUUCAAAGUUUCCAUUUCUUUGAUUUUUAAAUUUUUUUUUUUCCACUUGAAAUAACUAUGAUAUUGCUUAAAAACACUAAUUACACUUAGAAUUGAUGGAAAUGAUAUACAAAAAAUUUUAAAAUUUAAAAUUCUAAAAAUUUUUGAAGGGUACGAAGAAUGUGAUUUGUACCGUCCAAAAUUUUUACUUCUUUGAAAUUUUAGAUUUUUUUUUCCACUUUAAAUACUAGUUAUAUUGUUUUUCCUACUUUUAAUAUUUCAUCCAAUCUUCCUCACAAAUAAAUUGAAAUUACAAUAAAAAAUUAAUAAUACAAUUUAAAAUUAAUAAUAUAAUUUCUAAUUAAUAAUUAGUACAUUGCCAUUUUAAUUUUUAACAAUAAAUAUUUAUUUUAAUUUAUUUAAAAUUAUUUUUCUCAAGGUCUUUAGGUUUGUCACUUUAUAGCAUAGAAUAAAUAGCAACUUCUCUUUUACAAAAUAUUAAAUAUUUUUCAACUUUUAUAACAUAAUUUCUAAAAUGAUAUAAUUGAUUGGUGUAAAGAUCAUAAUUAUUUGAGUUGCAUGGGAUUAUUUCCUUUCAAAGUACUAGUACUGGGUUGGUAACCUUUCCCUUUUUCAAUUUUCCUUUACACACCUUGAUUUGCUAUUGGUACAAGAAGGUGGGUUCGACACCAAAAAGUAAAUUUUGGUACCCUUCUAACAAAUAUAAAAGUUUUUAAAGUCUGUCAACUACAGAGUCACUGACAAGCAUUGAUGCAUGAGCCUGAGUUAUCAGAAGGAGAUGAAUCCUUACAUUCACCUUGGGAUUUUUCUCUUCUGAAUUCAAUAGUUGUUACCAACAUUGGGAAUAACUUUUGUACAAUGAAAAGAGAUUCCCCUAAGAAAAUCAAGGUCUGUCACAGAGGUUCAUUUCUCUCAUAUAUGUAGGAUACAUAAGGUAUUAUAUUGCCGGGUUACACUCUUGUAAGUUCCACUGCUCUUUGAUGGGGAACCAGUAUCUGCAGAGCUCUUGCCACACUUGGGAAGCCUACCAUGGAGGUUGAUUUUCAAAGAGGGCAACAGUUUACAAUAUGAAGAUGAUAAGGUUGAGUCUCAUUGUUGAUUUUUUAGGUUUAAUUCCUGAUAUGGAUUGGCUUUUUUUUUUCGACGUGCCGUUCCUUUACAUCAUGCUGCAAUGAGGCUGCUUUGCUUACAAGAUGAGCGUUGAGAAGCACGCAACAUUAAUUUGGCAAGCUUUGAGUUGCUAAGGCUGAUCUGUAUUUCUCCAUCAGUUUCUUGUGUUGAAGAUGGCAAAUUGCCUCCUCCAGACAGCUGACCAUGCAUCUUCAAAUUGUUUUCAAGUUGAAUGGCCUCAUCCAAUCGUCUGACCACUCUUUCAAAGCAGAAGUAUCGCCCACAUGCUCCAUAAUCCAUUUCUUCAUAAACAUGGACGUGGGCCUUUGCCACCUUGCUUAUAUCAUUGGUUGCCAAGACACCUCGUUGUAGCAUCAUCCGCCCACCUGCACAUGACAUCUUGGUAUGGUGAAAUAGCCAUAAUAAAGCAGAGUUCAGCUUUUCUAUUAGGUUGCCCUGAAUUUUGGCCAGGCUUUGGAUCUCAUUGAAAUGGUUGUGUUUCAAUUUUCUUCCUCUAUGUUCCAAAAUUUUGGUCAAUUUUCAGUUUCUUAACACAAAAUCUACUAUAUUUUGGUCAGGAAACAAAGCAACAUCAAGGCUUUCUGGGGCUGAUAGGAAUGGAUCCCAUUCACCUCAUUCUUCACCAACAUCUAAGUAAAGAUGAAAUUAGUGUCUUUACCUUUAAGAUAUGGUACAGAGGUUUCAGUAUGAGCAUUUGGGAAUGAUGGGGCCAUGAGAAGCCCGGGGCACACUGUAACAAGCUUCACUUUCAUUUCCUGUGACUUACUCCAAGCAACCUUCUCUGCUGCUGUCUUGCCCAUAGCAAGCCAAAGCUGUUUUCCCCAACAAAAUCAGCAAUCAAAAUUCAUUAUUUCAUCUAUGAAUUAGCCACAACAUGUGGUUGACCAUCGUCAGAAUUCCUGAAAUAGUAAAGGACUAUAAUUGUAAGAAUGAAGCGAUGAGUUUUAACUUUGAAGUACCUUUCUGUCUCUGCAGAAUUCCUCGUCACUCCAACAACUUUCAUCAAUGAUUCCAGUUCUGUCAUCAUCUGUCCAGAUAGAAGCAAGUAAAGAAGAAGUAAAGACACAUCUUUUCACAUAUGCUGCCCUGCAACAAGCUUCGAUCACAUUCCUUGCUGCUUCUGUCUCAAGAAACGCCAUCCACUCCUGAAAAAAAUAUACUAGAAUUGUCAAUUUGAAGACGACACUAGUUCAUACUUCAAUUAGAUGCAAGUUCAUGUCUUAUAGAGCCUGCAGCUGUCAUAGGAGUAUCUACUAGUGGGGCUGAGCUUGGGGGUUCAACUAGAAUGGAAAUCAAAACUGAGACUGUCAAUUUUCUGCUGAUUUCCAAAUGGGUAUCAAUAUUAAAUAGUUGUGUAAUGGAAUAGUUAAGUAAACUAACCGAAUAACCAGAGACCCCAUGUAUAUCAAUGAAGGAGGAGGUAUGGAAAACAGCAUGGCAACCUCUGAAAGCAUCACAGAGACUGUCUAAAUCUCCCAUCUUUGCUACUACAACACUCUCUAGCUGAUUCAUCUCUUCAUCCCGAAGCAGCUCGUUCAUGACCCCAAAAUCCACUGCUAAUUGGAAAGGAAAAAGAGAGAAGAAAGAACUACAGAGAUGUUAUAAAUUAUGUUUUAGUUGUUUGGCUGAUGUACAUAUCAAUUUAGUACCUUCUUUUUGAAUGGUGACUCGAACCAGGUAACCACCAGCCAAAAGCUCCCUGACUAUGUGAGAACUCAAAUAGGAAUUCCCACUGGUCACACAGACCAGCUUCCUCUCUCUUGCAUUCAAACUGCUGCCGAAAGCAUUGCCCACACACUUUCUUUGUUGUUCCUCCUUGAAUGAUGGCAGCAGCAACGGUUUUGACAGCACCACUUCUUCCCUGCAAUUCUCCAUUAUCAUCUCUCUGUUUCUCUCUCUCUCUCUCUCUCUCUCUCUGUCUCUCUCAAUGUAUAUAUAAACCGGGGUAGUUGCAUGUGUGAGACACAUGGUAGAUGGAGAACGGUAGGUGGAAAUCACGGGGCAGUUAUAUUAUUUUUGUAUCUAAGAGUCAGAAGCUGGAAAAUUAUUUUAUUGAUCUUUCUUUUUGUCCUAAUCAAAUCACUUUAAUUUUAUAUGGAAGCCUCGUGGCACAUGUAGAAUGGGCCAAUAUCGUUUUGCCCUGAUAGUCAAAACACACUUUGAAAAUAUUUCAUGGGGUCUGGAAGAAGAAGAAAAUUUCCGAAGUAAUAAAUGAGAUGAAAGGCACAUGCCAACAACGUAGGUUUGCUAUUGAAUGGUGUGUCCUGACUCCUGAGCCCAUGGUGGGUGGUGAUUAAGAUGACUAGUUACUAGAAGACCAAAUGGGCUGCAAUGUCAAAGAGUUGGCCAAUGGUGGAAAAGGACCUUGGACUGGUAGAGAUUAGUUGAUGACCACUGGGGCAUGUCAUUGAGCUUUCUGCCUGGGUUUGGUAGGUGCCCUUGAUUUUCCUCUGUUGUUGAUCUUUCUUCUGGAAUCCUCCCAGGCCCUGGUCCUAACAAAUAUGUCAUGAAAGAUUAGGGGACUUGGGUUUUGUCAAUACAAGGGGAUUUCAUCAGAGGAGGACCUUUGUAGAGGAUGAUUUGCCCUUAUUUUUACCCUUUCUUGAGGAAGAAAUUCCUUUUGCUUGUACUGGAGAGACUUGGUUUGCCUAUCCCAAAAAACUUCUCUGUUUAAAGGAAUUUUAGGCUUUUUUUUAUAGAAAGUUUCCUUAAUUGAAUUUUUUUAUCAUUUUUAGGUAUAGCGUGAGAUGACAGUUUCUGGAAGAUGUUUGACUAUGUAGUUCUCUUUUUGGCCAAAGCAUACGUAUUAUCUGCUUCCAAUUGGAUGAUUUUCCUGGACUUCCAGAAAAAGCUACUCGAUCAGGAAAGGGGGUUGUUAAAUUUUCUGCACCUCCACUGUCCAACCCCGAAGAAAAUCACCAAUGGCUCGAUAGUGGCUCAGAGAGCUACCACGGAAAUCCCUGCUAAAGAUCAUUGUCUGCCAUAAUCCACUCACCUCACUUGGCUUGCAACUUUUUGUGAUUCUUCUCUACUAUGAAACAAUUGUUGAAAAUGUCUCGUCUCCGCCCUUUUCAUGUGACAUGCUCUUCCCUAUUUGAUACUCUUUUCUGAUUCCUCUCAACACCUGGCUAACCAAUGCCUCUGGUUGAGGGUUUUGGACACUAGUUCUGGAAAGAAGCCAAGAAGGCAGCUCAUCGUCACUGGUCACACUCCUUUGUUGACAGCUAAAUCUUAUCGGGCCAUGUGCCUGAUGCCGACCGAGUUGUGUCCAAUCCAGGUCCACUCAAAUGAUGAGGAAAUAUUAGAGAGAAGGCAAGCGGGGAAACUGAAAAAGGACACUUUUCCGAUAUAUUGAUUUUGACAAUUUUUCUUUUUCUAAUGCAGAAUUUAAUAAAUAUGUAAAUAAUUAAAUAAUUUUUCUUUUUUUCUUUUUCAAGGUUUCUAGACCCAAAGAAUUAACCAAUCUCUCCACCCACUUCCUAGCAAACUUGUACUCAAAGGAACCCGUAAUUAACACAAAGAGACCUAAUUUUGAUGUUUAAGGUUAGUAUUUGAAACAUGAAAAACUAAAAAGAAAGAAAAAAAAGAAGAAUAUUUAGUUAGAAAGGUUGAAAUGAUAUUAUAAAAUUAAUCUCUUCCUUUCAAUAAAAUAAAGUAAUCUGAAUCUAACUAGUUAAAGAUUAUUGUCGUUUCAUGAAUUGGAUUGGAACCAAUAAAACUACUUUUCAAAUAUUGGAUUGAACCAAUCAAGCUACUUUUCAAACAGUAGUCGUGGGGGGCCUCCAAUCUACUGUUCAAGUAAGUGGAAUCGCUAAGCUUCCAUCCCACCUUUUAGUGAAAUAUUUUGUCUUAACACUUUCAGGGAAAGAAAUUUGUAGGAUAAAAAUGUCUUUUUUUUUUUUUUUUGCUCCUUCCAAUAAGUUGUUUUCCCUUAUUUUCACUUUUUAAUCCCAACUUCACCAUUGUAGAUAGAAAGCGAAAAAGAAAAAAAAAACCUCUUUGUUGUUAGUUAUGAAAAAAGAAUUGAGAGACAUAAAUAAUUAAUUCAAAAAGAGUUGAAAUUUUAUCCAUAUAAUUAGUUCAAAAGAUGACAAGUAAGGAAUCUCUUAUAUGACAAAUUAUGGUAGUUUUAAUAUUGUCAAUAAGUUAAUUCUCAAUCAGAAUAUGUACCUAAACUUAAAUAUGGGUGAGUUUUCUCUAUAAAAAAACUUAGAUGAACUCAAGUUAUUAAUAGAAUAUUCACUUGGACUUAACUAUGAUUAAAUUUCAUUAAUGAAAAAUUUAAUUGAAGUUAAACAUAAUACACACCUAAACUUAACUAUCAUUAAGUUUCAUUUAUGAAGAACUUAAUUAGAAUCAAGUUUUCAAUUAAAAUAUUAGCUUAGACUUAACUAUGAUUGAGUUGUAUAAUUUAUGAAGAACCUAACUAAAGUUACGAUCUCAAUCAAAAUAUUCAAUUAAACUUAAAUUAUGGUUGGUUAAUUUUAUCAUUAAGUUUUCCAAAAUUAGAAUGUUUACCUAUAUAGUUAAAUUCUCAAUUAAAACAAUUCUACUUUAAUUCAUUUAUGAUUAUCAUUUACAAAGAGCCAUGAAGUUAAGUUCUUAAAAUCAAAAUGGUCAAUUGGACUCGACUAUAGUUAAGUUUCAAAUUUAAAAUUUCAUCUAAACCUAAUUAUAAUUAUGAUUCAUUUACUAAGAACUAAUGAGUUAAGUUCUAUACAGCAAAUUAUUUACUUGAAUUUUGAUUAUGUAUCUACCAACAACAUAUAAAGUGUUAAAAACAAAAUCAAAAUGUUCACUUAGGUUAAAAAUAUGUUUUUAAUAUAUCAGACUUCAUUCAAAAAUCAAAACUUCAAACAUCUAGUAAAAUUCCUCCAAACUAAAAGUUAACCCCACAACAAUAUAUGAACUCAUUAUAGAAAUAAAUCCUUGAAGUAACGUAAUUCUAAUGUCAUUUUCCCUUGGAACUAGUCCACAAGGAUGCUAAUUAGAAUCCUAAAUGUAUGGUCAUGCAUAAAAUAUUAUACAUAUUUGAUUAAAAACAUUCUACAAUCACCACCGCAUGAAAUACCAAUAAUCAAAAUUAAGAUUAUUAUUGAAAAAUGAUGUCAAAGACAUGAUGGUAAAAUGACAAGAUGAAUGUUUGAAUAUUUGUUUACUUACACAUAUUCUUGUUAAGGAAUAUCAUACAACCAUUCAAUAUCGCAUUGUUUGUCACCCUUAAGGUCACCAUUAUCCUCAUAAUAUGCUAUUGGAUUUUAUUUUAUUUUUUUAAUUACUUCUUACCUUGAUAUUUUAACACUUAGCUCUUCUAGGCAUGUUGCAGACCUAAAAAAUGUUUUUUAGAACGUAUUAAAAGUUUCCAAACUAUCAACAAGAUCAACUCAUUGCAUGUCUAUUAAUUUUUUUCAUUCUUUCCUAAGUAGAAUAUGCUCGAGAAAGUACAAUAAGUUAACUUAAGCACGUCUUCAUCUUUAUGAUUAUUAGGCUUUUUCUUUUGCUUCUUUCUCUUAUUUUUUCUACUCAUCAAAAGAAAGGAAAACUUUCCCCAAAUGAUCAUUCCACACCUAGUUUUUACCAAUAAAGUAAAUAUCCCUUAUUCUUAAUGAUGUUUGAUUUUUUGAGGGAUGAGACCAAACUUAAGCGAAUGAUUAGUUCACACUUAUCUUGACUAAAUCUUAACCCAUUUAUCCCUACUAAAAACCACAUCCUUCUUUGUAAUACAUUGAUAUUGUUGGAAUAAAGCCCUUCAAAAGUAUAACAUGAUGUAACAAUAAAUUGUUUAUUCUAAUUCUCUUUUGCUUAUCCCAUUUAUGCAUUAUAUAUGUUAAACAUUCAGGUCUGACAUCUUUUAUAUUGUACAUGACUUGGGCACAUUAGGAGUUAUAAUAAAGAUCCAAGUUAUGGGUUCCUGAUUUGUUCAUAAUUAGCUUAUAGAUUUAGGUAAUCCAUUUGAGACUAUAGUGCAUUACCUCCUAAUUGGAAAGAUGACUAGUCUUAGUCAUUGAGAUUGGUUCCCAUAGUGAGUACACUAAUGUGUAUGGUUACACAUUAGAUAAAUCUUAUGGUGAGUCAUGAUAUUAAUUAUCAGGUAGUCAUGUCCUCAUUAAGCUAUUAUACCAUAUGAGCUCUCAACCUUGAGAGGGUACUAAGCUUGUACUAACGUUUUUAGUGGCUUUGACUUGUGGAUGAAACCCUAAAGUAGUCAUAUAUUCCUUAUGGAUUGGGUCACUAUUAAUAGAGGUCGGUGGCAAUAGGUAUUUUCAAUAAAGGCAUCAUAACACCUCAUGGGAUUGAAAUAACAUGUUUUCUUGAAUGAUCCUAAGGACAUGUGAUAAUGAAAUUUGUUGUCGUGGUAAUUUCUUUAGUGGAAUUUGACAUAUACUCUUUGUGAGUUAUAAUAUAUCAGAUAAUUAUAUAAUAGGGGGAUCUAUAACUCAGGAAUUAGAGAGGUAAUCUAGAUAGGUUGAUAGCACAUGCCUCAUUAGAUUAUGGACACUAAUUCAUAGGGAGUCUACAUAUAGUGGAUAGUAGAUCAUAAAUCCAAUUUUUUAUAUCUCAUUGUAAUAUACAUAAGGUAUUGGAGUGUAGUUGACUCUUUAUGGUGUGAUAUUGAGUCAACUUCAUAAUUGCAUUCUGAAGUAGAUAUUAUUUUCCUUUGAGUUCUAAUGGUUCCUCCUUGAUAACACAAUUUAUGAGGAUUGUAUGUGUUUUUAGUUAACUUAUGUGCAUAAAAGUGUUUUAGUAAAUAGGUAGGUUUCACAGGAGCUUGUGAACAAUUUUUUUAGAUUAGGUUAAUUGAUUAAUUGAAGCUUAAUUAAUAUAAUUGAUCAAUUAGGACAUUUUUUGGGUUAUAUUAAGUGACCUAAGCCAAAAAUGGGCUCAAGUCACUUAAGCCUAUGAGAAACCUAUAAAUACUCCCCUUAAGGGGUAAGACUUUAGUUUUGCUUCUUAUCCCUAUGUGAGAUCUCCACCAUCUCAAUGUUUGGAUUCAAGGGGGAGCCAUAGGGCAUAAGACUUUGCAUUAAUUACAAGAUCUUGUAUAGAUUUGACACUUUUUACACCAACAAGAAUUAAUCUAGGAAUGUCCAGAUAUGAGGUAAGUGAUUUUAAAACAUUAAAUCUAGAUCCUAAAAGUUUUUUCAUUGCUUAUUUGCUUUCGUUGCUAGGAUAUAAAAAACCCAAGGAAGAUUACAUGCAUCUAACUGAUCCAAGGCCAAUAAACAAGGUAAUUCGGAUUUCCCUACAAAAGUAAUAGCAUGUGGUGCACAAUUUGAGCUAAACAUUUAAGUUCUAAGUUUUGGCAUAACCAAAAAUUGCUCAAAUCAAGAAUUCUUGACAAUCUCUACUUCCUGCUUAUUGAACUUCUUUUUAAUAUUUUCUAUUACAACAAGGUGUAAUAGACUUGCAGCUUUUGCUAGGAAGUGUUCUUCUUAAGGUAUUUUAACUAUAAAACAUGCUGAUGGAAUAACAAUUUAUAAAUGAAACAAAAUAAAGUUAUUAAAGAUUUAAUACAAAAUUAUAAAUAUUGUAUAACAAUAUAUUAACCUACAAGAAAUUCAUUAUUUUGAAUACACUUCAAUAGUUCCCAUUUUUUUUUUUAAUAUCAAGUAAAAAACCUAACCCUUCUCAAAGACCAUUGCAUGACAUCUCUAAAAAUUUUAAAAAUAAAUAAAUUUCAUAAUUUCUUUUAAACUUAUCCCUAAUCAAAUGUCACUACAUUGAAAUAUUAUAUAUCUAAUUCACUCCAAGUACAUGGCUGACGAUAAUAGAGAAAACUAAAUAUUAUAUAUAUAUCCAAUUUAUUAUUUUAAAUAUACUUUAAUAGUUCCCAAAUUUUAAAAAACAUCAAAUAAUAGACCUAAUCCUAAUCAACCCUAAUCAAACAUUAUUGUAUAACAUUCCUAAAAAUUUUCAAAAUUUAUAAAAUAAAGAUACAUUCAUAGGCUCAGUAGAUUCACUUUCUUUUUUUUAUUGGUAAUUGGAAUCAUUGCUUUCUGGGCAUCAUUUUAAAUCUUUUUAGCUUAUUACUCUUUAAUGAACUCAUUUUUUGCAUCCUACCUAGAGAUAGGGCAUGAGAUAACUUCACAAAAAAGAAGAAGAAGAAAUAAAUAUAAAUCUAAAUUAAAAGAAGGAAUGAGAAGUAGAUGGUUUCCUACAAAAAGAGGAAAUGGGAGAUAAGAAGAUUACUAGAUUCUCAUUCUCUACAUAAAGAGAAUGAAGUAAAUGAAAAAUUAUGUUAGAGGAAAACAAAAGUAAAGGGGAUUUUUUUUUUUUUUUUUUUUUCUGUUUUUGGAGGUGGUGGGUUACUUUUACCAAUAUAAGUGUUAUUUUAAUCCCUUUAACCAAAUAACCCUUAAAAAAUUAUAAAAUUGUAAACCUACAUUUAUAUCUUCACUUCUUUUUUUUUUUUUCUUUCUUUGUCUAUUUUUCUCUCCAUUUUCUCUUAGGCUAUGUUUGGUUCGUGAAAAAUUUAAGGAAAAAAUAUAAAGAAAAAGUAGCAGAAAAGAAAAAUAAAGGAAAAUAAAAAAUAGAUUAAAACUCAAUAAAUUAUUUUUAUUUUCUACUUCAAACUUAUUUUAUUUAUUUUAACUCAUCAAUAUAAUAAUUAAAUAAUUUUAAAAUAUAUAAAUUUUUAACUAAUUUUAAUUAUAUUUGAUAUUCCUUAGUAUUUUUUUUUAUAGGAUAACCAAAUAUAAAAAAAUUAUUUUCUUUAACAUUUUUUUUUUAUUUUCUUAGUAUUUUCCGAAACCAAACUUAACGUUUUCUUUAUUAUCGCACCCCUUCAAUGAUUACCCGGGCAAGCCCUUGUCUUGUAGGCAUCCCAAGCAAACCACCCUCACCUUGAAAAUCAUCACUACACACAACCCGUUUUUCCUCAAGCUUUGCAAGAUGCAAACAUGGCCUUAGGUUUCCAUUCCCUGCUUUCAAGAUAUCCAUAGAACUACGAGUCCAAUUUUAAGUCCAAAGGGGAAAAGUUCCUCAUUUCUUUCUCAACAGUGACAGUCCUUGGAAAUGGAAAAGAACAAAGAAAAAGUAUCAAAAGGACAAAGUAGAUGUUUUAUUCAAAAACUAAUAGAAGAAGAAAAAGAUGGAAGAGAAUUCCAUGCAUUUGAGGAAAGAAGAAAAACUAUAUUAAUUUAGAUAUAAUAAAUACAUAGAAUUCCGUAUCAAUGAAUCUAAACACUUGGAGGAUACAAAAAAACACACAUCUCCUUGCAAUCAUAAUCGUGUUAGAUGGAAGAAAAAAAUUACAGGAAAGAAAUGCAUGAGAUUGUACAUGAAAGUUGCAGUAAGACCUGGUUACAAAAUCUCAUUCAAGGGUCAGAAUCUCAUUUCAAGAUCAAGAGAAGUUGAUACUCACACAACUUGUUUCCAAGUUUUGCCAUGUUAAGCCUUGCAGUCAGCCUCAAGUCUCUGAUCUAAUAAGGCAUUCUGGAAAAACUCCUCGAGCUACUUUGACUUUGAUUGAAAAAUUCUGAACUGUAUUCUUGACUACCAAACGCCAUCCUUUGGAACAUUCUAAUUUGUGCAGAAUGUUGUGCCGAAUCAAAGACUUCGCUUUGUCCCGGUUUCAUUCCAUUGGUAAGGUCUGACAAUUCAUCCAUGGAGUCCAAGGCUCGCACCACCUGAGAAGGGGAGAAAACAAAGGAACCAUUGUAGUUAACUCGUGCUCAGUGUAAAAAUUGAAAUGAUGAUGGGAAAUCACAAGUAUUUUGAUCAUAAAUUACCAGACUCAUCCUUGGCCUCUUAGAAGCUGAGUGACGCACACAUGCUGCAGCUGCCUCAAUCAUCCGGAACAUCUCAUUUUCAACAAAGUUCUUUUCCAGUCUUGGAUCUAUCAACCCUUCAAAGUUUCCAGAAUCAAGGGCUUGAGCAAGCAAUGGUCGAGCCUGAAGAGCAAGUUGGAUUUAAUUUAACAGUAAUACUGAUAACUUGCCACAGAUGUCACAUAUUGGAAGGCUGGAUAACAGGAAAAAAAUGGUAGGUUUUGGAUCACUCCAAAUGAUUAAAUAAGGGAAAAAAAAUUAAAAGAGAAAAAUGAGAGCCAUAGAAGUCCAAUAACAUGAAAAAGAAAAGGAGAGAUUAUCAAUUAAAAUCCUAAAAAUUGGCACAAGAAAAAGGGUAAGAAGUCAUCUACCACCUUCAUCCCAACCACAACCACCCUUUCCAAGGUACACCAAAUACUAGGUUACAGGUGUAUUGAGAUGCUGAAUAAAACCUUCACCCCAAUCACCUUCAGGUAGAAGUAAUCUGACGUUGUCAAAGGAGGACAAGGGAAAGGGGUUAUUUGGAUGUCUCUACUGGAUCUGACAACUGCCCCAAAUUGCCAAAAACAGGCUGAAACUGCACUGAUCUUAUAAAUCUGAUGCAGAUUUUAGAUGGUCUACUCUUUGUAAUUAACAACACUACAAAUCUUCAUCCCAACUCAAUCUAACCCUACCACCCUAGCACAACUCAGUUUCAAUUUACAAGACUGGAAAAGCUCAGGUUGAUUGGGCUACAGGUAGAGGACCUUACUCUCUUACUCUUAGGGUUUGGAUAACUUCCAGCCCAAUUCACUAGAGUUGCAGCCCAAUCUCCAGAUGAGAAUAGACAGAGUCAGGAAACUAAAAUUUCAAAGCAAUCUCAAAUUAGUCAAAGAUACUCCAAGAGACGAUAAACAGCCAAAAAUAUUGAAGUCUAUUGAUUUCCACCUGAAGCUGUCAUAAAGGAUUGAGGUUUUAAAUUAAGGUAGCUUUUAUCCAAUUCAACAUUAUCUUACAAUAAAAUUCCAAAAACUUGAGCCAAAACCAGUAAAACUUUUGAGCUUCAUUACAGCCAAGCAGGUAGCACCUGUCAUUGCACCAGCAAACUGAACUCAACAUGCUAACAGAACAUAUCUACCAUCUAGGCUAAUAAAUCUGCAGCUUGCAAUUUCAGUCCUUGGAAAAAGGGCCCAGGGCCAAAAUGAACUGGAUAGUGGUAUUGACAUUAAACUUGAACAAGAGGACUCACCACAGUAACAUCAAUUUUGGAUGGGUUAAAAUUUAUCAUAGAAAAAUGCCAAGAACCGAGAUAAACAACAUUCAUGUGAAGCAAUUUUGAAAUUCCAAGAACUUAUGACUGUUUUGUUAAUGUUACAGUAUCCAAUUUAGGAAGUUAUAUAAUUUAGGACUCUAUCAAUAUUAGCUGUACAGAUUGACUUACUAUGUAUAGAUGCUGAAUAUUAAGAAUCAGUUAGACUCCGUGUAUAGCAUAUACUUCUGUAUAUAGAUGGAUGCAGAGGAUAAUAAAGGUGAGGUGAGUUCUUGGUUUCUGUGGGGUUUUCUGUUUUCUGAGUGUUUGACAUGGUAUUAGAGCGAGGUUUCGGCGCCUUCUGAGUGGAGUUUGUGCUUCUUGGAGGUUUCAGCACUUCCUGUUGGUGAUUUGUGGUUUUUUGGUGAUUGCUGUGGGUGUUUUUCUGGGUUUCGAUCCCUUCAGUAGCUGCGUUUGAGGGAUGUAUCUCAGCAGCCUUUGGAUCACUGAUGAUAUGCAUCACGUUGAGGCCGGCAAUAACUCCCGCAUCCUUGGUGACUUGACGCUGAGAGUCAUUGAAGUAGGCAGGCACUGUAACAACAGCAUUCUUCAAGUUGAACCGAGGUGACUGAGAUCUUGGGCUUGUCACCAGAACCAAGACCAGGAACGACCUUGAAUGACCAGUGCUUGAGAUCACUCUGAACCGAGGCAUCAGAGAAUCUUCUACCAAUCAACGUUUGGCAUCGAAAACAGUGUUGAUCGGGUUCAUCGCGACCUGGUUCUUGGCCGUUUCUAUUCCAAUUUUCUGGUGGGCUAUUUCCUUGUCUCUUGGUUGCAUCAUGUCAUCAGAUAAGUUGAAAUCAUUUCCUAUUAGAUUUGCUGGCAAAAAUUAUUGUGCUUGAGAGUUUCAAUUUAAAUUAUUUGUCAAAGGAAAAGAAUUAUGGGGUCAUAUUGAUGGGAGUAAUCCUGCACCUCGUGAUGCCGAGGCUUUGUCUAAGUGGGAAAUUAAGGAUGCUUGGGUUAUGACCCGGAGCCUUAGCUCAGUUGAACCUCACCUUGUUCUCAAUCUGAGGCCUUAUAAAACUGCUACUGCUAUGUGGAAUUAUCUCCACACGGUUUACAAUCAAGACAACUCUGCUAAGCAUUUUCAAUUGGAGUAUGAAAUGGCUAAUUUCACACAAGGAAGUCUCUCAAUUGAGGAAUAUUUUUCUGGUUUUCAAACUCUUUGGACUAAUUAUUCCGACAUUGUUUAUGUAAAUGUUCUUGCUGCAGCUCUCUCUGCUAUCCAAGCAAUGCAUGCAACCAACAAGCGAGAUCAAUUCUUGAUGAAGCUAUGACCCGACUUUGAAAUUACACUGUUUAAUCUGAUGAAUUGUCAUCCUGUACCAUCUCUAGAUGCCUACUUGAGUGAACUUCUGCAUGAGGAGCAGCAUAUCGUAACUCAAGCUACCAUGGAACAUCGAGCUAAUGUUAGUGCACCUGUUUUUGUGGCUUAUGCAGCACAAAAUCGGAAUAAGGGUCGAGACAUGUGUGUUGUCCAGUGCUUUAGUUGUAAAGAUUUUGGUCAUAUUGCUCGGGAUUGUCCCAAGAAGUUCUGUAACUACUGUAAGAAAUAAGGUCAUAUCAUCUCUGCUUGUCCCAUUCGGCUUGAAAGGAAGCAGGGUACUACUUAUCAUGCCUCCAUUGGUGCCUCUAGUUCUGUUGCAUUGCCUAUUGCCUCGUCGGUUGUUCCUAUUCCUGCUCCUACAGCCUUAGCAAACCCGAACAUACUUACUCCUUAAAUGGUACAACAAAUGAUCAUUUCUGCUUUUUCUGCUUUUGGGCUCCAGGUAAUCAUACGGUUUCUUUUAAGCCAUGGUAUUUUGACUCUGGAGCCUCUAACCAUAUGACGAAUAUUGUUCUUUCUCUUUCCAAUGUCAGAAAUUAUGAUGGAAAUCUGAAAAUUAACACCGUUGAUGGUAGUUCUCUGCCUAUCAGUGUUGUUGGUGAUGUUUUCUCUUCCUUAACUAAUGUUUUUGUGUCUCCUGACCUCUCCACAAAUCUUAUUUUUGUUGGUCAAUUGGUUGAUAACAAUUGUAAUGUCAAUUUCUCCCGUUCUGGUUGUGUUGUGUAGGAUCAAGUGUUAGGGAAGAUGAUCGUGAAGGGGCCUAAAGUGGGACGACUCUUUCCUCUUCAUGUUUCUCCUUCCACUAUUAUUCCUAGUUUUCCUUUACUUUCCUUUGCAUGUAAUGUUGAUGGUUCUAGACAUAAGAUGUGGCAUAGAUGUCUUGGCCACCCCAACUCUGAUGCACUUCGUACUUUGUUUAAUUCUGGAUUAUUGGGAAAUAAAGCAUGUUCUUCUCUUGAUCUUUCUUUCGAUUGUACGUCAUGCAAACUUGGCAAAAGUAAAGUUCUACCUUUUCCUCAUCCUGCAUCUCGUGCCUCACAAUGUUUUGAUAUUAUUCAUAGUGAUGUUUGGGGGAUUGCACCUAUUGUUUCUCAUGCACAUUACAAGUACUUUGUUACUUUCAUUGAUGACUUUAGUCGCUCUACUUGGGUUUACUUCCUCCGGGCUAAGGCUGAAGUUUUUUUAGUCUUUAAGUGCUUUCUUGUACUUAUUGAGACUCAAUUCUCCACCAGCAUCAAGGUCUUGCACUCUGAUUCAAGCGGCAAAUACAUGUCAAAUGAGUUUCAAGACUUUCUUCAAAGCAAAGGGAUCAUCUCUCAGCGUUCUUGUCCUUCGACACCACAACAAAACAGUGUUGCUGAGAGGAAAAAUCGCCACCUUCUUGAUGUGCUAAGAACUCUUUUACUUGACUCAUCUGUUCCUCCUCGUUUUUGGUGUGAAGCACUUUCUACUGCAGUUCAUUUGAUCAAUCGCUUACCCUCUCCUAUGUUAAAUCAUGUUUCUCAUUUCUCUAAGUUGUUUGGUCAUUCUCCUUUAUAUUUUAAUCUUCGUACAUUUGGUUGUGUUUGUUUUGUGCAUCUCCCUACUCAUGAACGACAUAAACUUACUGCUCAGUCUGUUAAGUGUGCUUUUCUUGGUUAUGCUAUCCCUCACAAGGGUUAUGUUUGUUAUGAUCCCCAUGCUCGUUGUAUACGAGUUUCCCGGAAUGUGAUUUUCUUUGAAAAUCAAUAUUUCUUUCCAUCUCAUGUUGAGUUGCCAUCUACAUCUGUAUCUCUUCUGUCUAGUUUUUCUGAAUCCCCAACAAUUGUGGAACGAUUCAAACCUGGUUUUGUGUAUGAAAGACGUAGUCGACAUGAGUCUGGUUCCACUUCCUCUGUGCCCUCUUCCGAUCUUGACCCAACGCCUAAUCCUGCUCUUGCUUCCACCACUCUUCGCCGGUCUACUCGUCUUUCUCGACCCCCUGAUUGGUAUGGAUUCUUCUCUCCUGUCUCUCUUGUUGCUACUUUAUCCACUAUUUCUAUUCCCUCUUGCUACAAACAGGCCAUGGAACAUGAGUGUUGGCAAAAUGCAAUGCAAGCAGAACUUCAAGCACUUAAGGAGAAUCAUACUUGGGAUAUUGUUCCUUGUCCUCCUACAGUCAAACCUAUUGGGAGUAAAUGGGUUUUCUCUACAAAACUUUGUUAUGAUGGCUCUUUGGACCGGUACAAAGCUCGCCUUGUAGCUUUGGGUAACAAGCAAGAAUAUGGGGUUGAUUAUGAGGAGACAUUUGCUCCUGUUGUCAAAAUGACCACGGUUUGAACCAUCUUAGCCAUUGCCGCUUCACAGUCAUGGCAACUGCAUCAAAUGGAUGUGAAGAAUGCUUCUCUUCAUAGUGAUCUCCAGGAAGAGAUUUACAUGAAGCUUCCCACUGGUAUGACUAAGUCUUCUCCUCAUGAUGUCUGUAAGCUAAAACAUUCUUUGUAUGGGCUUAAGCAGGCGCCUUGGGCUUGGUUUGAGAAGUUUCGCAAUACAAUUCUUUCCUCCAGUCUUACCCAAAGUCAGUAUGAUUCUUCCCUCUUCUUCCACACGUCUGUGUUGGGUAUAGUCAUUCUCUUGGUUUAUGUGGAUGGUAUUAUCAUUAUUGGCACUAAUUGUGAUUUGAUUACUAAGCUUCAACAGUUGUUAUAUACAACUUUCCAUAUCAAAGAUCUUGGACAGCUCACAUACUUCUUAGGAUUGGAAGUUCAUCAUCGGGCCAAUGGUAUUUUCGUGAACCAGCAUAAGUAUAUUCAAGAUUUUAUCACUUUGGCUGGUUUGGAGGACACUUCCUCUGUUGAUACUCCUAUGGAGGUAAAUGUCAAAUACAAGAAAGAUGAAGGGGACCUUCUGGAUGAUCCUACUCUCUAUCGGCGCUUGGUUAGGAGUCUUAUCUACUUGACCACUACUCGACCUGAUAUCUCCUAUGUUGUGCAUCAGGUCAGUCAGUUUAUGUCUUCUCCUCGGCAUCUCCAUCUUGCUGCAGUUCGAAGCAUCAUCCGCUAUCUUCGAGGUUCACCUACUCGUGGAUUGUUCUUUCUCUUCAACUUGUUGCCCAUAGUGAUGUUGAUUGGGCUGGGUGUCCAAAUACACGUCGAUCUACUACAGGUUGGUGUAUGUUUUUAGGUGAUGCCUUAAUUUCUUGGAGAUGUAAGAAACAAGACCGUGUUUCUAAAUCCUCUACUGAGGCCCAGUAUCGUGCCAUGUUUACUGCUUGUUCUGAAAUUAUAUGACUACGCGGUCUUCUUGAGGAGCUUGGGUUUCCUCAGACUACUUCUACCCCUCUUCAUGCUGAUAACACUAGUGCUAUUCCAAUUGCCACCAAUCCCGUUUUCCAUGAACGCACCAAGCACAUUGAGGUUGAUUGUCAUUCUAUUCGAGACACCUUGGAAAGUCGGGUGAUAUCUCUUCCUCACAUCUCUUAUGAUCUCCAAGUGGCUGAUGUCUUCACCAAAGCUUUGACUCGACAAUGGCAUCAAUUUCUUGUUGGCAAAUUGUUGCUAGUUGACUUACCAGCAUCAAUUUGAGGGGGGAUGUUAAUGUUACCAUAUACAAUUUAGGAAGUUAUAUAAUUUAGGACUCUAUCAAUAUUAGCUGUACAGAUUGGCUUACCAUGUAUAGAUGCUGAAUAUUAGGAAUGAGUUAGACUCCACGUAUAGCAUAUACUUCUGUAUAUAGAUGGAUGCAGAGUAUAAUAUAGGUGAGGUGAGGUGAGUUCUCGGUUUCUGUGGGGUUUUCUGUUUUCUGAGUGUUUGACAUGUUUCCAUUUUCAAAAUCCAAUAUUUUGAUGAAAUUUAAAUUUUAACAGUAGUCAAACCGGACUGAACUGGACAGAAGGUCACACUGAAAGCAAAAUGUAAAAUUUCACCACAGCUCCAGGUCCAAAUUAAAACAACCUUCAAUACGAUAAACUAUUCAACUUCUGUUCAGAGAUAAUACGAGCAAGAAGAUAAGUUCUUCCAAGGUUUAUGUUCAUAAAGCUUACCCAUUCAACCAGGCUUUCAUCUCCCAAUGGUUGAGAUGCGUCUACAGGUUUACGACCUGUAAUCAGUUCUAAAAGCACAACCCCAAAUGAAUAAACAUCGGAUUUUUCCGUCAACUUGCCACUUGAUGCAUACUCUGGAGCCAUAUAUCUGGAAAAUCAUCCAAUUCAUUCAUUACAUAAACAGGCAAAAGUGAGAACAAUAAUCAUCUUAUCAUUGAAGAUAUCUACUUCACCACACAUUUGAAUAAAAUACAUCACAGUUCCACUUGAUAUGACAAACACUAAGUGUUCAUACAUGAUUCAAUCAAAUCAUAGAGUGAAGGCAUCCAUAACAAAGACCAUUUAAAAUGUCUGUAAUGCUAGCUUUACUUCUCACAAUGGCAUCAAUAUUUAACAAAGCUAUAGAGCACACAGAAAAAUUCAAAAAUACCUUCACCUUAAUUCUUUAGGAGAUAAAAAAGACUACACAUGAUUACCUACCCAAAGGUUCCCAUCACACGAGUGGUUACAUGUGUAUUGGCAUCCAAUGCUAACUUUGCAAGCCCAAAAUCUGAAACCUGUUAAUGAAAAGGCAUCUUUAGAAAUGUGCCUUUGGAGAAGCAAAAUUUUGCUACCAACCAGAAAUCUUGUUAUGAUAUAUGGACAUGUUAGACAUUCCAUAAAUAUCAUGUUGCCAAAAUGGAUUUGCUUAACUCCCUAUCAAACAAAAUGGAUUUACUUAAUAACAAACAGUAGCACAUUCCCCAUAUUCCAGUGGUACAGCUGGAAACACAACUUGUUCAGAAGUAAGACCAGUUUACUUCAGCAUGGUGUGAAGCAAACUAAUGUACUUCAAAAGGAUCUAGGAUGAAAAUAUUGAUCAUACCUGAGCUUCAAAGUUCAUAUCCAAAAGAAUAUUUGAUGACUUGAUAUCUCUGUGAAUAAUCCGUGGAUGGCCUGAUGAAGUCAUUAAAAAAAAUACAGAAGAAUGUUUUCAUAGAAUUAGGAAUGUCAAAAACAAAUGAUGCAUGAAAGGAGCAGGAAAUUACUAUAUAACCUCAGUGAGAAAAACAAAAUCAUGUAGCAAGGAUAAUCUACUAAUCUACUAUAAAGUUUGCCUUGAUGGAUCUUUUAUGCUGUGGAUAUUUAAUAGUGUUAUGAUAAAACAGAAAAAAGAAUCUGUUUCUGGUGUUUAUAUUAUCUUAUCGCACCCCAACCCCAUCCCUCUCCUUCUCAACAAUAAAGGCUUUUUGCAACUGAUGUAUGUCUUGAUCCACUUCUCAUCUUGGCAUAUACUCUGGCAUCAGAUAAGUUCAUAAUUUGUAAUUAAUAUGUCAGGAAAUCAUGAAUCAGUUUUUUCUGACACCUAUAUAUGUGUCUGAAACAAACAGAUAUUGCAGUGAAGUGAAAUUAGGAGAGCCAAAAAAAAAUCAAGCACUAAAAGAAGAAACUUACAGUCCUCGUGUAGAUAAGCUAUUCCCCGUGCUGCACCAGCAGCAACCUUUACUCGAGUUGCCCAAUCCAUCACCGGUCUACCUUCACCUGCAAAAUGCCAAAAGAAUAAAGGAAAUUGAGGAUAUUAUAACACAAAUCGAUUUUCAAUAAAGAAAUUUGCAAUUCAAACUCAAAACCCAAGCAUUUCAGCCACCUCAUUUGGGCCAUCUGUCACAUGUGAACUACCAAAGGUCCUAGCAUAGCAUGGGCACCUCAUAGGGAAUGUUAGAGAAAAUUCACAAUAGUUAUAUAAUCCCAAAUUUUAUUUGAGAGCAUACAUAAUUGCAUGAUUAUGCAUCCGAGUUCAACUAUUAAAAUUCAAGGUUUACCCUUUUUGUAAACUCAAAAGUAUAUCUUACCAUGGAGAUGGUAAUGAAGGGUAUCGUUUGGUACGAAAUCAUAGACAAGUAAUCUUUGAUGCUCAGAUAUACAGUAACCCACAAGUGAAACCAAAUGCCGAUGGUGUACACGACUAAUAAUCUCAACUUCUGCUUUGAAUUCGCGUUCCCCCUGUCCACCACCAAUCUUUAGCUGUUUUACAGCUACUUCUCUUCCAUCUGCUAGGAAACCUUUGUACACACAACCAAAUCCACCUUCACCCAAAAGAUUCUGUGAUGAAAACCCAUCUGUGGCCUCUACAAGUUCUUCAUAUGAGAACCAUGGUCUUGAAUUGCUGCCAACUGGAUCUGGUGGUGAAUACACGAAAUCACUACCAGAUCCACUUCCCAAAGGUAGAGCUGAUGAAGAAUGGGGCCUUAGAAAUACUGAAUCUGUGGAGAGCAUGCAAAUGUCAUUAACUUUAUUUCCCUUUCAUUUCUCAAACAUUCCAUUCAAUAUGGUUUUCAAGUCAAUGCAAGAGCUUUAAGAGAUACAUUAAUUUUAAUUUUCAAUAUAUAAUGCUAUUCAAUAAGAGGAAGAAUGGUUCAAUAUCUUCAUAUAAAUGCAUCUGAAGAAACUAGUUAGGCCUCAUUAACUUUAUCUUGACAGCCAAAAUGGUCACAAGCAUGUGGAAAUCAAUUAACUGUAUAACAGCAAGCUCUGUGGGCUGUGGCUCAUUAUGCUACAUAGACUCUCCAACUUCGCCUAGUGCAUCCAUACCAGCACAACGCAACAUGAGUGUGGGUGUAUAUUAGCACAACACAACAUGAGUGUGGGUAUGGGAUCCUUGUCAAAUGCUCUCAUUUUGGUUCGGAUAUAGUUAUCUAAUUUUAAUUGGUUUCUUUUUUUUUACUCAUAACUUCCUUAACAAUUAGUUACAUUUGAAGAAAGAGGGAGUUUGGCGGAGAGUUAGACAGCAUAUAAUCCUAGAUAGAGUUCAAUGCUGAAACAAGGUCCAUUUAGCUGAUCUAAUGGUUAGAUUAUGUAUCUGUGAGUUCACUCUAGCUGACCUCAAACAGGGUUCAAAACAUUUUCUAUCCCAUACGUAAUAGCAUUUAAUAAGCAUCAUAUACCUUCAUAAUUCCUCUAAACAUAGAAUGUUCAAACUUGAAAUCCAAUAUAUAUCCCAGUGGAACAAUAUUGGCUGAAAAUUAUUUACUUUUACUGCAUGAUAUAUAUCCUCUUACCAGUUAACACUACUGCUAUCAUAACCGGAGAAAAAGUUAUAAGCUCGUUGAGCUUUCCUAAAUUAAUCCUAAAAAACCUGCAUAUGAUUGCUUGAAGAUUUAUAGUGACCAGCUGAAAAGAAAUAAUCCAAUAACAAGUGGGCAAUGUUCAAAAUAUUACCUGAAUUUUGGGAGGAUGCAAAUGGAGAAGGCAUGGUAUAGCCAAUAUUUAGUCCAGCUCUCUUUUUCUUUCGUUUUUGUACAAACCAUGCAGCCAUCACAAGAAGACUAAGCACAAGAAGCCCAACAACAAUGCCAAUGGUCACCAUUGUUCCAGCCUUAAUGCCCCCAUUAUCGGCGGAUGUGGAAUUUGCUGUUGUAUUUGUAGUUGAUCUUGCAGUUGGUUUUUCUGAUGGAAUGGAGGGUAAGGGAGAGGAAGUAGGGGUUCCAGUGUCUGAUGAGUUACUUGGAGGAGCAGGAGGAGAAAUAGAAGGAGGUGAAGAGGAUGAGGGGACUGAAGGAGGAGGAGGUGAUAUGGUGGAUCUUGCUGGGGUGGGGGGUGGAGAAAGAGGUUCAGAACCUGAUGGAGGAGGGGGUGAAGGAGAAUUUUGAGGUGAGCUUGCCACCGGUGGGGGUGGGGAACUGGAUGAAGUUGGAGAUGGAACAUUGUCUGGAGGAGGUGUAGAAGGUGAAACAGCUGGAGGGGAAGGUGGGGUCCCUACAGGAGGGGCUGGGGAAACCCGGGGAGAGGGAGAACCUUCUGAUGGAGGUGGUGGGGACAAAACUGGAGGGGGUGUUGAGUUCACAGCUGGAGGAGGGGCAGAUGUUGGAGGUGAUGGUGGCGGUGAUGCUGGAGGUGAUGGUGGUGGUGAUGCUGGAGGAGAUGGUGGUGGUGAUGCUGGAGGUGAUGGUGGUGGUGAAGUUGGUGGUGGUAUUGAUGCAGGCGGCGGUGGUGGUGAUUCUGGAGGAGAGGCAGUAACUGAUGGUGGAGGAGAUUGAGUAGGUGGGGGUGAAGGAUUAGAAGGGGUUGAGGGUGCUACUUGGUCAGAAGUCUGAUUAGGAUCAGAGCCAGCAGGAGGUUGUGAAUUACUGGAAGAAUUUGAAGAAGAGGAAGAUGACGGGGAGGUAGCAGUGGAAGGAGGAGAAUUUGGAGAAGGUGACGCUGAAGCCAUCUCUCUCCGAAAUUUCCUUUCUAAAAAUUGUGUAUCUACACUUCACUAUAUUAAUUUCACCAAAUCAUAUCUUGUAGCUCUCCAAUCUUCGCCCAAAAAACAUAUGGAACCGCACCAUUCCAAAGCAAUGUUCCAUCCCAAAAAUUGCAAAACACAACAACCCAAAGAAGAAUCCUAUUCACUCAAACAAACAAGACCUAGUUCAUAAAACCUUCAGAUGAGAAAAAUCCAAUAAUUUACAUACUCUUCCACUACAAAUACGCAAAUUCUUCGAACACUAAUAAGCCCUAAAAAAACCCAAUUCCACAAGACUAAGCAAAACCCAGUUCAGAAAACCCUAAUAUGAGCAACACCCAGAUAUCAAAUUUCGAGAUUUUGAGCAAAAAGCACAGAUCAAAAUUCAAAACAGUUCAGUUUGAACGACCCCAGAAGUCCUGAACUGGUUUUAACAAAACCCAGAUUUACAAAUGCACUCCAGAACCCAGCACUGUUACGAGCAAAUGUAGCACACUGGAAGCACCAGAAUGAAAGUCCAGAAAUCCCAAAUGCUAAAAACCCAAGAAAACCUUACCAAUCCCCCUCUAAUUGAAGAUUUUCGAAACGCGUCUUACCAAAUCCUGCUAGUGUGUGUUGCCUGGAAGCUUCUUGUCCAGAUGAAGCAGCAAAGCAAAGAACUCGGCAAAUUGGCCCAAAAAUUUUGCAAACAAACGUGGAGGCGACUUCACAGAACAGUUCUCACAGAUAUCGAGUAUAAAACCAACCAAACAACACCAUGAUCUGAGCUCAACGAGUACAGAAAUAUUAGCUGUUGAUGGAAAUAGUUAAUAGAUAUAAAAAGGGAAAGAGGUCAUCCUCGGCUGAAGUCAAGGAACCACUCAUCCCCACCAGGCCAUGUUAGAGCUCCCUUUCCACCUUUUUUCCCAUUAACACCAAUAGUCAGCGCUCAAAAUCAUGGGGGCUUUCUUUGAGUGAUUUUCCAAGAUCUCAUUCUCACUCUCUGCCAACUGCAACAUUAUUUAUUUCUACAGCAUGGAUUAGUAUUUUACAACCAUUUUUACAGUUAUUUAUAACGAUAAACCACCGCCAGAAGAAUCAUUGUUGGUGAGCUAAUGAUGGAUCCAUGGGAAAUGGUUUUCUUACAAGCAAUUGCACAUGUAGUUGUAUAACUUUUGCUCUCCAUCACAAGCCUUUUCCAGAGCUGAAUGAUAGUAUAUUAUAUUAUUUAUUUACUAAAUCCCUUAUAUUAUAUUAAGGUUCAAGGCUCAAUUCUUCUUCUAUAAGAGUAAGACUAACAAAGUAAUGAUUUUAUUCAUGCCUCAUCAUAGAAAAUAUUUCUAAUUUUGUACUAAGAAUCCAAAAAUUGAUGAAAUUUCAGAGGAAAAAACAUAUUAUCUUGAACGGUGGAGAAGGGAAUAUAUGAAGGAAUGUCUAAAUACUAUCCACUUAGAAUAUGAAAUUUAAAAUUUUCUAAUGCUUUGACAUGCCUAAGAAUAAGAAUUCACCAUUAUGCACUCUUUCUUGGAGUACACAAAUUUCAAUCCAUUUGUGUGUCCCAUAAAGCAGCCCUAGUGUUUUGAAAUUCCACUUUUGGUGAAGAACGGCUUUUCCUUUUUGAGACCUCUUAAACACAACAACAUGCUUUAAAAGAUGAUUCUGAUAAAACUAAUGGGGGCCAUGCCAUGAGCAAUGUGCCUAAGCUUUUAUUUGAAAAAAGUAACAAAUAAAUUAGCACUAUGACCCACGUUUGGCUGACCUGUAAUUUGGGCCUAGGAACAUGUUAGCCCAGGUUGAAUCUGAAGGGAAAGCAUAUGGUCAUUGAAUUAGAAAAAUAUUUGUACUUCAUUUUCUAGAUUAAGAGAAUAACUUUUUUCUACUUAAGACCAAACAAAUAACCUGAUUUCAUUUGAAUUUAAUCCCAGUUAAUGAAUAUAGGAAUAUACACUCUUUACUCCCAACCCCAAAAACCAAAGAGAUUAUUGGGGUUCAGAAUUUAUGGGCUUUUUAUGGGGUUGACUUGGCUGAAAAUCUAGGCAAGAAGAUAUUUUCUACUCCUCAAGAAAAGCAGCCAUUGAAGGGGAAAGAAGCAACAAGAACCAAAAAUAAAAAGGGAAUAGUUGGAGAAAGAAGCUUGCAUAUCACGGGAUGCUAAAGUCACUACAAGACACUAAGAAGGGUCAUGGAAUGGUAUAAUUUCUGUGAAUCAAGACAAGGGAGGGUGACAAAACAACAAUGGGGUAUCUUCUCCAACAGCGUCACAAGAUGAGAAUCAAUAUUCUUUGGCUUAUAAAAAAAAAAGGAGGAAUUCAUUAAAGCAAAUACUAAAGAUAGAGGAGCCACAUUUUAUUCAAAUACAUUACAAAUAUAAGAUAAGACAAUAAUUUCAGUGACAAUAAUGGCUAAACAAGCAGUAUUUUCCUCCCUCAAAUCUCCCUUCCUCUUCAUCCCCUCUACUGUGGAUCCACCACAAAAGGUUUGUAAGUGAGUUUCCAUCAUCAUAGCCAUUCAGUUUCCUGAUCUUCUCCAAAGCCCCUUCUUUGUCAUAAAUCCCUUCCAUGGCAUAUAGAAACCCCUUCCACCCUUCUCCAACUCCCUCCCUUCCCAAAGCUGGCAAUGUCCAUUUCACCAGCUCUCUCGCAAACUGCACAUCAGAGAACAGAACCUCGGUGAUGGGCAAUACAGGUAACACCUGAAUUCCAAGCCUGCACUCUCUCCACUCAGGAGGAGCAAACCAAAGUCCACCGUCCCUCUUGUUAGCCCACAGAACACCCACCACCCGGUUCUCCCUUGUGAAAUCUUCUGCUUCUGCAUAUAUUUUAUCCCCUUCUCUCACAUGCCACCACGUUUGAGCUGCCUUUAUCUCCAUUGCUGCAAGCAUUGAUCCAGUGGCUACAAGAUGGGUGUCUCCAUAGGCUAAUCCCAUCAAUGCUGCAGAAUAGUAAGCAUUCACAGCUUCACUAGUGCUCUCUUGGUUCCGCCCAUCUGCAAAUUCGGUCAGCCCACUAGCCCAAGAAUGCAAUUUCCAUAAAUCAAAACACCUCAAACGAGGAUAGUUGGAACUCGAAUGCCUCCCUAAGGUCAUAAAAUCUGCCAUUAGGGAAUAAGCUUGAGGUCUAUACUUCCUCCCCCAUGCAGGGUCAAUCUUGGCCAGCACUGCAAUUGCAUAAAGAAAAUAACCAAGAUGGAAAUGGUGAUCGUUGUACACUCCAAAACCAAAAUCUGCCCCCGAAUCCGUUGAUCCUUGUCUAGUAACAAGUCCACCCCACUUUCCUUCAUAUAAGAAACCAUUCCCACUAAAAGUCCCAUCCAACCAUGGGGUAAUCGUAUUCUUCAAGAACUUCCUAAUCACCGGUAUCACAUCAAGAAAGCACACCUCCUCUGCAAUCAAUGCCAAUCUCGCCGCCCUGGCAAUCAAUUUCCCAUAAAAAUAAGACGAUGUUGUUGAUAUAUUGGAUGAAUUCAGAUCCUCAACAUCUCUGCAAAGCGCAGAAACAAUUUCAGGAAAUGAUUCUUCCUUGACCCCUUUAAUUGAAUUCCAGGUUAUUGAGACCGGGUCUAAUUUCAAUUUCCAUGAAUCUCCAACAACACCUACAAGCUCACCAUCAAUACUGUUAAACUUGAAAUCAUCCAAAACAGCGACCUCAUCAUCAGCCGACAAAAGCCGAAGAUGUAGAGGAUGAGCCAGCAUGAGCAAGUCUCCCCAUCCCUUCUUAUCCCAUCUGUACUCUAAACAAAAGGGCUUACUCAAUUCAGCUUUCCCUGAUAUGGGAUAGCAAGAGCUGAAUCUAUCAAGGAUCGACUCGAAUCUUGGAUUGGAAUCUGGCAGUAUGGCAAUCCGAAUUAUGCCGGAAUACGCAUCAGAAGUUAUGGAAGAAAUAUCAUGGGUCAAAUUAAUCGCAGAAGAAGUGUAAAGCAGCCAAGUUUGACCGUUGUUGAGCUUAAUGGUGUACUUGGUGCGAGAACUGCUUGGUGAGAAUGAGAGAAUCGCAUGGAUCGUCGUGAUGGAAAGGGCGGUCCCACCGGAGACGGCGCAGGUGAGAAACGGGCUUCCUCGGACCAGGAAAAACCGGAGAUUCGAGGAAGGGAGGUCUAGAGUGACGCUGAGAUCACUGAAGGAAGACACAAUGUGGCGUCUCUGAGAAUCUGGGUCAGUUUUGUUGGAGGCGGAGAUGGUGAGAUCAGGAUUGAAGAUUUGGUAGAUGAAAACAGAGGUCAAGAACUGAGAUGGGUAUGAGAGGGAGAGAGAGGAGGAGGAAGAUUUGAUGAGAUAGGGAUGAAUAUACUCAGGCUGAUCACCAUGUUUGAGAACAAAGUUUUGGAAGAAGGAAUUGGUGGGAAGUGGGGCAGUAAGGAGGUCGGGAGAAAAGAAGGGGGAAGGAUCAGGUAUGACUGAGGAUUCGAUUUUUGGAAAGAGGAAGGGGGAGGAUUGUGGAAUGUGAUGGUGGUGAUGGGGUUCUGCCAUGAUUGGUGAUGAAGGAGACAGAGGAGACAAAGGAGACAAAGGAGGAGGCGGAGAAGGAGGUGGAGUUAUGGUUUUGGGGGUUUUAGGUGGUUUUGAACGUUUUUUGAAGCUCUUGCUAAUCACGAGUUUGACUUUUCUUCUGAUUUUUUUCAACAUCUCGAGGUGAUUGAUUGGUGAGCCUUGACCCAACUGUUAAAUUAUCGAAGAACGCAAAUAGAUCGAGGAUUUGUUAGGGAUUUUGAUACAGAAAACGGAGAAAAUGGAGGCAAUGGAAACGGAGAAAAUGGAGGCUGUUUGCCUCUAAUUGGAUGGAACUUUCCACCCACAUUCACAACCAGAGUGGGGUAGGUUUGGCCCUUUUGGGUGGGACUUGAAUUAAGAAUGUGAAAACAGGGAAAUGGGGGAAGUAAGAGGAAGAAGAAUGGAUUGGAAGGGAAGUUUGUGGGCUCUGCAAGUUAUGGUUUUGAUGAAUGGCAUGAUUGCAAGACAUGUUAAAUGGUUUUCAAAGGAAUAUGUGUAGGGAGGGACAAGACACUGGGGUGGUUAGGGAAUGUUUGGCAUACAAGAAAGUAAUGGGGUGAAUAUUCCUUUUUUAAGUUUUUCAGAGAAUGAGUGAAGCUUCACAACAUUUAGACAAUGGAUGCCACCUAUUUUAACCAAUGCUAAUGUUUUGAACCCUUGAUUUAUAUAACCAAACACAUCUUUCAAUUUCAGGUAUUUGAUUUUGGGUAAUUUCUCUUAUUGCAAGAAAGCCUUGCUACAAAGAAAGAAUAGCAAGAAAAGAAGAAAAAUUUUAGAAAAUGUCAACCAUCCAUGAGAAUAAUGGUGUAGUCAUUCACACAAAGUCUCAUGAGAAUUUAUAACACUUCUUGAUAUCCGUUGUCUUAUAUUUUGGGCUUAGAUUUCAAAAGAAAGAAUCAAUUGUAUUUUGGGCUUGAAAUUUCUUUGGGGUUUUGGCCCAAAUUGGGUUUUUAAAUAAGCAAUUGGGUUUGGUCCAAACUAGUUUGAGCCCAAUUAGUCCAUUAAAAAUGUUUAAAACCCUUUUCAACAAAUUUAAUUUCCAAUAUCAAAAGAUUCAAAAUCUAAUUCGAAGCUUUUGUUUUAACCUAUUUUUGAAUGAAGAACCUACCCAACUGUACCAAAUUACACUACAUAUUAUAGUUAAUACCACAUAAGCAACGCCAACAAUCACUCUAACCCCAUUAUUUCCUGCAUAAUGAGAAUUUUUUUUAUAAUUGUUCUGUGAUUUAAAAAUAGGAAAAUUAUCAAAAAAGUGGGCUAAAGAUGAUAAUGUCUAGGAAGAACUUAUGAAUUCAUAUGAAGGACAAAAUUUAUCAUAGUAUAAUUAUGUAUUUGAAUGUGAUCUUUUAUAUAUAAAUAACUUCAUGAUGAUGAUAAGGAUAGUCUAUCAAUAUUUGCAUAUAUCGGUUUCCAAAAUAUCAUUUUUCCCUUUUGAAUAAUAUUUGCAUAUAAGGAUACUCAAUCAAUAUUUGCAUAUAAAUAACUUCAUGAUGAAUUCAUAUUAUUUUUUCUUUGACCUAUAUAUAUAUAUAUAUAUAGGUCAAAGAAAAAAUAAUAAAAUAUUAAAAUAAAAAAUUAUAUAUUUUUUUUGUUAUUUUCAUUAUAAUAAAUUAAAUUAUUUGAAAUAUACUUUUUUUUUUCAAGUUCUUUUUUUUUCUUCAAAAAACUUGAGAUUUUUUAGAGAAUCCGGUAAAAAAAAUUAAUUUUCAAUCUCUCCUAAAUAAAAAUCACGCCCUAAGGUUAUUAUGUCAUUAUAUAUAUAAUUAAAAGUUUUAUUAUUCUAAUAGAAUAAACAAUGAUUUUUCACGAGUACUCAUCAAUUGAAAAAUAUUCAACUAUUUGUUUGGUAAUAUAGCAUGUGAAUUUUUUUUUAAAAUAAAUUAAAUUAUGUUAUAAUGUAUUAUUACAUUAGUGUAUUUGUAUUAUAAGUAUACUGCAUUUAUGUUGUACCUAUAUUUUAUGACAAAAGUAAUGAUUCUAAAAAUACCUAUUCAUACCCUAUUGUAUCUUAUAUAAAAGUUAUUAGUAUUUUCUCAUUUAAAAAAAAAAAGUAUAUCCAAAUUAUAAAUCUAACCUCUAUUUUUAAAUUAAUUUCAAGGUAAAAAGAUGAAAAGAAUGUUAAGUACAACGUAUGUCUUCAACCAAGAUAAAGGAAAGGAUCAAUUAUGUGUAAAAGAGAGACUCAAAUAAAGUAGAAGAGUUCAAGUAAAGGUGUGAGCAAGUCUUACGCAUGAGAGAUUGGAAAUAAAUAUUAUGGAGAGAGUUAGAGAACGCACAACCAUAAGAGAUAAGAAAUAAAUAUUAUGGAGAGAGUUAGAGAGCGCACAACCAUGAGAGAGAAGGUUUGAAGCCUUGUUGUCAAGUUCAAAGGGAAAUUGGAACUCAAACUAAUGCAUCAACACUAACCCUAACUUUGAGUUUAAUUCUAGGUAGACUCCUAUGAGUUUUAUGAUAAAUCGCACAUAUAGUUUGGAAGCUUUUAAAAGUCAGAAAUCCAACUCUUUAAAUUAUUUGUAAAUCAAAGUUAAAACAAAGAAGAUAUGAUAAACCCAAUUGAAUUACAUGGAAAAAAAAUAGUCUAAUUUAAAAAUUACAAAUUAAGCUCUAAAUAGUGUUCAAUCAUUUGGACCUCAAAGGCAAUACGACAAAGAAAAAGGCACCGGUGAAAUUUGAAACCCAACAUUCAUUUUGAAUAUAGGGACACUAUUUUAAACCCAAAACACGGAGGAAACAAAAUAAGUAUUGGUUGAGUUUGAAAUAAUCGGUAGAUUUCAAACUCAACUAGUUAAUUUUGUACUAAACCAUUUUAGAGACUUAGGCCACUUAUGAGUAUGAGAAAGCAAAACAUUAUUGAGAUUUUGCUAUUUUUUAUCUUAAAAAAGGUUGAAUAGUUCUAAAAUGAUCAUAGCUACCUUUUAGGUAGAUAAAUAACAAGAGUGGCUAUAAAGACUUUGUAGGCAAAAGGAGCAACAAGGGUGUUUUGGUAUUUUCCACAAACUUAUAUUUGUGUGUAUAUGUUAAGGUUAUUAUUAUUAUUAUUAUUAUUAUUCACUUGAAAGUCCUAAACUUUAUUGUUUAAUGAUCUAAUUUUAUUAGAAGUUUGUUCUUUCUUAGGUUCCAAUUUGGGUGGUUCAACUCAAAUCUAACUAACCCAAUUUUGCAUGGACUUAGGUGAUUUAAUUUGUAAAUUAGGUUUGGCUUGGUCAAAAAAUAUCAACCUAGAUUAAAUUUAGGUUGGGCUUGGGUAAGGGUCUCAAGAAACCUCAACCUAGCACAAACCCAAUUGUAUAUUUGUAUAAAAUUUAAAUUAUAAAUUUUUAUGUAUGUAUUGUAUGUAUGUAUAUAUAUUAUUUCAUGGUAUUGUACUGAGAAUCUUUUUGGUAAUGCUUUCAAAAAUUAUUUCUAGCUUAAAAAGUCAUUUUUGAAAAAAUGAUCAGACAAAAUUUAAAAAAUACUUUUAUAAAGUUAAAAAAUCACUUGUAGUGUAAACGACCUGAACAGUUGGAGAAAAGAAACUUAGCAUUUCACAUGAUGCUGAAGCAGAUGUGGAAUAGUUGUUCUUCAGUUUCAGCUAAGAAAUUGAGAAGACAGGGCAAUAUGCAUAAAUCAAUCCAGUCAUGGCUGCCCAAAGGAAAGAUUCAUCCAAUCUUCGGGCAUAAUUUAUUCGACUACAUCCCGAAUGUAAGGCAAAGAAUUUCACUGAUAAUACUGGCCAAACCAGGAUAAUUUUCCUCCUUCAAGUCCCCCUUCCCCUUCAUCUCCUCUGCUGUGAAUCCACCACAAAAGGUUCGUAAGUGAGUUUCCAUCAUCAUAACCACUCAGUUUCCCGAUCUUCUCCAAUGCCACUUCUUUGUCAUAAAUCCCUUCCAUGGCAUAUAGAAACCCCUUCCACCCUUCUCCAACUCCCUCCCGUCCCAAAGCUGGCAAUGUCCAUUUCACCAGCUCUCUCACAAACCCCACAUCGGAGAACAGAACCUCGGUGAUGGGCAAUACAGGUAACACCUGAAUUCCAAGCCUGCACUCUCUCCACUCAGGAGGAGCAAACCAAAGUCCACCGUCCCUCUUGUUAGCCCACAGAAUACCCACCACCCUGUUCUCCCUUGUGAAAUCUUCUGCAUACAUUUUAUCCCCUUCUCUCACAUGCCACCAUGUUUGAGCUGCCUCUAUCUCCAUUGCUGCAAGCGUUGACCCAGUGGCUACAAGAGGGGCAUCUCCAUAGGCUAAUCCCAUCAAUGCUGCAGAAUAGUAGGUAUUCACAGCUUCACUAGUGCUCUCCUGGUUCCUCCCGCCUGAAGAUUCAGUCACCCCACUUGCCCAAGAAUGCAAUUUCCAUAAAUCAAAACACCUCAAACGAGUAUAGUUGGAAUUCGAAUUCCUCCCUAAGUUCAUGACAUCCGCCAUUAGGGAAUAAGCUUGAGGUCUAUACUUCCUCCCCCAUGCAGGGUCAAUCUUGGCCAGCACUGCAAUUGCAUAAAGAAAAUAACCCAGAUGGAAAUGGUGAUCGUUGUACACUCCAAAACCAAAAUCUGCCCCCGAUUCCGUUGAUCCUUGUUUAGUAACAAGUCCACCCCACAUUCCAUCAUACAAGAAACCAUUCCCACCAAAACUACCAUCCAACCAGGGGGUAAUCGUAUUCUUCAAGAAAUUCCUAAUUGCCGGUAUCACAUCAAGGAAACUCACCUCCUCUGCAAUCAGUGCCAAUCUCGCUCCCCUGGCAAUCAAUUUCCCGUAAUAAUAAGAGGAUGGUGUCCAUAUACCACCGGAUGAAUUCAGUGAUGGAAAGGGCGGUGUGGGCGGAGACAGCGCAGGUGAGAAAGGGGCUUCCCCGGACGAGGAAGAAGCGGAGAUUGGAAGAAGGGAGGUCUAGAGUGACACUGAGAUCACUGAAGGAAGACACAAUGUGGCGCCUCUGUGAAUCAGCGUGGGUUUUGUCCGAGGCAGAGAUGGUGAGAUCAGCAUUGAAGAUUUGGUGGGUGAAAACAGAGUUGGAGAAAUGAGAUGCGUACGUGAGGGAUAGGGACGAGGAAGAAGACUUGAUGAGAUAGGGGUGGAUAAACUCAGGCUGAUCGCCAUUUUGAAGAACAAAGUUUUGGAAGAAAGAAUUUGUGGGAAGUGGGGUUGAGAGGAGGUCAGGAGAAAAGAAGAGGGAAGGGUCAGGGAGGACUGAGGAAUUGGUCCUCGGGAAGAGGAAGGGGGAAGACAGCUGAUUUUGGUUUUGUGCCAUGGAUGGUGAUGAAGGAGCUUGAUGAGGGGACCGAGCCGGGGGGGUUGGGGUUUAGAGGUUUUCUUGAAGCUCUUUCUGAUUAUGAAGUGUAACAGGGUCUCUUCAACACUUAAUACUAGUGGAUAUGGCUUAACCCAAUUAUUAAUUAACUGAUAAAUCAAUGGAUAAAGGAUUUUGUUACAGAAAAGGGCCAAAAUGGAGGAAGCUAGCUGAGAAAGCAGGGAACGGAGGAUGUUGGUGGACGGCGACUGAAUAAACUUUCCGCCCAAAUUCAAAGCCAUUGGCCUCUUCUUUCAUGUUUUAUUAUUAUCUGCAUACAUCUCUACAUGUGACUGAAUGCCUUAAAAAAAUUCUUAAAAUUCAAGCACAUUAGUUAAUUUUGAUGAUUUCUUUGGUUUGCUAAAAGGAAAAACAUGCCAUCUAAAACAUUCAAUCUUUCAUCCACUGAUAGAAUAAAACUUGGGAGUCCAAAAUACAUUUCAAACACCCUACCCCAUACUAUGUUUACAUUAUCACAUGUGAACUAGGGAUCACAUGGGAACGCUCAAACAAAUCUAUAACCUAUGUUAUCUUGAACAGGGUAUCACGUGGGAUCCUGCACAAUAUUGAGUGAUUUUUUAAUUUUAUUUUAUAUUAUUUAAAUUAUUUGGUAUUUUAUUUAAUAAUACUAAUAAAUUUUGUCCUCUUAUAAUAUUGAAAUAUACUUUUCCGAUAAGUGUCUAAAAUUUGUUUUAACUUUAUAAUUGAGUCUUCUUUGUUUACAUCAUUACACUCUAAUUGUAUUUAUUUAUACUCUUAUCCAAUUACUUAAAUUUUAACAUACUUUAACGAGUCUGUGAAUGAUAAAUCAUAGAUUGAACUGUUGAAUCGAAAAAAUUAGGUGCUAUCAUAUAAUUUUGUAUCGAAUAAAUUCACAAAUUGGAAAUAAACGAACUCAAAUUGUUGCCAUUCGUCAUAGAAUAAACCAUCGCCUCUUAGGGCCCUUGGCUAAUGAUAAACAAUAACUCUCCCGAACACAACUUACAAUUUUCAUUUGUACUGUGUUCUCCAAAGAACAACUCUUCUCAAAAUCUUAAAAGGUGCUAAGUUGGAAUCUAAUCAUAAUUACGGAUUCUUGUGGUUCUAGAGGACCCAAUUACAGGAAAACUAGGAACGAAGAGCUUUCCCAUUUUUUUCAUGACUCUUUGGUCUUAAAAAUGUUGGUUUUAAAAAUGAGUGAUUGCCCUUCUCCAAUCCUUAUUACCUAACCUAAGAAUGGAGAGCUAAUGCGUUCCCACUUAUUGAAUAAGGUUUUAUGGUCGAUCCACAACCCCUAGAUGCCAAAGGUACCAUUGGGGUGAUCUUGUAAUUCCUAAGGGUGGAGAUUCAAUUAUUGAAAUAAGAAAUUUGAUAGAUUACUAUAUAUAUAUAUAUAUAUAAUGACUCCGUAUAAAAUAAAAAUAGGAAAUUAAGUUAUAUAUUAUUAAUAUUAUUUUAUUAUAUUGGGGGGUUGUAUUUGGCAUUUGUUGAGUUUCAUUUUCACCAUCUCGUCUCACCCACGAAGUAAAUAACGAAAAGUAUGUAAAUAAUCAAAUGGUUUCGACAUUUCUAUUCAAAGAAACUACCUUUAUCCAACAUAAAAGGUGUUGUGUUGGUCAAAAAUAACAAUUUAGGAUUAUAAAAAGUUUAUAUUUAAAUUUUAUAUAUUUGGUAAAUAUUAAUUUUAAAAUUAUUAAUAUUUAUAUUUGAUAAAUAUUAAUUUUUUUAUUUUAUCAUAAAAAAUAUCAUUUUAUCCAAAUAAGUGUAAUUAUACCUUAUAAUUUCUCUGUUUCCACUCUCCAAACAUGUGAAAAAAAAAUUAAUUUUGAGAUUUCAUGUAUAAUUUGCAAAAUUGGUGAAAAUAAGAUUAUUGGCUCACUCAACCAAAUCAACGGGUGAAGCUAGCUCCCUCAAAUAAAGGGUGUUUUUUAUGCUGACCCAAGUCUAGCGAUGAUAAUGUGAUGUGUUAGCGCGCCCUUGUCUCCCAAACCAGGGAAUGAAUCUUUAUUUCUAACUCUUUCUCACCUAGUAUGGGUGGAUGCGCCUUUGGCUCUGCCUUUGUAGGCACUAUAUUUGGAUCUGCUACUUGGUCUAAACAACUACUCAUCAAGUAGGAUCGGAUGGUCAAUCAAAGGGAUUGGUUUGGGCAUGCUCUCGAGGAGUAUAUCCAACCAUGUUUAGCAUCUUCUCGUCAAGCAAGGAAAAGAAAGGUAGUAAGAGGAGUAAGGAGCAGAGGUAGGGAGCAAAGGAAGCUGAGUAGGUCUUGAGUCUUUAGGUCUUUCAUUUUGUAAUCAAGGAUAAAAUUUUGAGAAAUUAUAUGUUUUUACAACCCAUGUAAAAUUUGUUUCAAUUUUUUUUUUUAAUCAUUUUACAACAAGCAAAAAGGGGUGCAAGUGAUUUGGGUAUUGGGCACAGGGAAGUGGUGUUUAAGUGGGGGAAAGGGGGUUGGGGUUUACUGAAAUUAGGAAUGACAUUCUUAAUGGUGCAAUCCUAAAAAUGAAUGACAGUUUGAUAAAUAUAAUAUAAAAAUAAGGAUAAAAUACAAUUACAACAAAAAUGCGUCUAAAUUUAAAAAAGGGUUGAAGUUGACUGAAAUUACAAGAAUAUCAUUCAUAAUUGGUGUAGCCACAAAAUGAAAUGAAUGACACUUGGUAAAUAUAAUAUAAAAAUAAGGAUAAAAUAUUGUCAUAACAAAAUGUGUCUAAGUUGGAAAGAGUGUUAAGUUAGCUUAAAUUAUACUAAUGUCAUUUUUCAUAGAUCAAUUGAGGUGUUGUAGAAUGACAAUUUGAUAAAUAUUCGAAGAAACUAAGUAUAAGAAAGGUAAAAAAAAGUAACAAUAAAAUGUGAAUUUUGGCUUUUAUAGUAUAAAGAUAUUUAGAAAAAAGUUUUUUAAAAAAUAUUGUGGAUGAAUUUUGAAUUAUACAACUCAAUUGAUUCAAAUUUGAAAUAAUGAAAUUGGAUUAGACAUAGAUUGAGUACUUUAUGUUAAAAAUUGGAUUGGAUUAAAUUUGAGUUAAUCAUUUAUAAUUCAAGUUGGGAUCAGGUUUGCCAACAACUUAAUCCAUUUGUCUAAAUUGUUGCAUAAAGAUAAUUAGAUUAGGCUCAAAUUAAUUAUUUCUUGAUUUGAAUUGGGAUGGACUUUGUCAUCAACUCAAUGAACGUCUUCAAAAUUUUCAUCUGCAAUGUAGAUUUCUCGGUUUUAAUGGAAAUUUGUUUUUAUUCCCCUUUUUUGUAUUUAAAAUUUUCAAUACCUAUAAACUUGAUGAACCCAAUUGUGGCUACAUUAUGCUAAAUCAUAGAAAAUAAAUAAAUAUAUAUUAAGCUUUAUUAAUAGGGAAACUUGUGUUUUGAUGGAGCCAUUUGGGAAAUAUAUGGUUUUCAGAACCCAACUGAAAUAUGAAAAUCAACUUUUAAUGUGAAAAAUUAUAUAUUUUUUAUGCACUCUGAGUCGGCUACAUAUUUUGUGCUGAGAUUGCCUUUUUUUUUUCCUCCUGUACCCACCAUCCACUUCUCUCUCUCUCUCCAGUGAAACUGGUCGACACUUUGUCGACGUCAUCACCGACCUCCCUCUCUCUCCCUUUCCCUUCCCUCUUUCUCUUUCUUUCCUUCCCUUUCGACAUCACCAAGAGAGAAGAAGGCGGUGACAAUGGUGGAGAACCAGGGCUAGAGGGAAGAAGGCGUGGUUGGUUGCCAUUGACAACAGCAACCAACAACUCUCGCGAUCAUUGACGGCGGCGGCGACGGAAGCACCAACGUAGGGAGAGAGGGGAGCACCACCGUUAUAGCAAAAUUCAAAUUCAAAGCAUCCAAAACCCAAAUCCAUAAACCAAACAAAAUACCCAUUAAUGUAAUAACUCCAUACAAAUUUAGCUAAUAUAAGGGCAAAUGAAGAAGGAGAAGGAAAAGAUAAGAUCCACCCAUCACUGAGAAGUGGAUUCUCUUAUAGUACUAAAUCAAAUUCCCAACAAACAAACAAAAAUUAAAGAAGAGGGAUGAAUCUGGAAUACCUCCACGGUCAAGAAGAAGAACAGUGGUGGGAGAGGAACAAGACUUAAAGGGCUUGUCACCCUCAAAAGGCACACACCCAAAAGAGCCUUUUUUAGGAUAAACAACAGACCCCACCAUGGAUCCUCCAUAAUCAAGAAUACCAACCCGCCUCUCCUCGACGUCUCUCCCUACGCUGGUGCUUCCACCACCGUCGCUGUCAAUGAUCGCGAGAGUUGCUAGUUGUCGCCGUCAAUGGCAACCAGCCGCGCCUUAUUCCCUCCGGCCCUGGUUCUUCACCAUUAUAAUCGCCUUCUUCUCUUUGGGUGAUGUCGAAAGGGAAGGAAAGAAAGAGAAAGAGGGAAGAGAAAGGAAGAGAAGGGGAGACCAGUGAUGACACGGCAAAGUGUCGGUCGGUUUCACUAGGGAGGGAGGAAGAGGUGAAUGGUGGGUACGGGAGGAAAAAAAAAAAAGGUAAUCUCGACACAAAAUAUGUAGCCGGCUCAGAGUGUAUAAAAAAUAUAUAAUUUUUCACAUUAAAAGCUGAUUUUCAGAUUUUAUAAAGUUGGGUUCCGAAAACCAUAUAUUUCCCAAAUAGCCUCAUCAAAAUACAAGUUUCCUUUAUUAAUACCAAGUGAAACCAUCCAAUCAUUAUCUACCUUUUAUUAUUUAUUUGUAUUCUUGUUCCACAUGGCCUCUUUGGCCACGUUUGGCAUUCACCACCGCCAAAAAAUAUUUGAUUGUGCUCCACAUGACAGUUUUAAGUAUAGACCAUGUUUGGCUAGUUCUUCAUUAUUGCCAAAAUAUCAUUAAAAAAAACCUUAAAACCUCAUCCCCUUACUUCUUCCUUUGAAACCUUAAACCCCAAAGACCCACAAACUUAAUACAAAUAUCGAAGAAUUGAGAUUUUGAUUAAAGAUAUGGAUUGCAACAGUAGAUUUUUAUGUUUUUUUUUUUUUGGCAAUAUUUUGCUUUUCCUUUUCAUAGUUGGGAAAAUUUUGUAAAAGAGAAUAAAUGUUGGGUGUUUAGGUGUUUAUAGUUUCCUUUUCAUAGUUGAAAAAUUUUCGAGAGAGUAAAUUUUGGAGAUUCAAUUUUCGUUCCUCUUCCUCGAAAGCCUUAACUUCCCAAAGCCUUAAAGUCUCAUAAUUAUCAAUUGAUUUUUUCUAUUUUGGGGUUGUUUUUUUUGUUAUUUUUUCAUAAAAUGAAUUGAAUUUGGCUACCAAGACAACCAAUUUUUCUUCUAGGCUCGUUAAUUCUGUUUAUUUAGGAAUAAUGUUCCACUAAAAGGCACAAAUUUUUUAUUUUUUGUUUUUUUGGGUUCCUUUUGAAUCUACUAUUGUUCUCAUGAUAUAAAGAGCUUAAACAUCACUCUAUUUUAUGAGUGAAAAGGAAAAGAUGAGUUUAGAUCAAUCUCUAUUGUCUUUUUGUUUUUUUUUUUUAACUAAAAAAUCUUGAAUUUUUUGAGCUUUAAUUAAUAUUUAAUAUAAAAUAUAUAUAUAUAACCUUGCACAACACUUGACCCUACACAAAGAGAUUUUAGAGCUUCAAGAAAUAAGAGCAAGGCAGAAGAUCGAAGAUGGAAGAGAUUUUAGGGGUUUGAUUGUUUCAAAUGAUGAUUUUACCUUCACUUAUUUGUAUAAUUGGUAUUUAAGAAGUUUGGAGGGUAAACUAUUGGAUUUUGAAUGUAAAGUGGUAAAGUGUAAAACAAGUUAGGUUAAACCCUUUUAUUUUUCAAAAAACAAGUUGAUUUUUAUUAAUCAAAUGCAUUUAAAAAAAAAGAAAAUAUAAAAAAUAAAAAUAAUUUUUAGAAAAUAAAAAUUUUUAAAACAUUUUCCAAAGCAAAUACAGCCUUAUCGAUUUUGGUUAUUUUUUAUAUAAUGUUUUGAAUAAAAAUUAAAAAUAUAAAAAUAUUUUAAUAACUUUAAUAUUAUAUAUAAAUUUGUUAUACUUCCAUGGAAAAAAAGUCAAAAAAACUAUUUUCUAUAUAUGAUUUCUUCAACAUAAUUUCCAACGCUAAAUUAGAUUUAUUUUAACAAAAUUUGAAUAAUUAUUUUAACUUUUUAAGAUUGAAAUUCUUUACAUAAUAAAGUUACAAGUUACGAGGACUUUGACGGUCUCACCACGAUUACCAACUGCGAAGACGGACUGAGAAGUUGAAGAAGGGAGAUUGUGAGGAGAGGGAGCGAUAGAGAAAUGGCAGGACUGAUAGCAUGGGCAGCCGAUGUGGUGGGAGGGGGUGGUCAAUCCAACGACGAGGACGACGCCAAUUCAAUCCCAAUUGUUUUCUCUCCCGAUCAGCUCAACUACGUCAGGGAGUUGGAUGGGAAAGCUGCUUCUCUCCGCCGUACCAUCCAGGAUCUGCGGCUCAGAAUCCCCCCAUCUGAUAUCUCCCAACGCCUUCCACACCUCCAUGCCCACUCCCUCGCUUCCAAUGCCGAUCUUGCCCUGCAGUUGAACUCCCACUCCGCUACCCGCCAACAGGUGCUCCUCAAUUUUCAUCUGGGUCUUUAAUUUUCCAUUCCAAUUCCUGCGCACGGUUCUAUGUUGUUUCUGUAUCCUUCAAAUUGGGGAUUUUUUUUCUCUUUCUUUUAUUUUUUUUUCUUCAGUUUUUGCUGCUACGCUUCUUUAACAAUAUAUGGGAUGCAUUUGUUUUUUGAAUUAUGGACGAUUUCCCUUGUGGGUCUUAGUAUUAUGAUUGCAUUUCGGCUGCCAAAAAUAUAUCUUUUACGUUUAUCUUUUCAAAUUCGUGGGUUUUCCAUGUGGGUGUCUGAAUUUUAAUUCUAUCUCUUGGGUACAAUUUUGGGAAAUAUAUAUAUAUAUAUAUAUAUAUAUAUAUAUAUAUUCACGCAAUUUAUUUGUUUCCUCUCUUGGGCUUUGAAUUUUUUUAUUACAAUUCGGCCACGGAAUUAUAUACCGUAAGUGCAUUCUUUAGAUAGUGAAAAAUUUUAUCAUCCUAUGACACAGCAGCCAGAGUCUAAAGGAAAACCUGGGAGCCCUUUUCUUAAACCAAACUAUAUUCUGGAAUAUUCAUAUAGGUCUUAAAAUUAUUAUUCUAGUUGUUCUCAUGACCCUAUAUGCAUAGAAAUGUUAUAAAGAUUCCUUGUUGAGUUUGAUGUAAGAUUCCUGUGUAUCUGAUUGAUGUGGAGGAUGGGCUGCACAAAUCAGGCUAACAACAAAAAUUUUGGUUUUUGUCCCAACAAAGUGGCAGACGUCUAGAUUGACAAUUGAUUUUCAUGUUUCAUGAAUGGAAAAUUUUGAAGUCGGGAGAAAUGGGCUGUGGUUCUUCAUUAUUCAGUCAAUGUUGUUUAGCCUGUUUAUAUCAUCCAUUUAUAGUGUCUUGAACGGGGGAGUUAUAUCACCAGUCAUAAUGUCUGAGAACUUUUAUAUCAGUGUGUACGAUAUACUGUUCUUGCAUAUGGUUAACAAUUUGGAUGGUUUGGUUCUGAAAGCUGACCAAUUUUAUGUCAAAUGUAUUACUUUUCCUUCUAUGUCUGUUGACUUGUUGCAAAUCCUUAUGACCAGGCUCAACUGAGAGCGGAGACGCUGCAAGAAGAAAAUGCUGCAUAUGACAAGGCUAUAUUAAAUUGUGAGAAUAAAAUACAGGAAAAAUUGCAGGAAGCAGAAUUUCUUAAAAUGAAGUUAAAGGUGGGCUGAGGUUCCAGAACCUUUUUCUAUAUUCUACUUCAGUUGUCAUCCCUCAGAGUAGUAGUUUGUUAUUUCUUUGGAACACAUGCCUAGUACUUAGAACAUCUAUUUUAUUGAAGUCCUUUUGGGUUUUUUUUUUUUUUGUUUUUGUUUUUGUUUUUUUUUUCAUUUUUCUUUGUAAGCACAAUCACAUGAUAGCAUUUUACUUUCUAUAGAAAACUAUUUUCUUUUUCCUCAAAUGUUAUUUGAAUAUGUCUAGAAGCUGGUGUUUUGGAGGAAGUUGGAAGAGAAACUCAAAUUGAUGGUUCAUGAUUUUUAAGAACGUGUUAGCAUACUUCACUAAGUUAUCAAGUCAUUAUGAUGCUGAGCAUCUUUCAAUGGAGGUAUAUGUCUUUAUUAUUAUUAUUUAGAAUAGGUUACUGAUGGUUCCAUCCAUCUUCAGUUAUCAUUACAAAUCAAAUGAGUUUUUGUUUUUUUUGCCCUCCUAAUAUUUUGAGCUUACCCCAAGUGGUGGUUGAAAGUAGCUCAUGAUCUUCUGUAGUUUGUUGGGUUUCAGUUUCACCCUUGAGGUACUUAAUUGUUAUUACGAGCAUUUGUUUUAAAAUAUCUGGACCACACUGUCUGGAUUAGUUUUGAGGCCUUUAGGUUAUCAUCAUUAAGAAAUAAGCCACUGAUAUUAAGAAGAUUAGUUUGGAGAAAUGACUUUCACAAAUUGAUUUUAGUCUCAAACAGCAUUUCCAACCUUUUGAGCCUGUUGGUUUAAGAAGAUUGUGGAUAGAUUUUUCUCUUUAUGAGGUUCGUAAUAUACUGGAAUGCUCUCUUGACUGUGUCUAUAGUUAAAUUUCUGAAGAUGCUUCUGUAUGGGUUACCUUUAUUUAUAGAGACUGGAUGUAGUUAAAUUUCUGAGUAGUUCAAUGCUGUGAUACUUUAUUUAUAAAAAUAAAUGUUGUAGUCAAUUAUAUGAUUUUUACUAGUUGAUUGAAAUGAACCAACAAUCAUAAAUUAUGUUUCUUUCUGAUUCUAAUUGAUUAAGAUUUCACUAUUGAAUAGUGUAGAGGUGUGCUAAGAAUGGGUGCUUCUCUGUAAAAUCUUUCUGUAUGUCACUAUCUCCUGGUGGAUCACAUUCCUCUCUUAUGGAGGAGGUGUGGGGUUUAGAGGCCUCUUUACAGGGUGGUUUGUUUGCUUGAGAGACAGUAUGCAAGAAGAUUUUGAGAACUAAUCAACUUACGAGGGUUAGGACUUGAUUAAUAGGUGAUGUUUGUGUAAAAUCAUUGAGGAGUCAGCUCACCAUAUUCUUGUCCACUGUAGAAAGGGUUGCAAUUUGUGAUAUUGCUUUCAUUAUUUUGAAUUCCAUGGGUGCUUCCACAAUCAGUUAAAGUAUUGUUGUUUAGUUGACAUGGCAGUUUUCUGGGCAAUCAACACUCAAAUGUGCGGAGGAUGACCCCUUUGACUUUGUUUUUCUGUGUGUGCAAAGAGUGCAGGCUUUGAAAGAGUCUUUCCUACAAACUAUGUGUUUGAUCUAGGAUUCUUUAGCAGUGAAAAAUAGUUUUUUUUUCUUGAGUUUGUUGAUUGUUUAAGGAGUGUGUAACUGGCGUGUGGGUUUUUGUAGUUUUUUCUUCUGCCUUUUCCACUUGAUGCUCUAUUUAUACUUUCUGUGUGCUAUGAUUGGAGCUCUGUUUUGUUUAGCACCUUUUAAUUUAUAUCCCUUUUUGCCUAUCAAAGGAAUUUCUCUAUUGAGUAUUUUUGCCUUACAGGAAAUGGAUGAGAAUGAGAACAAUUUGAGGAUUGAGCUGGAAAGUGCACAACCUACACUUAAUACCAGCCAAUCUCGAAAAUCAGGUGAUGUGGUGGUUGAAUCUAAGACAACAAUUGAAGCUCAAGCAGACACAGAUGCUUCCAAAUCUUCUAUUCUAGACAAGUUGGAGAGCAAGAGAAAAGAACUGGUUCGUUGCACCAUUCCUCUUCUAUUAAAAUUCCCUUUUCUUUUUUUCUUUCUUUCUCAAUUUUAUUCCCUUUAUAUUUAUUUUCCGAAAACCUGUUUAAUCUCUCAGUCUUCGAUGGAAGAGACAGUUCAAGAUUUAGAGAAAAAAUGGUCAAAAGUGCAGGAUAAUGCACUGAAACAGCCUUCCCCAGGUAACUUCUACUUCAUGAGCCUAGAAUGUGUUUCUAAGUUAAACCUCCAACUUUCAAUUGAUGACCAUAAGCUAUCCAACUUGGUUUAUAAGAAUUUUUUUUUCUUUCAAUAUACUCCUUUUCAAACAUUCAGACUUUCCAUCAAUAUCAUGUAAGAUAUGUUGGUCUUUAUUUCUUUGUUCAAUGUAGAUGUUUUCAAGAGUUUACUCCAGGUCUGUAAUCUUGGUGGAUGUGGAACAAAAGAAACUUAUAUUGAUAAAUGAAAACCGAAAGAAAUCUGAAGAAGCUAAAUCAGAUCUAAUUGUACCCUUUGGUGUGGUCCCCCCCACCCCCCUUCCUCUUUUUCUUUGUUUGGUUGGCAUGAGUCUGUAUCUUGAAUUGGGUUGGAACAGGUAAAUAAAAGCUUUAAUUUUUUAAUUAUUAAAAUAUUUCAAAAAAUACUGAAAAUUUAGUAUGCGAAUGUAUGAUUGAAAUUGGUUAAAUAUUUUAAAAUACUGACAUGUUACCAUUGUUCAAACUGGAAAGAAAAUCUUAAAAAAUUUUAAAAUAUGACCAAAUUUUAACAAGCUGCUAGGUGUACUCUGCACUGUGGAUAUAUUGUUCAUGAUGAUCAUCCUGGAAGUAUGGCUGUAAUUUAGUGGAAGCAUGUGGAUUGUGUGAAUUUGAAAGGGAAAGAAGUAUCAAUGACACACUUUUGAGCCACUCUUAAACUUUUAAAACCCUAGUACUUCUCUCUUCUAAAAGCCUGCUUCCAGGAAGUAGGCUUUUGACUACCCGUAGGUAUGUACUGGAACUGCAGUUCUGUAGCUUUAUUGCAUUUUAAUCUUUCAUAGUGAUAAAAACUUGAUCCUUGUUAUAAAAAAUCAAGAAUCCUUUCCCAUACUGUCACUGAUUCCUUCCCUACCCUUGUCUCCUCCUUUUGUUACAUCAUUUUAGUAUAUAAACUCAGUGCUACCCUCCAUUUUAUUUAUGUGAAAUAAAAUUUUCUGAAAAUUUAUGUAUGAUUACUGUUAUGCAGAAGUCAAGCAAUAAUAAGAACAAAUAUAAGUAAAAUCAACAAAUUUCUGUAGUUCAGUGGUGUGUCUAUAUCCACAGAGGAGGGAGGCAUCAAAUUUAAUGGGGCAUUUACAAGGUCCCAAUAUUCUCAACCUCUCAAAUCUCAGUAUGGUUGCUCUCACCUAAUCCAACUCUAAUUAUCAUUAGAAAGGUACAAUAUACACCCCAUGAAAUACAUGCAAUAAACAUUCAAAAAAUGCAACCUAGAUGUGGACCAAAAAAGUCCAUGCCCAGCCCGAUCUGCUAAGGAUAGCAGGACACCUCACCAUACUCUCCACCUUAGCUUGUAUCCCAAUCAACAAAUCUUGGUGACAGCUUGUAGAUGAAUCCAUGUGAAGGGACUAAGUUGUACUCCUUCAAGGGUAGUAGUAGUACUUAACCUAACAUCUUCCGUAAGAUGAAACUAGAUGAUGCCAUCAGUAACACUUGAACUUAUCUAGGAAUAUCCUAGUUAACAUGGGAGCUACAUUCUCUUUUGCUUCUGAAAGAAGUUCACUUUUUCAGUUUGUGAUACCUUACACUAAUAUUUUUGGUGCUAUCAUGAAAAAUCUGAUUCUUUGGCAAAUGAAGGACACUUUGACUAUCAAAAUGUAACAAUAUAAUAUUUGACUCAAAACCAAGUUGUUCCACAAAAUCUUUAAGCCAUAAUAUAGCUUCGUUUUCUACUUUAGUUACUGUCAUAUACUCUACUUCUAUUGUAGAUUAAGCAACUGUACCUUGCAUAUUGACUUCCAACAAAUGGGUCCACCAAAAAAGAUAAAUAUAUAGCCUUUCAUAGAUUUCCUGGAAUCAGGUCUCCAGUAGAAUCUGCAUCUACAUAUCAAACAACAGUUUCUGAUGCACCAUUCUGAUAAAAAAAAAGUCUUGAAUCACAGAUGCCUACAAGUUAGCUGAGAAUCCAUUUUAUUGCAUUCUGAUGCUUUGUUCCAGAAUUUGCCAUAUUUCUACUAACAACACUCACUGUAAGUGUGAUAUCGGGUUUAGUACACAUGAUCAAAUAUGUAAGGAAACCUACAACAUUAGAGUAAAAGACUUUUGACAUAAACUACAAGCUUUUUCAAAUAUUUUACCAUUUGCUUUAUAGUCAGGUUAACAUUGUAAAUUAAAGAGAUUUAGACAGAUUGCACUUACAGUCUUUUCAUCCAUCUCCUCCAAUAUCUCAUCCGCCAUUGAAGUAGGUUUCUUUGACUUGCCCUGUAAUGCCUUGUGAACUCCUUGUUCAUUCUGCCACUGCCAUAGGUACUUCACCCUAGACAUGGUCGUUAAAUCAAGUUGGAUUCAAUGAAAAUUGUCAUGCAAAAAUCAUGUAGAAUAAGAAAAAGAACAAACACAAUUAAAACACAAAUAUUUGUGUGGUUUGGGAGUGUGUCUACAUCCAUUUUGAGGGUGAUUAAAUGCAGGGGCAAUUGAUGUGGCAUUUAUAAAGUUUCAAUAUUGUCACCCUGUCUACUCUAAGUAUUGCAGUUCUCUCUCAAUUCAAUUAGUACCCAAAAAUACAAUCUGGACUUGGGUUCAGAAAAAUCCAUUCCUCAUAACCCAGUCUACUAAAGAAAACAAGACCCUGCAGAAUAGUAAAAAAUUAUAUCAUAACCACAUUUUGGCUGUAAUAUUAUGCAAUUUUAUUUUGAAGCAAGUUCUGUUAUGCAGUUCAGAGAGAGAAGAUAUUGGAUAAACAGCUUCAUAGCCUAAUUGAGCAAUUAGCAGCAAAGCAGGUCAUUUUUAUUAUAUCUUAGUUUUAUUUUUAGUUUUUAUGCAAUCAUAAACAUUUUAGCCAUGGGUUUUAUCAAUGUCAAUUUAAGAAGUUUCUUUUCCAUCUAUUUUGUCUUGUUGUAGGCACAAGCAGAGGGUCUGGUGAGUGAAAUUCAUCUGAAGGAGCAGGAGCUAGAAAGAUUAAAUGGGCUGUGGAGGAGAUUUCAAACCAGCAAUACAGAUGUGAAUACUGCUAGGAAUCGGUUUGGAAGAAACAAGCCUCAUAACAUUGGCGGUCGAACUGAGAUCCAAAAGAGGCUCAUGCUACUCAGGUCUGCUUUUGUGCUUUACAUUUUAGCCCUGCACAUCUUGGUCUUCAUCAAGAUUUCUUUCUGAAGAUCAUCCUAACACGUCAUUUUUCCUGAAGUUGUUGUUCCCAUGCUGAACUAGAAGUUGUGAAGUAUUUCUUUCUUCUUGAUAUUGCUAUUUCUUUUGCUCCUGGUUGUAUGAAAAUGUUUAUGUAUAUUAUGAAAUGUCAUUGGCUCUUUUCUCAAGUUUAUACUUGUGCCAACUCUGAGGCUAGGUUGCUACAUCAAUUCAAAUGAUUAUAAUAGAUGAAUAGAUGAAUAGAUGAAGGCUGUUUAAAUUACCUAGAAAAAUACAAAAUGAUGCAAAAUAGACACCAAUAGCAGGAGGCAGGUGCAUCAUAUUGGAGGUUAGGAAUUGAGGGAGUUUUUAAGAACUGCUAAAAUUCUGGAAAUAUUAUCAUAUACCAUCAUGCGGUUAAUCUAUGUUGAAGGUCUAACCCCUUAAAACUGCAUUGGAGCUCCUUUGAGGUGUUACCAAAAAAUAAAUAUCGGCCCUCGAUGCUUCUGAAUUAACACUGAAUGCCCUGAUUUUCCAAAAUAAUAUUAAUAUCCCAUCAGGGUUUGCAUCAAAUGAUGUUAAUCCCCAUCCUUCAGAAUUUUAUUUUAUUUUUUUGUUAAAUAGGCUUCCUCAUCCUUUGAGUUUUGUGUAAGUGUAAAAACCGUGUUAUCCAUCCUAGUUCAUGAACUUUGUUAUAACCUUUCACAUUUAUACUUGUUAUCUAAAAGAAGAUGAAAAACCAGAUAUAGAUGAAUCCACCAAAGAGACAUACGCUUAAAUUAGGAUGAUCAGAGAAUUGUGAGUAUGAAAUGUAAAUGGCAAAUUAGAUGGUCAGAUAAUUCUGUCUUGUUUCCCGGGUGAAUUAUAGAAGAUAAAAUAGUCAUCAAUAUGAUCACAAAAUGUUCUAGAUUCAUAUGAGAGGACUUGCAAGUAUAGAGUCAAAGGAAAGGAAAAGUGGAAAAAAAAAUUUAAGACUCGUUGAUUAACACAUCCAAUAGAUAGGGCCCUUUAUAAUACAUUUUUUUUUUUUUUAUUCUCCUAGUAUAUGUUUGAAAUAAUUGUAGAUAACAAUAUGUACUUCAGAUGCAAGAAUUAAUAAAUAUAAUUGGUAAAAUGCUUAUGAAAAUUUAUCCAACUCUCAUCCAGCUUUUUGCUGAAGCGUUCCAUCAAAUGAUCUUUCACCUUCCAUCUUCAACAUUUGAAGCAAAAAUUCGUUCCAUGUAUCAAUGGGACCCGGGGUACACCAGUGAACACAGUCAGCUAUUGUCACAUUCUUAUGUGGUGAGUGCUCAUAAUGAUUUGGAUGUCCAUCUGGCCUUAGCACCAUAGCUUCUGUAACAUCUAGCAGCCUAAAUUCCAAGCCUCUCUUUCUCCCUUCCCUUUCUGCUGCCCUUAAUUCCUCCACCUGAGUCAAGUAGAACUCCAAAUUAUAAUCAUCCAACUUCAUUUCUUGUUUUGUAAAGGGCCUUGUCCUCACACAAUUCCCUCCUUCAUUCCAUGCCCCAUUCUCAAAGUGUGCUGGUGAGAAUGUCCUUAAAAAUGUCAGGCCCUUGUAGUUUUUAAGAUUCUGCAGGGUUCUGAAGGAGGUCCGGAAGGCUUUCCUGUAUCCAUAGAACUUGGUAACCUCUGUUAUGUUCUUUUCAUUGCACCCAUGACACCCAACAACCUGACCUUUUUCAUAGAAAAUCAGUGGUCGAAAGAACCAUUGCCCUGCUGAGAUGAUCACAUAGUCGAAAUUUUCAAUCUGAGCCGCCCAGGCCUCAUCAACCGUGUCUAAGUGGAGGUUCAUGAGGUUGUUAAAGGAGUGACCUUUGGGGUCUGCAUCUUUGGCUUUAACCAAGAACGGGGACCAGAAUGUUGCUAGGGUAAAUUUGUAAUCAGUAUAGAACCACCGUCUGAAGUUUGUAUCUGAUGUAUAUUUAUAAGAAAUGUCCACUGGAUAGGUAACCUGAAAGAUGGAGAUUAGAGUUCAGUCAGGUCUGAAGAGUGAAGACAAACUUCAGUAGUACUCAAUAUUUGGUUUUAGCUUGGAAUAUGCUAAUCUCUAUGUAGUGAGACUUUAUUAAAGUGAGCAUGCCAAGCAAUUAUCAUAAACCAAACACUAACUAUAAUGACUUAUUAGGCACUUACAUUAGCUAAGAGACAAAGCAAUGAUUGCAUUUGGUUUCUUCCCACAGAAUCCCCAACGAACCCUAUCGACUUCCCUCUAACAAGCUCCAAGAACUGAACAGGAUCAAAGCGAGGUAGUUCACAUCCAUCUGGUUUCCACCUCCAUUUCAAGAACUCGGUGUCGGGUCUCCCAAACUUGAUACAAUUUUGCUGAGGGAUUAUCUCUCGACAAGUUGCAUUAGUGUAGUAAGGCCCAUUGGGAUACGGAACCCAUCUUCCACUGAACAUAUCACAUUUCUUCUUGAUUGCUAGGCUGGUUGAACCCCCAGUAUGAAUCUUGGGAGACUGCACUGGUGUUGGUGAUCUGUUCAUCAGACAGAGAGGGAUUAGAGUGAGGAGAAUCAGGGUUAGGGACAGGUGAAUAACCUUCUGGGGGGUGCUGUGUGGUGUGUUCUUCCCAUUGGGAGGCUCAAUGGCAGGAACCCUCAUUGGGAAAAAUCUAUCUAUAUGUGAAGCAAGAAGCCUAGCAUUUGCUAGGGUUAUAUAUAUGGGGUUGAAGAAUGAUGAUGAUAAGAGUCUAGACUUCAGAUUUAUAUCAUCACAUGCAAUCAUAGAUUUCAAACUGUUCAUUUUCAAAUCUGUGCCAAUGUGCUUACCAACCAUAUAAGCUACCAUACAUUGCAUCUUUACCCUCUUUUUUCUGGUGAGGCAUCAUUAUACAUCAUUAAACACAUUUAGAAACCAAACUCCGGUUGCUUUUUCUUAUUCCCUGUGGUUGGAACCCAAAUAAACAUGGAAAGCAACAGGCCGAUGGGAUUUGUCAUCUAACAAGAGUUAGACACUUUGACGCAGAAUGCACGUAAAACAGCAUUGAAAAUUGCAGCAUCUGUAAUGGGUAUGAAGGGAGUGGGCUGUAGCUGUAGGCAUUCCCAUAGAAUUAUGAUAGAUACAUCUCAUCUCAUCUCAUCAUAUAGUCAACCUUUUUAGGCUCAGUAAAUAAAUACCACUUAUGGUGCCACCUCAUGGUGGUUAGUGCUUAAUGCAGUGUAAGCCUAUUCAAGUGAAUGGGGUUGUGUUGUUUCUUUUCUUUUUUAUCUUCAUGAAGUGACAUUGGCGUGGCUUGGGGGUGAAGGUAUGGAUGAUUGCAGCACCCUUAAUGGGGCACACGGGCUCUUUUUUUAGUGUCUUCUAGCUUUAUGGGUUUGGAGUGUUGAUAUGUGAAAUGAAUGGGCUUCUUCCUCUUAGGCUUCUCCUUCACUAACUCAUAAUUUCCCAUGUCUGCAUCACUUGGGAUCUACUUCUGGAAGCAGAGGGCAUCAAAGCAUUAGCUUUCUCUACUUUUCUUUUCUUUUGUCAUUAUUAUUAUAUAGUGGAGUCGCUUUCCUUUUUGCUAGGUUUAGAGGUCCAUCGAUAUGCUGUCAUCAGAAGCAAGUAUGUCGACUUGUAUCAAGUCUAUAUCCUUGGGCGAAGCAAUCUACUUGUGAAGUUUUUCUUACAAAUUCGAGAAACAUGAUGACGUGACUCGUUUAAUAUCAGUCAAUUUAUUAUUUUGUUUAUGCAUUUUCAGAAUAUUCAAUAUUUAUACUGACAUUUAUGAGGUCGCCUCAACCUAUGAAAUUUUCAUUGACGUUUAACAGCUUGGAAUAAAAAAAAAAAUUGUCAUCAACCAUAGAAUAUGAGGAUGUUCCGGAAAUCAACUUAAUGAUUCAAUAAUUUAAUUUAAAUUAUUAAAUAAAUUAAAUAUAUUUGAUAAAAUAUCUUAUCAAAUAACUUAAAAUUAAUUUUAAUUUUAAUAUUAAAUAAAAAUAAUUGACUUAUUUUUAAUUUUAAAUUAUUUUUACUUUAUUUACCCAUACUAGUAGAUUGACUUUUUAAAAGUAUGAUACUCAAUUUUUGUAUAUUAUGUAUUUAUAAUAAUACUUUAAAUAUGAAUGUUUUAUAGAUAAAUUUAUUACUUAAAUUAAUGAAAAUAAAUAUAAAUUCAAAUUAAUGAGGAUGAAUAUUACUUAAAUUUAAGAAGAUGAAAUAUGUCAAUGUGGUGUUUUAAAUUGAAUUUUAACUUUAUCAAAUAAUCUUAAUAAUUGAAGCAAAAAUUAAGUAAUAAGUUUUAAAUUAAUAAUUUGAGGGUGUUUGAUAAAUCAAUUUAAUGACUUAGUAACUUAAUAAUUUAAUUUAAGUCACAAAAUAAAUUAAAUAUUUUUUAUAAACUAACUUAGCAUCACAACUUAAAAUUAAAAAUGAUUUUAAUUAUUAUAUCAAAAUAGUUAAUUUAUUUUUAAACUCUAUUUUUUUUGUCCUAUUUGUCUACAUCCAAUGAGAACAUGGAUGAAAAUUUCCAUAAAUUUUAGAGAAUUUUCGUCAAAAUAUUGCGUUUCGGUGGUUGUGGAAGCAAAACAGAGGGUAGAAAUAUCCAAAAAAAUUGACGUGUUUUGUCAAAAUUUGGGCAUUUACUGAUUAAUUGGCCAAAAUUUUGGCAUUUACUAAUUAAUUGGCGAAGCAGGGAUUGUGAGCUAUUGUAAAAUGCCUUAAUUUUCUGCUUGCAGGUAAGGGGACUCGAACCCCCAAACAAAAGGUUUGACAUAAACCUUACCCACUAUUGGGCUUACCCUUGGUAAAUUUACUAUGUCAUGAUAUACAUAUAUUAAAAGUUAUUAUAUAAACAAAAUAUUAAAAAAAUAUUUUAAAGAACAAAUUAAUUAUAAUUAUUUUAUAAUCAAAUAAAUUUUUUUAUUUAAUUAAUUAUCAAAAAUAUAAAAAUUAUCAUGAUAAUUUUCUUCAUAGUGUUUUUAAUAUCAUUAAUAUAUUAAUUAAACAUUAAAAAAUUAUACAUAUAUCAUCAUUUAUUUUACAUUUAAUACAAUUAAAUUAAAUAUAUCAUAAUUUUAAUAUUAAAUAUAUUAUAAAAUUAUACAUAUUAUAAUCAAAUAUUAUAAUAUUAUUAUAAGAUAAUAUUUAAUGUCAUUUAAUAAUGAAUGUGCACUUAUAAAAUUUAUAUUUUUUUAUCGAUAUAUAAAAUAUUAUUAUCAAAUAUGAUAAAUUAUAUCAUAUAUAUAUAAAGUUAUUCAACAAAACAAUUUUAAAAUAUUUAUUAUAUUUUUAAUUACAUUUUUAUGAUUUUUUUUUUACAUUUUCAUGAGUUUUGAUGAAUUUUAGGCUUAUUGAAUUUUUUUUAAUAUAUCCGCCUAUAUAUAUAUAUAUAUAUAUAUUCAUAAAAUCAAAAUAUCUUUGAUUACUGAUAUUUUCAUGAGAAUAUAUUUAAGAAUCAUAAUUCCACAUCCAUGAUUCAUUUUCUAUAAUAAAUAUUUUAAAAUUAUCUUAUAUAUCUAAAAUAUUUUAAGUUUGGGUGUUUAAUAAACAAAUUUAUUACUUAAGUUUAAUAAAAAUAAAUAUUAGUUAAAAUUAAUGAUGAUAAAUAUUAAUUAUAAUUGAUAAAGGUAAAAAUGUUAAUUUGAUAACUUAAAAUAAAUUUUAAGUUAAUUUUACAAAACAAACUUAAAAAAAAAAAAAAAAAAGUAAUAAAUUUUAAGUUCAACUCUAAGGAGUGUUUGCUAAAACUUAAUACUUAUUAUUUAAUGAGUUAAGUUAAUUUUAUAUUAAAUUAUAUUUAAGUUGUUGACUUAAAACUUAUUACUUAAUUUUUACUUAAGGUUGUUUGAUAAAAUUAACUUAAAAUUUAUUUUAAAUCAUUAAAUUGACAUAUUUAUCCUUAUAAAUUAAAAUUAGGACAAAAGAUGUUGAAUAACAAUAGAGGUCAUGGAGUAAUAAAAAAGAUCGUGGAGGUCACUAGAACAAAUAUGGGUAAAAAGAUAAAAUGAAGAUAUAAACUUAAAAAUAAAUUAAUUAUUUUUAUUUAUUAUUUAAAAUUAUUUUUUACUUUAAAUCAUAUUAUUAAGUUAUUUUACCAAACAUACUUAAUUUAUUUAAUGAAUUAAAUUAAGUUAUUAAUUUAUUUUAUAUUAUUAAGUUGAUUUACCCAAUACUCACUAACCUAAAUAAAUAACUUAAUACUUAAAACUAUUAAAAAUAUUAUUUAAACUUAAAUUAAAUUAAGGUGGAUAAAAAAUGGAACACCACUUUUUUUCUUAAGAGUAGUAUUUGCAUUCUCAAUACUUCGCAUGGCAUUUAUUUGGAAGAAAAAUCUAGUAUCAGAGUGGAGUUGUUCCUCUGAAAAUCUGGAGUGAAAUUGGCAUAAAUCCACACUGUAUCAUUAAAAAUAAAUUUAAUUUAAUUUAUUAAAAAAAUAUUUUCAAAGCACAAAAUUGUAAAAGGUAAUAUAUAUAUAUAUAUAUAUAUAUAUAUAUAUAUAUAUAUAUAUAUAUAUAUAUAUGUUUUUAAAAAUUGAUGAAAAAUGAUUUAAUAAUAAUAAAAUAAAUAAUAAUAAGUUACAUUUAUAGCUUUAUUUAAUGUAAUAUAGAAGGUAUUAUUUACCAAUAAUACAAUUUAAUACAUUGAUAAUGAUCAUAUAUUAACAACGAAUUUAGAAUUUCAAAUAGUAAAAAUUAAAAAUAUAAUUAAAGAUUCUUUGUCUUUUUUUUUUUUUUUUUUUUAUUUAAAAAAAGCAAAUUUUAACAAAUAGAUUAUUUGUUUGUAAAAAUUAGAAGAGAACUAAAAAUUAGCAUUUUAAAAUUCGACUAUUUUAGAGGGUCAAAAAGUAGUAAAAAUUUCAAAAUACAGGUGGAGUUAUUGGGAUUUAUUGAAUGGUUCAUUUUAUGAAUAUUUAAUAUUAAAAAAUAAAUUAAAUAUUACCAAUGACAUUAUUUGUAAAUAUAAUAAAUAGUAUUAUUGUAAAUAUAGUAAGUCGUCGAAUAAGGAUACAAACAAAACUGAAGUAUAAGAAUACAAAUAAAUGAUACUACAAUAUAAAUAAUAAGACUUAAAAAUAUAAACUUAUAUAAUUUUUGUACCUAUAAAAAAAGAGUCUAUUUCAAUAUCGUAGGCUUGAGCAAUUCAAUUGAAGAGAUGUCUAACCAUACGUCAUAAUUGUAAGUGAGACCUUUAUUAUUAAUGAGCAACCACAAGUGACGAUUUAUUUUCUAUCCUGGACCUUGUUUAUCAUGUUAGAUUAAACAAAAUAUUUUUGGGUUAAUUUCUUUGAUCUCUUUUCAAGAAUUGGCUAAAUAUAUUUUACCUUUAUUGAUUUAAAAUUUUAUUAAAUACUUAUUUUAUCAUUUCAUCUGUUAUUUUUACUUGGUUUCUUUUUAAUUUAAAAUAAUAAAAGUAUUUGAUAAAAUUUUAAAUUAAGGAGGACCGGAGAAAUUAAGUCAAUAUUUUGUGAUAGAAAUAAGAAACACUAAUUAUAAAUUUUUAAUUAUAUGCUGAAAGUACACUAUCCUUGCACAAAUUACAAUUAAGGUUAAUUGUAAAGCAUGAUAAAUUGAAUUAUUCAUAAUCCGACCUAAUUCUCAUCCAAAUUUUACUCGAGUCUACUGUCGUAGUGAACUAUCACCUUCCAUUUUCAACAUCUGAAGCAAUAACUCAUUCCAAGUAUCAAUGGGGCCAGGCAGGCACCAGUGGACACAGUCAGCUCUCGUGACAUUCUCAUCUACCCUUUUCGCAUAAUAGCUUGGAUGCCCGUCUGGCCUCACCACCAUUGCCUCGGUAGUAUCCAACAAUCUAAAUUUUAAGCCCCUCUUCCUCCCUAACUUUUCUGCUGCCUUCAGCUCCUCCACUUGAGUUGAGUACAUCUCCGGAUACAGCCCUUCCAACCUCAUUUCUUUGCUGGAAACUGGCUUAGUCCUCACACAAUGCCCUCCUGUAUACCACUCCCCAUUCUCAAAGUGUGAUGGUGACACCGUCCUCAAAAAUGUCACUCCCUUGAAGUUUUUUAACCUCAAAAGGGUUCUGAAAGUCGUCUGAAAAGCUUUUCUGUACCCAUGGAGCGGUGUAAGGUUUGUAACUUUUUUUGUGUGGCAUAAAUGGCACCCAACAAUGUCACCAUUUUCAUAGUACACUUGUGGCUUUAAGAACCAAAUUCCAGCUGAGACGAUCACAUAGUCAAAUUUCUCAAUUUGACUCAUCCAGGCCUCAUGUGCCUCAUCUACGAAGACAUUCAUGAGGCUAUUGGCGGUCCCUGCAGUGGGAUUCGCAUCGAUGUCCUUGACCAAGUAUGGGGACCAGAACGAUGCUACAGUGAAGUUGUAGUCGGUGUAGAGACAGCUUUUGCUUAGUGGAUAUUUUAUGUUGUAAACAGCUAUAGGAUCUCCCUCCUGAAAAACAAUCAGCAUAAUUAGAAAUUAAAGAUCUAAAAAUGAGCAGAGAGCACCUAAGUAGCUUCUACAUCAUAGGAUCUCCCUCAUUAUGUCAUUCACCAUAGUGAAUUCAUUAUAACUGAAAUGUACUUACACUGGCUAAGAGGCACACCAAAGAUUCCAUUUGGUUUCUUGCCAGCGAGUCCCCGAUGAAUGCCAUUGACUUCCCUCUAACAAGCUCCAAGAACUGCGCAGCAUCAAAGAGAGGCAGCUCACAUUCAUCGGGUUUCCACCUCCAUUUUAAGAACUCGGUGUCGGGUCUGCCAAACUUCAUGCAGUUCUGGUGUUCGAAGAUGUGACGACAAGUUACAUUAGUGUAAUAAGGUCCUUUGGGGUACUGAACCCAUUUUCCACGGAAUAUGUCACAUUUCUUCCCUGGUUUUGUACUCACAGGGGACGGCCAUGGUGAAGAAAAAUGACUGAAAAGGUUGAGAGGGAUCAUAGCUAGGAGAAAUAGGGCUAUGGUUACUAGGAUAAUCUUCAUUGUGGCAUUAGAUAGUAGCCUUUUCCCGGGGGGAAGCAGCUCCAUCAAAUGAACCUUCACCGGAGAGGAAGAUGAUGAAAAAUGAGUGUCCAUUUGGGUUAAUUUAUUGGCGGGGGAGCAGUUAUUAUAUACAGUGGUUUGAAUUUUGAAUCACAUGAGAAACACGCCCCCUUCUCCCCCAUGUAUACUAAGCCUCGAAAAUGCCCUUAGGUUCACUGUGUGUGGGGUGGGGGGGUUGGGGGUGAGUAGGGAUAACAAUGGGGUAGGUUGGGGUAGGUUUUCUCAUCCUGUCUCAUUCAAAAAAAAUUAAACGCGAGGUAGAAUUUCCUCUACUUUAACUUUUUUUUUUUAAAAAAAUUUAAUUUUUUAAAAAAAUAUUUUUAAUUAUAUUAAAAUAAAUAUAUUUUAUAAAUAAUUAAAAUAUUAUAAUUUUUAUAACUUAUUUUAUUGAAAAAUAUAUUAUUAUUAUUAUUAAAAAUAGAAAAUAAAGAUUAAAUUAAAUUAAAUUAAAUUAAUUUUAUAUAUAAUAAUGGGACAAUACUCAAGCCCAUCUCAAAUCCUACUUGAACCCACCCAUUUGUCCCCAUUUGUCUCAAGUUAAAAAAAAAAAAGAACUCAAACCCGUUCUUAACUUGUUUAUUUAAAUUUCAAACUUGUUUAAUUAGAAGAAUGACGAGUAUCCAAAAAAACCUACUCCAUUGCUAUCCCUAGAGGCAAAGAGAUAUGGUACGGUGAUGAGUAAAAAUAUGCAAAUUUUAAUUGAUGGUGUUUAAAGAUUAGAAGAGCACUAAAAACUUAGUAUUUUAAGAUUUGAUUAUGUGACAGUGUAGAUUUCAAAAUUUAUAUAAAUUUUAUUUUUACAUUAAUUUUGAACUCAAUUUUGUCCUUAAAUUUUAAAUCCCGAUUAUAUAUGAUUUUUUUGUCCACUCAUUAUCUAAUUAUUAAUUUUUAUUAUUUUGUAUAUUAUUAUUAUUAUUAUUAUUAUAUUUUAUUAUUUUCCUCAAUUUUUUUUCUUUCUUUUUUCUCUCCUCUCUCCUCUCUCCUCUCUUCCUACCUUCCCCAACUACCCCCACCCACUCUCUCUCUCUCUCUCUCUCACCCGUACCCCCACGUCACCUCCCCCUCUCUCCUCUUUUCCCUCUUUUCUCUCGUCUCAUUUCCCUAUUUCUUUUUUAGUUUUUUUUUGCCCCCAUUCCCAAGUGGGCCGGCCCCAUUUUUUUUGGGCCCAACUUUUCUCCAUCUUCUGCUCCAAGACACACUCCAGCUACCCAAAAACACCCACGGGACGGAAUUUUUCCCCAUUCUUUUUUUUUUUUUUUCUCCCAUAUUUUUUUAUCCGCCACUGGCAACUAGCUACACUACCAGCCACUCCACCACCUGCAACUCCUCCUCCCGCAACUCCUCCACCGGCUCCUCUUGCCUGUCCACCAGCAGCGGUUCCAGUGCCAGCUCAAAGCACAAAAGUGAAAUCUCCGGCCUUGGCUCCAUCGCCUCUUACAAACAGCCCGCCGGCAGGACCAUCGGCCAGUCGUCGCCGGCGACCACUGCCAGGCAACCCCUUUCUCUUUUCUCUGAUUUUUUUCCUUUCCUCGCUUUCCCAUCCUAUCCAUUUUCCAUUAUUAUUAUUAUUAUUAUUAUUUAUUUGUGGUGAUGGUUUGUGAUUUGUAGGUUUGAGUUAGGAUAAAUUGGGCUUAAUUUUGGUUGUAAAUUUGGGUUUGUUUAUUAAAAUUAAGUUUGAAUUAUGAGAUAUUAAAUUUAGGCCUAAAAUUUAUUUUGAUUUAUUAUACUUUAUUGUACUUGGGCUUUACUAAUUGUGUUUGUAUUUUGGUAAUUAAUUGAAAUUUUUUGCAAUAUGACUAUUGGCAUGAAGAUAUUAAUGUUGGGUUAUAUUUGCUAAUUUUGACCCAUUUUUAAUUAAUGAAAUUUAUUGGGCUUGGCUGAGUAUGGAUUUAUGACAUGUGAAACACAUUUCACGGAAUUUCAUAGAAGAAAGUGAGACUCAAAAAAUUGUAAAUAAAGCAUUGUAUUAGUUAUAAGCUUAUUGGAGUACAUGUUUUAUUUCUUAUUAUUAUUUGAUUUUAUUUUUAUUAGUUCUUGUAAAUAUUUAUUUGUAUCUAUUUAUUGAGUGUGUAUAGAAUUGAACAUUGAACAAAUUAAAAAUUUUGUUUAAAUAAGAGGAACCAUUCAACAAACAUGUUUUAAUAAAAUAAUAGUUCAAAAAAUAUUUUUUUUAAUAAAAGAAAUUUUUUUUAUUAAUAAUAAAAAUUCAUAAAAAUGCUUUUAGAUAAAUCCAAAAAAUUGUUUUUAAUAGAAUUUGAAAAUUUGUUUUUAAUAAUAAUUGUCCAAAAAUUUAUUUGUUUAAUAAAAAUUGUCCAAAAAUUAUUUUGUCAAUUAAAUUGUCCCAAAAAUUAAUUUUUUAAUUAAAAAUUCUUCUGCAAAUAAAGUUAUAUAUUUUUUUAAUAAUUUGUAUAAAUCACUUUUCUUAAAUGAAAAUAAAUUAUAAUAUUUUUGUAAACAAAAUUGUAAAAAUUCAUUCAUUUUUUGUAAAAACAAGUAAAAAUAAUUUUUGUUGCCAAAUUGAAAUUUUGUAAUAAAUUCUUUUGAUAGUGUAAAUUUUUUUUUAAAAAAAUUAAAUACAAAUAAAAUUGAAUCAAAUAACUUGAAGAAAAUAUUUUGUAAAUAAAUAAAUUGAAAGCACUCAUUCAAAAUUGGUUUUAAUAAAAUUCUUCGAAAUUUUCGGAAAACUAAUUUUUUCAAAUAUUUUUUUAAUUAGUUUAAUAAAUCAAUUUGCAUAAUUCUAUUGUCAUUUAUUUUUUAUAUUCUUGUAAUUUUAUUUUGUUAUUACUUUUGUGUAUAUUGAUUUAUGUUAUUAAUUUUGGUAUCCAUGAUUAAUUAGUUAAUUGUCACAAUUCCUUCAAUUUGUUUAAUAGAGACCGUAUAUAUAUAUAUAUAUAUAUAUAUAUAUAUAUAUAUAUAUAUAUAUAUAUAUGAGUUUAGAUGGGUGCUAUAGCUCACCAUUGUACCUUCCCAAUAGGUAACCUGACCCUCGAACUUAGAGUCAGUUUUUCACAGAUCUGUUUUUUUUUUCAGGAGUCAAACUUAGGGUUUUUCCUUCUUAUUUUGUUUUUCCCUUUAAAAAAAUUAAAAUAAGUGGCGACUCCAAGUAUAUUUCUAAAAAUCAAAUUUUUAUCAAAUAAAUAAAAAAUGAGUUUCGCCAUCGAGUGGGAACGCAUCGUGCGAAAUACGGGUCCACACAGAUAAAACAAGUAGUAUGGUUCCUGGAAUGCCUCAAUAAAGGAGGGAAAUGAGAAAUCAAUUUCAUUUACAUGUCAAUCUCAUUAAGACUUUGAUUAAAAAUAAUUUAAUAAUAAUAGAAUAAAUAAUCAAAAAUUAAAUUUAUUACUUGGUUUAAUAUAAAAGGUAUUAUUUAACAAUUAUACAAUUUAAUAUAUUGACAUUGGUCAUAUAUUAAAAAAGAAUUUGGAAUUUCAAAUAACAAAAAUUAAAAAUAUAAUUAAAGGUUCUUGAACUUUAAAAAAAAAUGCAAAUUUUAAAAUUUGACCAUCAUCUUAAAGGGUAAAAAACUAGUAAAUAUUUGAAAAUAUAGGGAGAAUUGUUGAGAUUUAUUGAUUGGGUCUUUUUGUUAAUAUUUAGUGUUAAAAUAUAAAAUAAAAUAUUAUAAUCAAAUGACAUUAUUGUAAAUAUAAUAAGCAGUAUUGUUAUAAAUAUUAACGAUGAUUAUUAAUUAAUGUGUUAGAUUUGUUUCUUAAGGUUAUGUUUGGUCGUCGAAACAUGGGAGGGAAAGAAGAGAAAGAGGAAAAAUGGAAGAAGCCAAAAAAAGAAAGAAAAUAAAAAAUAAAUUUAAAUUCAAUUAAUUAUUUUUAUAUAUUUCUUCAAACCCAUUUUACUUAUUUCUCAACUAUACAGACUAAAUAAUUUAAAAAUAUAUAAAUUUUUACAAAUUUUAAUCAUAUUUAAUUUUCUUUUAUAUUUUUCAAGAUGAAACCAAACACAAGAAAACAAUUUUUCUUUACAUUUUUUUUUUUAAUACUUUCCUGUAACCCAACAUAGCGUAAAUGAUGAAUAGGCAUUAAAAAAAAAAUUAUUUUUAUAAACCCAAAUCUUAUUGUGAUUCCCCUUUAUUCAAAUAUAGAACGAGUGAUAUUAUUGUACAUUUAGUAGAGUUGCAUCCACCAUUUAAUCUUUCAUAAGAGGAAAACAUAUCAUUACUUAGAAGUACAAUAUUAGCAUCCUUAAAGAGGAAUGAUAUAAUACUUUUUAUAUCUUUAUUAUGAAUAAGAGAAAUAUCAUGAUACCGAUUUCUUGAAUAAAUAUAUAUUUUUAAUUUUCAGUCAAUUUAUUAUUUCAUUUAUAUGUUGUUACAAUAAAAAAUAUUCAAAUUUGAACAAGCUUCAUUCAAUAUUCUGAAUGAUCUUCCAAUCAACAAUGGUUAUUAACUGCAUCAACAACCAUGGUAUAAUUCUAUGUUCAAAAGUGGAAUUUUAAAAUUAAGAAAUAAAUAUGGCAUUGUUAUAAUAAUAAAUGAAAAGUAAAAUUUAUGAUGUGAAAUUUAUGAUCCGGAGACACGUAAUGGACUCAUUCAUGACGGUCAACAAUCUAGGCACAUAUGGUUGUUCGAGUAACAUUGCUUAGGGAGGCUUUCUUAUUACUAUUAAAAGAUUUUAUUACACAAAUGCCAAUUUUGGCUAAAGAGUACAUCUCGCUUUUUUUUUUUUUUUUUUUUUUUUUUAUGAAAAAUUAAUUUUUUAAAAAAGUAAGAAUUGCCACUUAUUUUAAUUUAUUUUUAAAAGGGGAAACAAAAUUAUAUAUAUAAAAAAAAAACCCCUUUUGAUUCUUUAUUUGAGGAAAUAACAAGUUUGUGAACUAAAAAUGGAUCUUAAGAUCAAGUUACCUAUCGGGAAGGUAUGAUAAUAAAACAUAAUACCUCUCUAAAUCUAUAUACCAAUGGUCUUUAUUAAGCAAGCAAAAAGAAUUAUGUCAAUUAAUUAAUCAAUCAUGAAUAUGAUAAAAAAGAAUAAUAUAAAUUAAUAUAUUGAAAAAUCAUAAAAGCAUAUUAUAGGAAUGUAUAAGAUAAAUGACAAGAGAAUUGUCUAAAUUGAUUUAUUAAAUUGAUUAUUAUUUUUUUUUCAAAAAUUAAUUUUUCAAAAAAUUCCAAAGGAGCUUAUUAAAAAUAAUUUCAAAUUAAUGAUUUCAAUUUAUUUAAGUACAAAAAUAUUUCAAUUUAUUUUCAAUAAGUGAUUUGAUUUAAUUUUAUUUUUAUUCAAUUUUCAAAAAAGUUAUUCCGCUUAUUACUAUUAAAAGAGUUUAUUAAAAAUAAUUUUUAUUUACAAGAAAAUGAUUUUUAUUUACAUUUGCUAGGGAAAGAAUGAAUUCUUACCAUUUUAUUUGUAAAAGUACUUUAAAUUUAGUUUUUAUUUAAGAAAAAUGUUUUUUUACAAAUUAUUUAGAGAAAUGAUUAUUUUUAUGGCUUUACCUACAAAAAUAUUUCAAUUAAAUAAAAAAGACUUUUAUUUGCAAAAAUAUUAAAAUUCAAUCCAAUUUUAUUAAUUAAAAAAAUAUUAAUAGGAAAACGGAUUUUCACAAAAUUAUUUACAAAAAUGUUUCAAUCCUAUUUUUUAUUUACUAAAAAUGAUUUAUUAUUUGAUUUUAUUUAAAAAGGUUUUAUUGAAAAAAAAAUAUUUUAUCUUUAUUUAAUUUAAGGAAAAUUUUUAUUUUCUACCCUCACCUUAUUUAUAAUGUCAAAUUGAACAAAAUAUUUUCGGGUUAAUUUCUAUUUUUACUCACAUUUUUUCUUAUUUAAAAUAAUGAAAAUAUUCGACGAAAUUCCAAAUCAACGAGAAUUAGAUGAAAUGAACUCAAUAUUUUAUGUCACAAACAAGAAUCACCAAUUAUAAAUUUUUAAUUAUUUACUGAAAGUACAUUAUCCUUGCACAAAUUACAAUUAAUGUUAAUUGUAAAGCAUGAUAAAUUGAACCAUUCAUAAUCCGACCUAAUUCUCAUCCAAAUUUUACUCAAGUCUACUGUCCUAGUGAACUAUCACCUUCCAUUUUCAACAUCUGAAGCAAAAACUCAUUCCAAGUAUCGAUGGGGCCAGGCAGGCACCAAUGGACACAGUCGGUUAUCGUCACAUUCUCAUCUACCCUUUUCCCAUAAUAGCUUGGAUGCCCGUCUGGCCUCAUCACCAUUGCCUCAGUAGUAUCCAGCAAUCUAAAUUUUAAGCCCCUCUUCCUCCCUAACCUUGCUGCUGUCUUCAGCUCCUCCACUUGAGUUGAGUACAUCUCCCGAUACAGCCCUUCCAACUUCAUUUCUUUGCUGGAAACUGGCUUAGUCCUCACACAAUUCCCUCCUGUAUUCCACUCCCCAUUCUCAAAGUGUGAUGGUGACACCGUCCUCAAAAAUGUCACUCCCUUGAAGUUUUUUAACCUCAGAAGGGUUCUGAAAGUCGUCUGAAAAGCUUUUCUGUACCCAUAGAGCGCUGUAUGGUUUGUAACGUUUUUUUUGUGGCAUAAACGGCACCCAACAAUGUUACCAUUUUCAUAGUACACUUGUGGCCUAAAGAACCAAAUUCCAGCUGAGACGAUCACAUAGCUAAAUUUCUCAAUUUGACUCAUCCAGGCCUCAUGUGCCUCAUCUACGAAGACAUUCAUGAGGCUAUUGGCGGUCCCUGCAGUGGGUUUCGCAUCGAUGUCCUUGACCAAGUAUGGGGACCAGAACGAUGCUACAGUGAAGUUGUAGUCGGUGUAGAGACAGCUUUUGCUUAGUGGAUAUUUUAUGUUUGAAACAGCUAUAGGAUCUCCCUCCUGAAAAACAAUUAGCUUAAUUAGAAAUUAAAGAUCUAAAAAUGAGCAGAGAGCACCUAAGUAGCUUCUACAUCAUAGGAUCUCCCUCAUUAUGUCAUUCACCAUACUGAACUCAUUAUAACUGAAAUGUACUUACACUGGCUAAGAGGCACAACAAAGAUUCCAUUUGGUUUCUUGCCAGCGAGUCCCCCAUGAAUGCCAUUGACUUCCCUCUAACAAGCUCCAAGAACUGCGCAGCAUCAAAGAAAGGCAGCUCACAUUCAUCUGGUUUCCACCUCCAUUUUAAGAACUCGGUGUCGGGUCUGCCAAACUUCAUGCAGUUGUGCUGAUCCAAGAUGUGAUGACAAGUUACAUUAGUGUAAUAAGGUCCUUUGGGGAACUGAACCCAUCUUCCACGGAAUAUGUCACAUUUCUUCCCUAGUUUUGUACUCACAGGGGACGGCCAUGGUGAAGAAAAAUUAUUGAAAAGGUUGAGAGGGAUCAUAGCUAGGAGAAUUAGAGCUAUGGUUACUAGGAUAAGUUUCAUUGUGGCAUUGUGUAGUAGCUUUUUCCCGGUGGGAAGCAGCUCCAUCAAAUGAACCAUCACCGGAGAGGAAAAAUGAUGAAAAAUGAGUGUCCAUUUGGGUUAUCAUAUAGAUGGGCUAGGUUUGAAUUUUGAAUCGCAUGAGAAACACGCCACCUUCUUUCCUUCUUUUGGGAGGCAAGGGUGGAGUAAAGCUAGCAAACAAUCAUGCGAUCCUAUCAUAUAGUGCCAUGCCAUUUCUUUUUUCUAAACACCAAAAGGAUUUACUUGAACAUUUUAAUGGCCAAACAAAUUUAACAAGUUUGAGCUUUUUUCACUUGAUCAAAAUUUAUUAUAUGAUUGAAUAUUUUAUUUGGAGGGUAUAUAUUAAAAUAUAAUAAUUUUGAGUUUAAUUACAUGAUAUGUAGUAUAGAAGCUUAUAAUUCAUUUUCAUUUACUAAGAGUAUAAUUUUAAAAAAAAUAUUUGAGUUUAUAUUAUAAAUCCAUAAUGCAUUAUUAAAAAUAAAUUUAUUUUAUUUUAUACAAAAAAUAUUUUCAUAGCAUAAGUUGUAAAAAGUAGAAUUCAUUAAUGUUUUUAUCAAAUUGAUUGAAAAUGAUUUAAUAAUAAUAAAAUAAAUUCAACAAUGUUCCCAUUUUCAUAGACUAAAAGAAAAACUUAAUACUUCACAUUAUUAAAUACUAUUUAUAUUUAAGUUAAAUUAACAUAUAUUUAGAUUUAAGAUAAAAUAAAUAAAUAAAUGUCACCUUUAUGAAAACUUCAACAAUGGCAACAUUUGCAUUCCUAAUGCUUUAUAAUAAGAUCGAUGAUAAUUUGUAUUGGUACAUCAUGUUUAUUUCAUGUUAAAACUUAGACAUUCUAUUAAUAAGUCAAUCUAGAUAUGACCUAAAUAAUAAUCGAGUUAAAAAUAUAAACUCAAAUAUUACUUAAUUAUUAAAUAGGUAACACAUUUUGUAACUUAUUUAAUUCAUUUAAUAAUCAGGUCUUUUUAUUUAAUAAUCAAUUUGAGUUAGAUUUUUAUAUAAGUUUAUAUUAUUAAUAUCUUAAUCAAAUAUGUUUAUAACUCAAUUGAUCUAUUUAUUAAAAAAACAAAUUUAAAAUUAGAAAAAAGAUGAGUUAAAUAAUUUAAAAUUAUAAUUAAAUUAAUUAACACGAUUAUUAAAUAAGUCAAUUCAGAUUAAAUUUAUGUUAUAAAUAUUAUUUAAAUGUUAAUAUAACUACACAGUAAAAGAAAUAAAAAGGAAAAAGAUGAGAGAUUUCAAUAUGGUUUGACCAUCAAUGCAAGAUCUCUGCAUCCAUGGAGCACCACACACUAGAAAAUAAGAUAGAAGGGUUACAAUGGUGAAAGCCCUCUUUCUCCUAUCAAUUGAAAUUGCAUAUAAUUGUUCAUUCAUUAAUGAACCCCCUCGAGUUUAGGUGAGAGUUCGACCCCAAUACUAAAAACCAUCUAUUUAUUAAAUAAAGUAUGUGAGUCAAUACAAAUAUGAUCUAAAUACUAUUAUACAUAAUAUAAACGUGUGAAAAGUAUAUUAGAUUAAUUCGAGUUGUGUUGAAAAUUUUUAUCGUGCUUUGUAGCCUUACAUUUAUUUGGAGGAAAAAGUCUAGCAUAAGAGUUGAGUUCCUUGCUCGGAAGUGAAAUUGGCCUAGCCUACGGCUGAAGUAAUUGAUAUGCUAUGUUUCUGUCUUUGAGGGCUGAUUCUUGGUAUGAGAAAUGAAUGUGGCUUCUCCCUUAACUUCGAUGAUCUUGGAAUUUUCCAUGCUUGAAUCAACAGGGAUUUAAGUACAAAAAAAUUCAAAGAUUUAUUUAUCAUCAUUGGGGAUGGCCACGUUCAAGGCAUGUAAUUAGUUAAAUAAAGUUUCAAAGUUUCAAAUUUUAAUUAUAUUAAAAUAAAUAUAUUUUAUAAAUAAUUAAAAUAUUAUAAUUUUUAUAACUUAUUUUAUUGAAAAAUAAUUUUUUAUUAUUAUUAAAAAAUAGGAAAUAAAAAUUAAAUUAAAUUAAAUUUAUGUAUAAUCGGGGUGGGACAAUACCUAAACCCGCCUCGAAUCCUACCUGAACUCUCACUCCAUUGUUAUCCUAGGGGCGAGGAGACAUGGUAUGGUGAUGGGUAAAAAUAUGCAAAUUUUAAUUGAUGAUGUUUAAAGAUUAGAAGAACACUAAAAAUUAGUAUUUUAAGAUUUGACUCUUUGGCAGAGUUUAUAAAAAAGGUAAAUAUUUGAAAAAAUUGCGAGAGUUGUUGAGAUUUAUUGACGGGUCAUUUAUUAUCAAUAUUUAAUGUUAAAAAAUAAAAUAAAAUAAAAUAAAAUGUUAUAAUGGAAUGACAUUAUUGUAAAUAAAACAAGUAGUAUUGUUUUAAAUACAAUGAGCUGACGUUAAGACAUUGAUGAUCGCUAAAUGGGUGAACCGGCUCGGGCUCCCUUUGUUUAAAGGGGGGCCUCCUAGUCCUUCCUUGUUUAUGAUAGGCCCGAGCUCUUUUUUUGUCCCUCCCUUCCAAAAUCCAACAUUUAUUUAUCUAAUCCAUUAAAAUCCCAUAUGCAGGCCCUUCACGCAACACCAUAUGGCCCAUAUUGGGGAAUAACCAAUUUAAAGAAGUUUUUGGCUUUCUAUGUUUCCGAUAUGGGAAGUUUUUGCAUGCGGGUGAUUUGAACCUGGAUCUCUGAAAUGUAAGGUGAGCAAACAUGAAAGAGCUAUAUAAACCUUAUUGUAAAAUUUAAAAUGAAUAUCAACUUUUAUAAUUUAAUCAUUAAAAUAUAUAUAUAAAAAAAUCGGGAGAUAGUAAUAUUGAAAUUCAAAUAAAUUUAAAUAAUAAAAUCUUAUUUUAUUUUAAUAAUUAAAAGUUAUAUAUUUAAUAAAAUUAAAAUUACUAAUAAUUGAAUAAUUUUUUUGUGUUGUUUUUAUCAUAAUUUAAGCUAUUAAGAUUAAUGUUAAUAAAAUAACAUAACAAACAAAAUAAUGAAGUAUGUUUAAAAUUUUAAAAUUAUUUAUAUAUUUCUUAAUUUUUUUAUAAUUAUUUUUAUUUUUACUAAUAUAUAAAAUAUGUAUAUUUGCGAUGUUAUUGAUUCAACUAAAGUUCAACCAUCCCGGAUCAUUGAACCAUGAAUAAAAAACUUUUCUAGCUCAGAUUAUGAAAAUAUUAUUUAAUACAAUUAUCUCAAUUAACAACAAUGAUAUAAUUAUGCAUUAAAAGGGGAAUUUUAAAAGAAAUAAAUACGGCGUUGGUUAGAAUCAAUGUAAGGUAAAAUUUUAUGAGCAUUAAAUUUUGCUUUUCAUUUAUCUGUUAUCUUCCAUGAACCAAAAAAAAAAAAAAAAAGCCUGUCGGUGACAACGGGGAAGUUCCCAACUAAAUUGAAGCGUUUUGUUUUCAGUCUUAAAUGUAAUGAAAAACACUUGAACAACUGAAUUAGAAGAGAUGUCCAACUACACCUUGGUAAUUGUAAGUGAGACCUUCAUUCCCUGGAGGGCCAGAUGGUGUUUUACCUUUCCAUUUUCCCUUAGUUUUUCUCCCAAACAACUCCAAAUCUAUCACUAUCCAGUAACCAUCAGUGAGGUCUUAUUUUCUUCCCCCCACUUCUUUCUCCCAAGUGACUGAAAAAGUUCUGAAUGAACCCUUUUCAUAGCAUUAGGCUGUUUUCUUAUGAUCAAACUGUUUGGGAUUAUUCAUCCUGCUAAUUUUUUUUUUUUUGAAUGUUCUAUUACGAGGCUUAAUUUAUUUGCGAUUGGAAAGUGUUGUGAUCAUAUUUUCUUGUUUUAAUUGAAAAUUCUUGGUAGCUAGCUAUUCACCCUCCUCUCUCUCUCUCUCUCUCUCUCUCUCUCUCUCUCUCUCUCUCUCUCUCUAUAUAUAUAUAUAUAUAUAUAUAUAUAUAUAUAUAUAUAUAUGUUCCGGUGAAAUUUCAAACUCAAAAACACACAAUUCAUUCUCUCUCUCUCUCUCUCUCUCUCUCUCUCUCUCUCUCUCUAUAUAUAUAUAUAUAUAUAUUCUACUGAAAUUCAAACUCAAAAAGGCACUCUCUCUCUCUCUCUCUCUCUCUCUGUUUACGUAUAUAUAUGUUUUGGUGAAAUUUCAAACUCAAAAACACACAAUUCAAUGUUUGAUGUUGAGUGAACAACAUCCUAUAAAAUCUAUAGUAUAUAUCACACUAUAUUCAAAAAACACCAAUUUCAAACAUAAAACUGUUCCAUUGGAUUCUCAUUUUUAGACUGCUUUUCCAAUAGCUAUAGUGACUUAAGUCAAUUUCUUUAUUUAUAAACUUAGGAGUAUUCAUUGUCUGAUGUUGAGUGAACAACAUCCUAAAAAAUUUAUUAGCAUAUAUCACACCAUAUAUUCAAAAAACACCAAUUUCAAGCACAAAACUAUUCCAUUGGAUUCUCAUCUUCAAACUGCUUUUCCAAUAGCCAUGGUGACUUAAGUCAAUUUCUUUAUUUUAUAAACUUAGGAGUAUUCAUUGUCUGAUGUUGAGUGAACAACAUCCUAAAAAAUCUAUAGUAUAUGUCACACUAUAUAUUCAAAAAACACCAAUUUUUAACAUAAAACUGUUCCAUUGGAUUCUCAUUUUUAGACUGCUUUUCCAAUAGCUAUAGUGACUUAAGUCAAUUUCUUUAUUUUAUAAACUUAGGAGUAUUCAUUGUCUGAUGUUGAGUGAACAACAUCCUAAAAAAUUUAUUAGUAUAUAUCACACCAUAUAUUCAAAAAACACCAAUUUCAAGCACAAAACUAUUCCAUUGGAUUCUCAUCUUCAAACUGCUUUUCCAAUAGCCAUGGUGACUUAAGUCAAUUUCUUUAUUUUAUAAACUUAGGAGUAUUCAUUGUCUGAUGUUGAGUGAACAACAUCCUAAAAAAUCUAUAGUAUAUGUCACACUAUAUAUUCAAAAAACACCAAUUUUUAACACAAAACUGUUCCAUUGGAUUCUCAUCUUCAGAUUGCUUUUCCAAUAACCACGGUGACUUAAGUCAAUUUCUUUGUUUUAUAAACUUAGGAGUAUUCAUUGUUUGAUGUUGAGUGAACAACAUCCUAAAAAAUCUAUAUUAUAUAUCACACUAUAUAUUCAAAAAACACCAAUUUCUAACACAAAACUGUUCCAUUGGAUUCUCAUCUUCAGACUGUUUUUCCAAUAGCCAUGGUGACUUGAGUCAAUUUCUUUAUUUUAUAAACUUAGGAGUAUUCAUUGUCUGAUGUUGAGUGAACAACAUCCUAAAAAAUCUAUAGCAUAUAUCACACCAUAUAUUAAAAAAACACCAAUUUCAAACACAAAACUAUUCAAUUGGAUUCUCAUCUUCAGACUGCUUUUCCACUAGCCAUGGUGAUUUAAGUUAAUUUCUUUGUUUUAUAAACUUAGGAGUAUUCAUUGUAUGUUGAGUGAACAACAUCCUAAAAAUUCUAUAGUAUAUAUCACACUAUAUAUUCAAAAAACACCAAUUUCUAACACAAAAUUGUUCUAUUGGAUUCUCAUUUUCAGACUACUUUUCCAAUAGCCAUGGUGACUUAAGCCAAUUUCUUUAUUUUAUAAACUUAGGAGUAUUCAUUGUCUGAUGUUGAGUGAACAACAUCCUAAAAAAUCUAUAGUAUCACACUAUAUAUUAAAAAAAAAACACCAAUUAUAUAUAUUGUUGGUUUUAAGGGUAUGGAAACAAAGUACUAGUUCAAAAGACACAAACAAUGAACAAAAUGAAUAAAAAGAAAAACUUAUUGGUUGAGGCGUGAAAAACAUUAUCCUUGAAAUAAAUUUACCAUCAUCGAAUAUGAAUUUGAUGCAUUAGGGUACCAGUGGUCUACCUCCAGGAUUCAAUAGCUAGAGAAUCUCGUCUUAGGCGCACUCUGUAAGCGAGACACAUCUUCAGACUGCUUUUCCAAUAGCCAUGGUGACUUAAGUCAAUUUCUUUAUUUUAUAAACUUAGGAGUAUUCAUAGUUUGAUGUUGAGUGAACAACAACCUAAAAAAUCUAUAGUAGAUAUCACAUUAUAUGUUCAAAAAACACCAAUUCUAUAUAUUGUUGGUUUUAAGGGUAUGGAAACAAAGGACUAGCCCAAAAGACACAAACAAAGAACAAAAUGAAUAAGAAGAAAAACUUAUCGGCUGAGGCGUGGCAAACAAUGUCCUUGAAAUAGAUCUACUCUCCUCGAAGACGAACUCGGUGCACUAGGGUACCGGUGGUCUAACUCCAGGAUUCAAUAGCUAGAGAAUCUCGCCUUAGGUGUACUCUAUAAGCGAUUCGCCUUAGGUGCACUCUGUAAGAAAGACGUGAAUAGUUUGGGUCUGAAAUAUUCCUCCAGAUAGAUGUAUGAAAGACUAUAUGAAAAACUCUUUGAAAAAUUGGUAUUUGUAUUUAGAGAGUGAUGGGUGACUUGCUUUUAUAGACCACUAACACAAUCCCAGUGGGUGUGGACCCGCAUUUUUCACAUGCGUCCCCACUCGAUCGGCGAGACUCGCUUUUUAUUUGUGAAAAAUUAAUUUUAAAAAAAAGUUGGAGUCGCCACUUAUUUUAUUUUUAUUUUUUAAGGGAAAAUAAAACAAGAAAUAAAACCCUAAAAAAAAUGACUCCAUAAUUUUUGGAAAAGCGUGUCUUUGAAAACCCAAGUCUUGGUCCGGGGAUCAGGUUACUUAUUGGGAAGGUACCUCUAAGAGGUAGCACCAUUCUAAGCCCUAAAAAGGUCUCUACUAAUUAAGUUAAGGGGAAUAUGGCAAUUAAUCGGUUAAUUAUGGAUACUAAGUAGGCUAGGUGAUUUCAAAAGAUUUGCAUGCUAAACAAGAUCAAAUUGCCAUAAAAGAAAGGUUAGGAUGCGUACCUGGACCGCUUCUCAAGCGCUAUCAUAAAACAUCAGAGUUAGUAUAGAAGUAUAACACACAACAUGUAUUUAAUCAUAGUGAAUCAAGCAUACAUCUAAACACCUAAGGAUCAUCAAACAUAUGCAUACUUCAUAGUGACACGAUUGUUUACAAAAUUUAGAAAGUAGGCGAUAGGGGGGGCGUACCUGGAUAGCAUAAAUAACUUACAAUGCGCUCCCAUAAGACAUGAGGGAUUAGAUAAUAAUAAAAUAAAGAAACCCUAGCAUGCUUGUUAUCUAAUUAGCAUAACAAAAAUUAUCAAAGUAUAUGAAAACAUUAAUUAUCACACACAUCUUAUAUACAAUUCCUAAAAAAAUAUAGACAUAAUUUCAACGAGUGACAAAAAUGGCAACAAAAAUAAUUUUUGAAAAGAUUUUCUUAUGUAGGGGUUUCACCAAUUCCCCAAUUGAUAUACACGAAUUUAGCCCAGAAUCAUCCCAUUAUUUGGGACCACAAGCUUUGAUUCGUGUUUUUGUUCAAAACCAAAAUUUUUGUUGAAAACCGAGAAGGAUGCAAACCGAACAAGAUAUGGUUGCAUAUUAUUUUUAAAUAAUAAAAAAAAAAAGAGAUUUUGAUCCUGAGGACUCUAAAUGAGUUUUUGAAAUAGAUUUUUAAAAUGAUUUUUUUGAGAAAAGUAUUUUAUUUUAAAAUAAAAGGAAUUAAUUUGGAAAAAAUAAAAUAUAAGAAAUAAAAUACCCAACAAAACAAAAAUGAAACCUCAAAGUAAAAUUUUUUUAGUAAUUAACAAAAGUGAUAAUGGUGAUGGUAGAGGCCAAUCUUUAUGAUUUUCCAAUGGCCUUUGAACAAAUUUAAUAAAUAUUCACCAAAGCAACAAACCAAACGACUUUAGAUCAAAUAAAACUAACGAAAUAUUAAUCGAGAAUUUAUUAGGAUCAAUCAAGCACAUAAAUUGAGGUAAACAAUUAAGAACUAAUUUAAAAUCAACCAAACACCUAAACAUGUAAUUAUAAUAAUGUGAAUAUAGUAACACAAGCACAUAGAAUUCUAAAACAUAUUAACUAAUCAACAACUAGACAUUAAUAACUUCCAAAACAAAAAAACAAAACUAAGUAACGAGGGAUUAAGCAAAAUGAUAACCAAAAUUAAAAAAAAAAGGACACAUCAACUAAAUAGAAAAGCUAAAUUUAACUAUUUUUAAUACAUGAGUAUAAUAACAUGGGAUAAAACUAAUUAACUAAAAUUUUGAAAAACUAUAAACUAGGACAAGAUUAGUCAAAAAUCAAAAUUAACAAACUUUUUUAAAACAUGAGCAUCGAUUAAACUAAUCAACUAAAACUCUAAAAAACACACGUACUAAAAUUAGGUCAAUCAAGAAUUAAAAUUAACAAACUUACAACAUGAGAAAAAUAACUUUUAAAUUAAAUAUCUAAAACUCUAAAAAACACACAAAAUAAAAUUGGAUCAAUCGAGAAUUAAAACGAACAAGCUCAGAACGUGGAUAUAAUGACAUGAGAAAGUAAUAGACUCAUCAACUAAAAAUCUAAAACACAUAAACUAAAUAGGGUCAAUCAAAGACUAAAGUUAACAAUUUUAAACAUGGAAUUAAUCACAUGGGUUCAAUAGGAAUAAUAAACUAAAAUUCUAAAAACACAUAAGCUAGAUAAGAUCAAUCAAAACUAAAGUUAAAAAAUUAAAACAUGGAUUUAAUCAAGUGGUUCAAUAGGAAUAAUAAACUAUAAUUCUAAAAACAUAAGCUAGAUAAGAUCAAUCAAAACUAAAGUUAAAAAAAAUUAAAACAUGGAUUUAAUCAAGUGGUUCAAUAGGAAUAAUAAACUAUAAUCCUAAAAACAUAACAACCUAGAAAAAUCAAAACUUGGAAUCAAGACAAUGAAUCAAAAUCAAACUAACUACAUUCUAACCUUUUCAUCCGAUUAAAAAAUCAAAAUUAAUACAUAAAAACUCUACCCUUCAAUCCAAUAAAAAAAUUAAAACUAAAAUCCUUAGAAAUUCUAACUUACCUUCUCUAGGAUUCCUCUAUGGUGGUGCAGCUGCUCCUCUCUUCCUUGCCCGGCCUCUCUUUGUUCCCUCGAAAAAAUGUCUCCGUGUUCUCUCAAAAAAUUGCUUUUUUACGUGGAUCGCUCUAAAAAAAAUCUGUCCCUCUACCUAUAUGGCAGCCUUACCUUUUAAAAUACACAUGUGAUGGUCUCUUCAAUACGGAAAGCAUGACUGCCCAUAUGGAAUCAUGAUUUUGUCCCCCAAAAAGAAGAAAAAAAUCUCAUGCAACUUGGAUAUUUCCUCAUUAAAAAUUCCGUUUUCCAUAAAUUCUCCAAUACAUACCCAUAAAGCAUUUUGUUCCGAGAAUCACGAUUUCUCCAUCUCCUUGCCGACAACCCUGCUUUGUAUGGAAUAUUUUGUCUUUUUUUUUUAAUGCAUUUGGACAUAUGGAAAGUGCAUUGCAUGGUGGCUAACUUGAGAUUCUCAAGGAUGCAGCCGCAUGUUGUGAUAGUCACCGGAAUGGGUGCUCCAACUGGCAUGGAUUGAAACCCUCCCCAUAAUGAGUAGACUUCAUAUUUUCUUCUAUCAUUUUGAUGUUUUCCGCUUUGCAAACAUGGUUCUAAAGGCUCUGUAUAAGUCAGACGUUGCAAUAUUGAAUUAAGAAAACAGGUAUUACCCAGAUUUUCCAAACCAACACCAAUUGUUCUACUUGUGAUCCCAAUACCGAGCUCCAGAUCCAACCCGUUCUUCAUAUGAUUAGACCCAUCUUGUUUUUUUUUUUCUACUCGAAGCCGCCAAACCAGUAUUGUGCCCGGGUCGCUUUGCAUCUGUGGUGGGGUUCAGAGUCUCAAGGCUAAAACCUCCGUCUCCGUCUCGAUAAUCCAUUCAUCGUCGUCAUCACUGUUCUCAUUGCUUCUCCUUUUCUCCUCCAGUGUUCCAAUUCUUCUCUCACCNNNNNNNNNNNNNNNNNNNNNNNNNNNNNNNNNNNNNNNNNNNNNNNNNNNNNNNNNNNNNNNNNNNNNNNNNNNNNNNNNNNNNNNNNNNNNNNNNNNNUUUUUUUUUUUCUACUCGAGNGCAAACAGUAUUGUGCCCGGGUCGCUUUGCAUCUGUGGUGGGGUUCAGAGUCUCAAGGCUAAAACCUCCGUCUCCGUCUCGAUAAUCCAUUCAUCGUCGUCAUCACUGUUCUCCUUGCUUCUCUAUUUCUCUCCAUGUGUUCCAAUCUUCUCUCACCAAAUCAAACAACACUGCUAAUUCAUUAAAAUACUAAUUAAACUUCUGCCUCCAAUCACCUCCUCACCGCGACUCCACCUUGUUUUCGUCCACAACAAUCAGGAAAAAAUCCAGAUUCCGGCGACUCUCUGGUGAAGUCCUCUCUCAACCUUUCUGAAAAUUCCCCAAGAUCUUCUGCCCCGUUCUUUAUCUCUCAAACAACCAUCUUUACCAGAAUUUCUCCACCUCUAUUUUUCAGAAGACUUCCCUCCUUACUCUCUACUUCGACUUCUUUUUCUGCUCUCUGUUUUCUCCAUUCUUCACGUCUUCUUCCCCUAUUUUUCUUUUUCCCUUUCUCCACCCAAUUCUCUCUCUUCCUUGCUUUCUGCUCAGUUAUUCUUCCACUUCUUUUGUUUCAGCAAAAUAAUAUAUCCCCUUGCUGUAGCACCUGUGUAGAAUGCAAGCUGCUCGGUGGCAAAACCCAAACGCUCGGCUAACGGGGUAAUACCUAAUAAGCUGAAGAAGAAGACCCAUCCAUGCUUUCCAGUAAGAUAAUGUAGCAAAAUUGCUAAGGGACCGAAAGGUAGCAACAUAUUUAUCUUCGCUUUAAUCAAGACAAUGUAAACACUUCUUAGAGGAGCAGUCCUCAUUUUUUUAAAGAUCCAUGAGGUGGAGAGAGCUGCAUGAGACCCAAUAUGAGAUGUCUCGAAGUCAAAAGAAUGAACUUUUCUUGUGCCUUGUGAUGUGCUAUAAGGGAUCUCCGCAUCUGAUUCAAGGUCUAUCUUCUCCUCAAUGGAACCCAUCUCCCUCUGCGUGUCCUUGGCUUUGUUAUCUUUGUUGGUAAGGAUGAUCCUUCUUUAAAAUUCCUCUCCCCAUGCAAAAUAGAAUAAUAGUAUAAAAAAAAUAAAAAUAAAAAAUUAAAAGAAAAUUAAAGAAACUAAUGAAAUUAGUAAUAAAAUAGAAUAUCAUUUCAAAGAAAAAGCAAAGGAAUAAGGAGAGCUUAGAUAAUAUCAUUUCCUCGUUCGAUAAUAGGGUCACAUGCGUAUUUAAAGUAUAAACAAUUCAAUCAAUUUUUUUAUUAAGUAAAUAAAUAAAUAAAAUAAAAAUAAAUAAAAAUAAAAAUAAAGAAUAAAGACAAUUAAAUACAUGAAUAAAUAAAUAAUAAAAAGUAAAAGUAAAAAAUGAAUAGACAAAAUAAGUGUAAUUAUCAAAUACAUGCCAUAAUAAUAAUAAUAUUAUAUAUAUAUAUAUAUAUAUAUAUAAGAAAUAAUAAUAAUAAAAUGUUGAGCCUCAAUGAAAUGUCUAAAUGGACCUAUUCUGAAAAAGGUGUCUAAGUGACCCAAGUGAUGUGUGUAAAUAAGGAGAUGUCUCGGUGCGAGUCAAGGUGAAUCUAGGUGGGCCUAGGGUGCCUAAAUGGGCUUAAGUGCCUAAGUGGGCCCAGGGUGCCUAAGUGGACCUAAGAUGGUGCUUAAUGGGCCAAGUGAAUCUCAAAACUAUCCUAGAAAUGAAUGAAAAGCCUAAUUCUAAAUUAGGGCUGCCAAAGGUCACAAUAAAGGGUCAGAUAGUCCCUCAACCAAAAUCUCCGAGGUGACUCAGAAAAAGGUAAGUGGUACGAGUAGUAAUGGGCCACCCUGGAACUACCGUGGAGCACUGGAAGUGGAUUUAAAGACAUGUGCUAAAGGGACAAAAUUGAGGGUCUACAAAUAUGCCCCUCUUCGGUAUAGAUCACGAGUGUAGAGAAUGCAAGUAGAAACACGAGCAAUGAGCGAAAUGAAGUGAACUAUACUGAAGAAUUAAAGAAAGACCAGAGAUUUUGUCCUAGCGCAUGAAGAGGUAAGGUCAAAAGAUGGGGUCUCAAUGAUAUAGACGGGACAACUCUAUGCGGGGGGAAAUGACAAUAAAGAGAGAAGGCAUGUGACGAGUAGCACAAAGAUGGAAAGAGGUGAAAAGGUGACUCAAAGUCGUGAAUGAGAUGAGUGAAUAUAGGUCAUGGACAAGAUGAACGACUCUGGAUCUAAAAUAAGAUAAAAAGACUCUGGGUCAUGAGCUCAGGGCUCUAAUUGGGAAGAAUGACUCUGGGUCAGGAUGGAAAACGACUCUAGGUCGAGAGCCGUAGGCUCUAAAAUAGGAAAGAAUGACUCUGGGUCAAAAGUGAAAAAAUCGACACUGGGUCAAGAGCUCUAGGCUCUAAAUGGAACAGAAAUGACUCUGGGUCAUAAAUGAAAAACGACUCUGGGUCGAGAGCUCUGGGCUCUAAAUGGAAAAUCGACUCUGGGUCGAGAGCUCUGGGCUCUAAAUGGAAAAGAAAUGACUCUGGGUCAAGAACUCUGGGCUCUAAAUGGAAAAUCGACUCUGGGUCAAGAGCUCUGGGCUCGAAAUGGAAAAUCGACUCUGGGUCGAGAGCUCUGGGCUCGAAAUGGAAAAUCGACUCUGGGUCGAGAGCUCUGGGCUCUAAAUGGAAAACCGACUCUGGGUCGAGAGCUCUGGGCUCUAAAUGGAAUACCGACUCUGGGUCGAGAGCUCUGGGCUCUAAAUGGAAAAUCGACUCUGAGUCGAGAGCUCUGGGCUCUAAAUGGAAAACCGACUCUGGGUCGAGAGCUCUGGGCUCUAAAUGGAAAAUCGACUCUGGGUCAAAAGCUCUGGGCUCGAAAUGGGAAAAUCGACUCUGGGUCGAGAGCUCUGGGCUCUAAAUGGAAAACCGACUCUGGGUCGAGAGCUCUGGGCUCUAAAUGGAAAAUCGACUCUGGGUCGAGAGCUCUGGGCUCUAAAUGGAAAAUUGACUCUAGGUCGAGAGCUCUGGGCUCUAAAUGCAAAAUCGACUCUGGGUCGAGAGCUCUGGGCUCUAAAUGGAAAACCGACUCUGGGUCGAGAGCUCUGGGCUCGAAAUGGAAAAAUCGACUCUGGGUCGAGAGCUUUGGGCUCUAAAUGGAAAAUCAACUCUAGGUUGAGAGCUCUGGGCUCUAAAUGGAAAACCAACUCUGGGUCGAGAGCUCUGGGCUCUAAAUGGAAAAUCGACUCUGGGUCGAGAGCUCUGGGCUCGAAAUGGAAAACCGACUCUGGGUCGAGAGCUCUAGGCUCUAAAUGGAAAAUCGACUCUGGGUCGAGAGCUCUGGGCUCUAAAUGGAAAAUCGACUCUACGUCGAGAGCUCUGGGCUCUAAAUGGAAAAUCGACUCUGGGUCGAAAUGGAAGGUGACUCCGGGUCGAGAGCUCCGGGCUCUAAAAUAGGAAAUAAUGACUCUGGGUCGAAAUAGAAAGUGACUUUGGGUCAAGAGCUCCGGGCUCUAAAAUAGGAAACAAUGACUCUGGGUCGAAAUGGAAAGUGACUCUGGGUCGAGAGCUCCGGGCUCUAAAAUAGGAAACAAUGACUCUGGGUCGAAAUGGAAAGUGACUCUGGGUCGAGAGCUCUGGGCUCUAAAAUAGGAAAUAAUGACUCUGGGUCGAAAUGGAAAGUGACUCUGGGUCGAGAGCUCUAGGCUCUAAAUAGAUAGCCGAUCAGGAUACUUUCCGACUCAAGAUGUCGGGUCGAGGCCACUCACAAGUGGCUAGAAUGAUGAAAACGAAACAUCUCAGGGAUGUGAAUAAUGCAAAUGACUCCGGGUCGUGAGCUCAGGGCUCGGGGUGCUAUGAAUGACUCUGGGUCAAGAUGGAAAAUGACUCUGGGUCGAUGAAUAGCUCUGGGCUAUGAGCUCCGGGCUCUAUGACUGAUCGGCUAGAAGGAGAAUGCGAUACGCAAACUCCAGGUCAAACCACUCAUGGGCGACCAAGUGAUGAAAGCUCAGCUAAGAGCUGGGAAGACUCUGGGUCUAUAGGAAAUGAUAGCUCAGGGCUAGCGGGCUCAAGGCCUAAGGGAAAAAAGAUAGCUCAGGGCUACAAGACUCAGGGUCUAGAAGGAAUGGAUAACUCAUGGCUAUGAGGCUCAGGGCCUAAAAAAAGGAUAGCUCAGGGCUAGCGGGCUCAGGGCCUAAGGGAAAAAGGAUGCUCAAGGCUAUAAGACUCGGGGUCUAGAAGGAAUGAAUAACUCAAAGCUAUGAGGCUCAGGGCCUAGAAGGGAAUAAUAGAGAAGACCAACUCGGAAGUGGACAUGAAAUAAAUUGGCUCAAAGCCACAUACUCAAAAUGUCAAGGGUCGGACUACUGAAACCAAGAAGGGAAAUAUGCCCCAGUAUCCAGGGUGCUCGCACUGCCGAAACAACCAGUAAAUCAAUCAUCCGCUGAAAUCAAUAGGUCAGAAACUGAUGCAUCGUGACAAACCUCUGAAAAGUCUAAACUGAAGGAACCCUCUAUGUCUGAAAAGCUGCUCUGUCGAUGAAUCUCAAAAGGUAAAUCUCAAAGAGUGUAUAUCAUGGCUCAUCUAAAAGUAAACCUCAAAGUGCGUAAAAUGCUGCUCAUCUGGAUAAUCCAAUCUGCAAGGUAACAAUGACGAAAACAAAUCUGUCUCAUGAACAUCUGGCUAAAGGAUCUACCCACACUCCUCGGGUGAAACCUGAUGCGAUCCAUCUCUAUCUCAACAAAUCCAUGUAGGGAGGCCCUGAUACAGUCGAUCAUCGGAAGCUCUAGGCUAGUGCUCAAUCUAAAACCAAGCUGGCCACUGUCUCAAUCUCAAGGAUACUCAAAGAAAAUGGGGGAAAUAUGCCCCAGUAUAAGAUCUGAUGUCAAAGUCGUAAGCUAAACAACCGGCACCAAUCAUCCAUCCUCAUAUCACUGCCUAAAUAAAUCUCAUCAUGGAAAGGGGGAUAUGCCCCAGUAUGGAUAUCGGAUGUCGAAGUCGUGAGGCAAACAAACUAACAAUGAUCAUCCAUCAUCCAUCCUCAUAUCACUACCCAAAUACAAUCUCAUCAAGGAGAGGGGAAUAUGCCCCAGUGUGGAUAAUCUAAUGUCGAAGUCGUGAGGUAAACAAACUAACAAUGAUCAUCCAUCCUCGUACCGUAUACAAUAACAGAUAAGAAUCUCGGAGGAAGGGGGGAAUAUGCCCCAGUGUGAAUAUAUGAUGCACAACCAAAGGAUGAAUCCAACAUCAUCAAUCAACUAUCCUCAGCUCAACAAUAAUCCGCUAAGAAGUCAGAAUGAUGUAUCAACCAAUGCCUCAAGGGAGACACUCUAAAUCUAAUCUCAAAUGAAUAGCCAAAAUGAUGAGGAAUGUGAUAAUCUCAAAAGUAGAAACAUGUCUCUGAUGAAUCCCUGACUGAAUCUGAUAGGAAUCUGGUAACCUCAAAAUGGGGAAAUAUGCCCCAGUAUGCCUGGUCUAUACACUGCACUGAAAACUGCCUCCAACUCAGUAAUAAUCCACUAGUCUAUCUCAGAAAUACUCCACAGAUGGAAACACUAGGGGCUCAACGAUGCUCCACUAGAACUGAUAUAAUCUCAACACACCCCACUACGGAUCUCUGAUCGGUGAAAAUGACCAGACUCAAAGAAAGUGCUCCACUAGGGGCUCAUCUCAACCAAAUGAAAGGGGAAUAUGCCCCAGUAUGGACAUCUAAUGCACAACCAAAGGAUGAAUCUAAUAUCCUCAAUGAACUGUCUCCAAACCCAAAAAUCCAUCGAACAUCAAUAUGUCAAGCAAGAGAGAUACCAAAUGCUUCCAAAAGUAUCUUCCAUAAAAGAGAACAUAGUAACGACCAAACUUCAACCAAUCUACCAAAAACCUGUCCAAGUGAAGACUGUCAAAGAUAACGUCUGAUCUCGUGGCCUCAGGGUGGUCUUAAGACACGGGACGUAACGUAGGCCAAGGUGAUAGGGUGAAAGAAAUGAAGGGAAACUAGGCUCAAAUACCCAAUGAUCAAACCCGUACCCUCGUGUACAAGAUGUAAUGCAUAGAAAAAUCUCAUGAGUCAUGGACUUAGAAAUAACCAAAGGGAAUGCCGAUAACAAAAUGAGAGAAAGGAUGAAUGGUCAAACCAUCAAUGAAAUAUGUGAAUGAUGUGAAGAAGGUAUCAAAUCAGUAAUGGGUAUCAAUAUGUAGGGAAUGAAUAAAAGGUGGAACAAAGAUCUGGAAUGCGGUAAUGGAAUACAAAAGAAAGCAAUGAGAAUGUGGAAUGAGUGAUGAUCAACCCAUGUUAGUACAAUAAAGGAAAGUCAUAUCACCAAUGAUGGAAUGGUGGGUAAGACAAUGAUCUGGAGACCCUAGUAAAAAGAUCACUCAUCUCUCAUACCUAAUAUAUAUCAAUCAUGAUCCAAGAAGCAUAGGAUCUCGUAGAACUCUCAUAUGAACCCUCGACACUCCAAAUGCAUAACAGGAGUGGCUCAAGGACCGAAAAAACUCAUAAAAACUCACAAAAAAACCCAUAAUGACAAAUAUACCCAAUAAAUGAACCUCAAAAGGUGGCAUAAAUACCCAAUGGAAUGAGAUACCAUACAUGAGCAUAUCCUUGCGCUUUUCUUUUCUUUUUUUUUUUUUUCUUUUUUUUUAUUUUUUAUUUUUUUCUCUUUUUUAUUUUUUAUUUUUAUUUUUUUAUUUUUUUGCUUUUUUUUUUUUUUUUUUUUUUUUUUUUUUUUUUUUGCGCAUGCUCUGAUCAUCAAUAAGUCAAACUCCAAUGGAAAAGAUACAAGGAGUGAAUAAACUCUCUCAAAUCACUGAUGAAUACAUGAACCCCAACCCAUGAGACAACCUCUCAAACUAAGAUCUCCGAAUCAAUGUCAAAUGAUGGAAUGAAUAGAGUGAUAUGACUGCCCUCUUUGCACUAAGACGUGAAGAAUCAUCAACCCAAGGAAGAGAAUAAUAAGAUGAAGCAAAUAAUGAUAGAGAAAAGAAAGAGAAUGAAUAUAUGAUGAUAAUAAAAUAGAACAAAUAGGGUGAUAAGAGGAUGGUAACAAGAGUGAGAAGAUAAGCCUAUAAGUCUAAAGCUCAUGAGACUUUCCUAGCAAAGCAUCCAUAUACAUCAAAGGGCCCCAACCCGGGUGUAGAAAUGGUAAUCAAAGCUAUAAGAAAGAAAUAAGGCUAUAAUAUACCACGUGAGGCUCAAUGGGCUAGCAAUGGUUUAAUAUUUCAAUAAAGGUGAUAAGGUGUAAGGUUAACCGAAAUGAUGGUCACCCAUCCUGCGACCACGGUCUCAAACAUAAUACUUCUUCAGCUGAUCCACGUUGGUAGGCUCUGAAAAUUGGUUUCCAUCUAAGUCUGUCAACCAUGCAGCCCCUUCUGGAGUCAAUUCUCGGAUAACAUAAGGCCCACUCCAACUAGGUCUAAACUUUCCUCUAGGGUCUCCAAUCAAACCUCUGAGAAUCCUCAAAACUAAAUCCCCUUUUUGCAAUGGUCUAGGCUUAACUCGUUUCUUGAAGGCACGAGCCAUCUUUCUCUGAUAGGCCUGAACAUGAUCUGCUGCUCUCAAUCUCCUCUCAUCUAAAAGGUUAAGCUGAUCAAAUCGAGCCUGAGCCCACUCUGUCUCAGAAAUCUGCUGCUCAAGGGCUACUCUCAAUGAGCCCAUCUCUGUCUCUAUUGGCAAAACAGCCUCCAUACCAUACACUAGGGAAUAAGGCGUAGCUCCUGUAGAGGUGCGAAAAGAGGUGCGGUACGCCCACAAUGCAAAAGGAAGCUUCUCUGACCAAUCUCGAGAAGUCUCAACCAUCUUCCUCAAAAUCCUCUUAAUAUUCUUGUUUGCAGCCUCUACUGCCCCAUUGGUCUGUGGCCUAUAUGCUGAAGAUCUAUGAUGUCGGAUGCCAUACUCCUGCAACAAAGUGUCUACCUCAGCUCGGAAGUGCGCCCCUCUGUCGGAAAUCAACUCAUGAGGAACCCCAUAGCGGCAAAUGAUGUGUGAUCUGAUAAAACUGGCAACCCUAGCAGAUGUCAACCUCGCAUAUGAUGCGGCUUCCACCCACUUGGUGAAAUAGUCUAUGGCAACUAGGAUGAACUCAUGACCACUGGAAGAUUUUGGUGAAACCUUCCCAAUAAUAUCAAUACCCCAUACUGAAAAUGGCCAUGGCGAAGUCAAGGCGUGUAACUCUGAUGGUGGUGCAUGUAUGAGAUCACCAUGAAUCUGACACUCUGGGCAUUUCUGGACAAACUGACAACAAUCUGUCUCCAUAGUCAACCAGAAGUAACCCGUCCUCAUAAUCUUACGAGCUAGCAUGUGUCCUCCCAUAUGCGGACCACAAACUCCUGAAUGGACCUCUCUCAUCACUCGAUCUGCAGAGGCUCGAUCUAAACACAACAGAAGCAUACCAUCAGCUGAUCGCCUAUAUAAGGUAUCUCCGCAAAUCACAAAUCUAGUAGCCAAAUGCCUCAGUGCUCUCCGAUCCUUGGCAGUGGCUACCUCAGGGUAUGUGCCAAAUCUGAGGAACUGAUGAAUGUCAUGAUACCAAGGUAGAUCAUCCUGGUCCUCUAUCUCCCCAAUCAAACAACAAUAGGCGGGUGCAGACCUCGACUCAAUCAGUAAUGGACGUAUGACUACAUCAAUCGGAAUGUCCACGGAGGAAGCUAAAGUAGCUAAGGCGUCAGCAAAUCGAUUCUGCGCUCUAGGCAGAUGAACAUAUCUCAAGUCGUCAAAUCUCGCAACCAACAACUCUAAAUAAGCAUGAUAUGGCCUAAGCUUCACGUCCCUAGUCUUCCAAUCCCCCUGAAUCUGCCUGAGUACCAAAUUGGAGUCACCAAACACCUCCAUCUGUCUAAUGUCAAGCUCUAAUGCAGUCUCUAAACCAAGGAUACAAGCCUCAUACUCAACUAUGUUAUUCGUGGCAGGAUGUCGAUCAGAGAAUGCCAAACGAACGGACCUCGGAAUAUGAUCACCCUGAGGGGAUACCAAUAGAACACCAAUCCCAUACCCUGACUGAUUGGCUGCACCAUCGAAGUACAUGCACCAUCCUAAUAAGCUGGUCAUAACAACAAACUCCUCAUCUGGAAAAUCAUCAUCAACUGGUCUAUCCUCAGAUGUCGGUAGUGAGGCUAAGUGAUCGGCGACAAUACUUCCCUUAAUAGACUUCUGAGAAACAUACUGAAUAUCGAACUCUGUCAAAAGUACAAGCCAUCUCAUCAAUCUACCAGUCAAUGCAGGUCUAUCAAACAAGUAUCUUAACGGGUCCAGGCGGGAUAUCAAAUGUACUGAGUACUCCGUCAUGUAAUGCCUCAAUCUCCUGGUAGCCCAAACUAGUGCUAAGCAUAGGCGCUCAAUCAUAACAUAUUUCAUCUCAUACUCCAACAUCCUCUUACUUAGGUAGUAAAUAGCUCGCUCCUUUCCUAAGUCAUCAAUCUGAGCUAACAUACAUCCCAAUGCCAUGUCUGAAACUGACAAAUAUAGGAUAAGUGGACGUCCUGGCGUAGGAGGCACUAAAACAGGAGGAGAAAGCAAAUACUCCUUGAUCUUCUCAAAUGCAAACUGACAGUCAUCAUUCCAAACUGUUGGCUGGUUCUUCCUCAAAAGACGAAAGAUAGGCUCACAUAUGUCUGUCAAUCUGGCUAUGAACCGACUAAUGUACUGUAAUCUGCCCAGAAAACCUCUAAUCUCUUUCUCAGUCUUUGGUGCAGGCAUGUCAAGUAUGGCUUUGAUUUUAUCUAGGUCGACCUCUAUGCCCCGCUCACUGACUAUAUGUCCCAAUAACUUCCCAGAAGUCACUCCAAAGGUACACUUCUUGGGAUUCAACCUCAAUCUAAACUUCCGGAUCCUCUCAAAGAAUCUCUCUAAAGCAUCUAGGUGAUCUGCUCUACCUCGGGAUUUCACAAUCAUAUCAUCCACGUAAACCUCGACAUCCCUAUGCAUCAUGUCAUGAAACAAAGUGGUAGCGGCUCUCUGAUAAGUGGCUCCUACGUUCUUCAACCCAAAUGGCAUAACUCUGUAACAGUAGGUACCCCACUCAGUAAUAAAGGUUGUCUUCUCCAUAUCCUCUGGAGCCAUCAAAAUCUGAUUAUACCCUGAAAACCCAUCCAUGAAAGACAACAUCGAAUGGCCUGCGGUGCCAUCAACCAACAAAUCAAUGUGUGGAAGGGGAAAGUCAUCUUUAGGGCUGGCUUUAUUGAGAUCUCUGAAGUCAACACAAACCCUAACUUUGCCAUCCUUUUUAGGAACAGGGACGACAUUAGCCAACCACUCUGGAUACUCAACUACUGAUAUGAACCCAACACUGAGUUGUUUCUGAAUCUCCUCUUUUACCUGUAGACUCCAACGUGGAUGCAACCGUCUCAAUUUUUGCUUAACUGGUUUAGCAUGUGGUAGGGUAGGUAAAUGGUGCUGGACUAUAGAGGGAUCAAGACCUGGCAUGUCCUCAUAAGACCAUGCAAAGACAUCCAAGUAUGACCUGAGUAAAUGGAUGAGUCUAUCUCUCUCAUCUGUAGAUAGGGGUGAACCAAUCUUCAGCUCUCUAGGCUGAUCCUCUGUGCCAAAAUCAACAGUCUCAACGUCCCCUGCAGCAGGUGAAACUCUCUCAUCUAUGGGACCAGAGUCAUGAUCAAAAGAGUCCCUAUCCGAAUUGGGCUGUGCAAUCUCAUCAUCUAUAUCAAAUAUCUGUGUAAUGGGUGAGUGGGGUGCAGACGUAGAGAUACUAUCACAAGAGACAGGCGAAUACUCAAAAAUGCUCAAAUCCAUAAAUGAAGCAACAGAAACAUCGUCAGAGCGGGAGACAAAUCCCGAUAAAACAUCAAAAGAAAGAGAUGGGUCCACAAGGUCGGACGCUCCCUCAACUGGGCUAACAAUGCCCUCAAACAAACUACUAUCAUCCUCUGGAAGCUCUGGAACAGGAAGAGUCUGAGUCCCCUCAAAAACCUCAAUGGUAGAUACCCCAAACAUAUCAAAUGCUGAAACAGGCUGAAGCUGAACAAUGCCGGCAAUCUGGCUCACGGUCAUCAUGUCCAUCUCAUCACGGUACUCAUCAUGGGGAACAACUCCAUCAAUCACCUCAGUAUGAUCAACAAUCACCCCGUCACUCGUGAUCUCCUCUGGAAAGCAUAGAGACAACAUGCUAGCUCGAUCUGGAGACGUGGGAGUAAUCGUCAUAGGGAAAAAAGUGUCGGGAGCCCCAUCACUCAACUGUAGCUGGUGAAAUAGAUGUUGAAGAUCGGUCUCUCUAUCUGUAUGAACCACACUAUCAAUCUCCUCUAAACGAGGUCGAGUCUCUGAUCCUCUGAUAAAGUAGUCAGCCAAACUCAUCCUAUAGGGUCGAAUAGGAUAAUCAAAUGGUGUGUGGGAUAAACGGGCUCUCACCCUCUCCUUGCGCAGCCGCGCCAUGUGACGGUAAUCGGCCUCAGUAGGGAUGAAUCCAAGUCCAAAUGUCGUAUCAUGGUCAAUGGCAGCUAUGAACUCGCUCGGUCCCUGCUGACGUCGUCCUAACCCCAUGCCAGGUAGAAAGGUCAUACCCCUCAUCAUAUCAAGAACCACUGUACUACUGUGCUGAUCAAACGACAUAGCCACAAAGUCUCUACAACAAUCCUCAAUCUCGAGAGUCUGUACCUCAUCAAAAGUAAACCCAGUCAGAAGUAGGUCGUCCUCACUGUGACUGAUCUGAAGUACUGGCUCAGAAGACGCAAAUAUAUCCCUGGUAGAGCGCACUGUGAUGACCUGCCCAUCAUGAAUAAACUUCACCUUCUGAUGAAGGGAAGAAGGAAUAGCUCCAGCUACAUGAAUCCAUGGUCGGCCUAGUAGCAGGUUAAAGGAUGCAGGAAUCCUCAAAACCUGGAACAAAGUGGAAAAUGUGGCUGGACCAAUCUGCAAAUCGAUCAUCAAGGUACCCAUAACCUCUCUCUUGGUGCUAUCAUACGCUCUGACUGUCUGAGUAGAAGGACCAAAAUCUGAAGGCGCGAAACCAAGGGCUAUAGCAGUGGCUAAAGGGCAAACAUUCAGGGCUGAGCCGUUGUCCAGUAGGACAGACGGGACUCUACGGCCUGAACAUCCAACUGUGAUGUAUAGAGGGCGCACGUGGUCUAAACCAUCAGGUGGCAAGUCAUCAUCUGAAAAUACAAUGCAAGUGGCCCUGCCAGCCGUCAUCAUAUGAAUCAAUCCCUCUGGAGUGGUGGUAGUCUCUACUCUGAUCUGACUCAAGGCUCGAAUCAAAGCAUCUCUAUGAGUACUGGAUGAUGCUAGUAAACUCCAGAUGGAAAUGCGAGCCUGAGUGCUCUGUAGCUGCCUCAAAACCUCAUCAUCAUCUCUCCUAACCUCCUCAUGAGAGGCUGUACCCUCAAAUGGUCUGACUACUGGUGGUGGUGGCUGAGCUAUCCUCCCACUACGAGUCACAAUCUGUAUCUCUCUCCCCUCCGAAUCAUCAUCCUCUGGCCAUAAGGUGAAAUGAACAAAAGUAUCCUGACAUCCGAUAACUAAGGGUGUAGGAUGAGUCAACUGGAAUGGUGCCUCGUCCGGGAUCAAACUGAAUGGUGCAGGAGUCUGAGGGACCAAUGAAACCCCAUCAAUCUCAUAGCUGUCAUGCAAAACAAUCGGCUCGGGUAAUCCAUCAUCCCAACUCAACAUGUGUAUACUGUCAUCCUCUAUAAGGUCCAUGUGAUGAAUAUCUCCUGAAGAUGGAUGCACUGCGUGUGUAGAAUGAGCAGGAAGAGGGUUAGUGGUCACACUUGGCUGCCCCAAGUUGACCAAACCCUGAUCUAUCAAAUCCUGAAUAGCAUGUCUCAAAGCAGUGCAAUGGUCCGUGUCAUGCCCUGGUCCCUGAUGGUAGGAACAAUGUAAGUCCAUCCUAAAGCGAGGUGGUAUGGGUUGGGGUAAAGGCCUGGAUGCUAAUGGAAUCAAUAAUCCACCCUCUGCGAGCUUCUGAAAAGCUCGACUCAAAGGCAUACCCAACUGAGCAAACUGACGUGGUGGCCUCUGCACAUAAGUAGUGGUCUGUGGAGCUCGGGGUCGAGUAUAUGGGGCAGGAGGCCUCUCUGCGACGUGUGCAGCAAAAACAGGCUGUGAGUCUGGAUGCAGAUAAGUAGGAGUCAUGGGUCUGGAAGGAGCGGGUGGUCUGUAAUGCGCAUGAGGUGAAGGUGGAUAGUAGUACCCAGGAGUCUGCCCAACUGUCUGAUAGUGUCUAGAAGGUCUCAUCCCUACUGAACUGAUAGCACCAACAUCUCCUGAUCUCUGUCCUCCUGAAGGCCUCUUCCCCUUAGAAUCAGUAGGGGAAGGCUCAGACCAUAAUCCUCUAGCAAUGCCCUCCUCUAUACCGUACAAAGCCUGUACCAAAGAUCCAAAAUCCGUAUGGGGAAAUCCCAUCAAGUGUCUAGCAAAUCUAGGCUGCAAGCUCCUCAUGAUCAUGCUAAUCUGAUCCUUCUCUGAAGGACGGUCUAUAAUCUGUGAAAUCUUCUCCCUCCAGCGGGAGAUAAAUGAAGUGACUGACUCCUCCGGCCUCUGUCUCAAAGCCUCCAACUCUCUCCUCGAAACAUCAAUGACAGUGUUAAAUGCAAACUGUCUCAAAAACUCCUGGGCCAAGUCGUCCCAAGUCCUACGGCGUGAUACCUCCAAUGAAGCGAACCAACGCUGUGCAGCUCCACUCAGGGACAUAGGGAAAAGCAUAACCAUCUGGGCCUCAUCCAGUCCAUGGGCCCUCAUAACAGUACUAUAGAGUCUCAAAUGGAUGCGAGGGCAUCCUAUGCCUGUGUAUCUCUCAAUCUCAGGCAUCCUGAACUUGGCCGGUAGACUGGCCACUGGUGCUCCAUCAAAAUCCUCCCAAGUAAUAGCUCCCUCUGAAGUCCUCAUCUGUCUCAACUUCUGCUCAAGUUUAUCCAUACGAGCAUGUGGGUCCUCUGAAGCCGGGAUAGGCGAUGUGAUAGGAGGUGGGGCAACCUCGAUCUGACUAUGCAGAGUGAAAGGUAUAGCCUGUGGUACUGACUGACUAGGCAGAGGUGGUGGCGGUACUGUGGUAUCGAACUGGGUACUCUCCUGAACUGGGACCUGCUGGGUCUGCUGUCCAUCUAUCCUCUGACCAAGGUUAGCUAUAGCCUCCUGGAUAGAAGCCAUGGCUGCGGCAAACUGGUCAACGGUAACUACCUGUGAGUCCAUAUCCCUCUGAUCUGAUCUCUGAUCUGACUGGUCUGAUACUCUGCUCAAUCUACCUCCAACUCUAAUCCACAAAGGUGAAUCCAGAUCGGUCACGGUAAACCCUCCUACAAAUAUGGAAACACUGAAUAAGGUGCAACUCGAAGGUGACUCUGUAUGAAUCAAAGGCGUUGAAGCAAAGCCCAAAUAUACUCAAUCUGAUACCCUCUUCUGAUUACACCAAAAGGAGACUAAGGAAGGGAUAACCAAUUCCAAUUGUGACCAAGGCAGCUCUGAAGGUCCACAGAUGCACCCACGUGUAGGAAUGAAAUCUUAAUUGGGUCUAGGCUAACCUACAAGGUUAAGGUGGCUCUAUAAGAUAAAAUGGGCGGGUCAAAGGAUCCCUAGCAGAAGCGAUCGUACCCUCCGGCGGUACGCAACCCUCUGCACGCCUCCAAGGAGACGGGGUGCUUCCAUGCAAGGUGGUCAUCACCUCCACACAUGCACUUCCUCGCGUUCCCAGGGGGUUUCUUAAUGGUGAAGGCUCUCCCAUCUCUCAACACUCAGGGAUAAUCUAAAGUGCACAAUGAAGGAUGUGGGUGCAUCCGAAAAACCUAAGAUCUAAAGUGAGAUAGUGAAUGAAGACAAGCAAUCAUACGAACAUGCAAGAGAAAGGGUUGUCAUGCAACAAGCAGCCAUGCGUAGCAGAUAAAUAUCAAACAAUCAAAGUCCUAUCUAGCAUAUGUGAGAGUGAAUCAUGCUAAGUGAGCAAAACAAUCAAGUGAUCAUCCAAGGCAAUCAAACAUAUUAAGAUAGCAAACCAAACAAGCAAGCAAAUCAAAUCACCUUGCCUAAAAAAAGAGGUACCCACUAAUCGACCAAUUAAACGCCACAUUUUCCUUAAAUAGUGUUCAAGCUUGAUCCUCAAAAUCCCCAGUGGAGUCGCCAAUUUGUGGACCCGCAUUUUUCACAUGCGUCCCCACUCGAUCGGCGAGACUCGCUUUUUAUUUGUGAAAAAUUAAUUUUAAAAAAAAGUUGGAGUCGCCACUUAUUUUAUUUUUAUUUUUUAAGGGAAAAUAAAACAAGAAAUAAAACCCUAAAAAAAAUGACUCCAUAAUUUUUGGAAAAGCGUGUCUUUGAAAACCCAAGUCUUGGUCCGGGGAUCAGGUUACUUAUUGGGAAGGUACCUCUAAGAGGUAGCACCCUUCUAAGCCCUAAAAAAGUCUCUACUAAUUAAGUUAAGGGGAAUAUGGCAAUUAAUCGGUUAAUUAUGGAUACUAAGUAGGCUAGGUGAUUUCAAAAGAUUUGCAUGCUAAACAAGAUCAAAUUGCCAUAAAAGAAAGGUUAGGAUGCGUACCUGGACCGCUUCUCAAGCGCUAUCAUAAAACAUCAGAGUUAGUAUAGAAGUAUAACACACAACAUGUAUUUAAUCAUAGUGAAUCAAGCAUACAUCUAAACACCUAAGGAUCAUCAAACAUAUGCAUACUUCAUAGUGACACGAUUGUUUACAAAAUUUAGAAAGUAGGCGAUAGGGGGGGGCGUACCUGGAUAGCAUAAAUAACUUACAAUGCGCUCCCAGAAGACAUGAGGGAUUAGAUAAUAAUAAAAUAAAGAAACCCUAGCAUGCUUGUUAUCUAAUUAGCAUAACAAAAAUUAUCAAAGUAUAUGAAAACAUUAAUUAUCACACACAUCUUAUAUACAAUUCCUAAAAAAAGAUAGACAUAAUUUCAACGAGUGACAAAAAUGGCAACAAAAAUAAUUUUUGAAAAGAUUUUCUUAUGUAGGGGUUUCACCAAUUCCCCAAUUGAUAUACACGAAUUUAGCCCAGAAUCAUCCCAUUAUUUGGGACCACAAGCUUUGAUUCGUGUUUUUGUUCAAAACCAAAAUUUUUGUUGAAAACCGAGAAGGAUGCAAACCGAACAAGAUAUGGUUGCAUAUUAUUUUUAAAUAAUAAAAAAAAAAAGAGAUUUUGAUCCUGAGGACUCUAAAUGAGUUUUUGAAAUAGAUUUUUAAAAUGAUUUUUUUGAGAAAAGUAUUUUAUUUUAAAAUAAAAGGAAUUAAUUUGGAAAAAAUAAAAUAUAAGAAAUAAAAUACCCAACAAAACAAAAAUGAAACCUCAAAGUAAAAUUUUUUUAGUAAUUAACAAAAGUGAUAAUGGUGAUGGUAGAGGCCAAUCUUUAUGAUUUUCCAAUGGCCUUUGAACAAAUUUAAUAAAUAUUCACCAAAGCAACAAACCAAACGACUUUAGAUCAAAUAAAACUAACGAAAUAUUAAUCGAGAAUUUAUUAGGAUCAAUCAAGCACAUAAAUUGAGGUAAACAAUUAAGAACUAAUUUAAAAUCAACCAAACACCUAAACAUGUAAUUAUAAUAAUGUGAAUAUAGUAACACAAGCACAUAGAAUUCUAAAACAUAUUAACUAAUCAACAACUAGACAUUAAUAACUUCCAAAACAAAAAAACAAAACUAAGUAACGAGGGAUUAAGCAAAAUGAUAACCAAAAUUAAAAAAAAAAGGACACAUCAACUAAAUAGAAAAGCUAAAUUUAACUAUUUUUAAUACAUGAGUAUAAUAACAUGGGAUAAAACUAAUUAACUAAAAUUUUGAAAAACUAUAAACUAGGACAAGAUUAGUCAAAAAUCAAAAUUAACAAACUUUUUUAAAACAUGAGCAUCGAUUAAACUAAUCAACUAAAACUCUAAAAAACACACGUACUAAAAUUAGGUCAAUCAAGAAUUAAAAUUAACAAACUUACAACAUGAGAAAAAUAACUUUUAAAUUAAAUAUCUAAAACUCUAAAAAACACACAAAAUAAAAUUGGAUCAAUCGAGAAUUAAAACGAACAAGCUCAGAACGUGGAUAUAAUGACAUGAGAAAGUAAUAGACUCAUCAACUAAAAAUCUAAAACACAUAAACUAAAUAGGGUCAAUCAAAGACUAAAGUUAACAAUUUUAAACAUGGAAUUAAUCACAUAGGUUCAAUAGGAAUAAUAAACUAAAAUUCUAAAAACACAUAAGCUAGAUAAGAUCAAUCAAAACUAAAGUUAAAAAAUUAAAACAUGGAUUUAAUCAAGUGGUUCAAUAGGAAUAAUAAACUAUAAUUCUAAAAACAUAAGCUAGAUAAGAUCAAUCAAAACUAAAGUUAAAAAAAAUUAAAACAUGGAUUUAAUCAAGUGGUUCAAUAGGAAUAAUAAACUAUAAUCCUAAAAACAUAACAACCUAGAAAAAUCAAAACUUGGAAUCAAGACAAUGAAUCAAAAUCAAACUAACUACAUUCUAACCUUUUCAUCCGAUUAAAAAAUCAAAAUUAAUACAUAAAAACUCUACCCUUCAAUCCAAUAAAAAAAUUAAAACUAAAAUCCUUAGAAAUUCUAACUUACCUUCUCUAGGAUUCCUCUAUGGUGGUGCAGCUGCUCCUCUCUUUCUUGCCCGGCCUCUCUUUGUUCCCUCGAAAAAAUGUCUCCGUGUUCUCUCAAAAAAUUGCUUUUUUACGUGGAUCGCUCUAAAAAAAAUCUGUCCCUCUACCUAUAUGGCAGCCUUACCUUUUAAAAUACACAUGUGAUGGUCUCUUCAAUACGGAAAGCAUGACUGCCCAUAUGGAAUCAUGAUUUUGUCCCCCAAAAAGAAGAAAAAAAUCUCAUGCAACUUGGAUAUUUCCUCAUUAAAAAUUCCGUUUUCCAUAAAUUCUCCAAUACAUACCCAUAAAGCAUUUUGUUCCGAGAAUCACGAUUUCUCCAUCUCCUUGCCGACAACCCCGCUUUGUAUGGAAUAUUUUGUUUCUUUUUUUUAAUGCAUUUGGACAUAUGGAAAGUGCAUUGCAUGGUGGCUAACUUGAGAUUCUCAAGGAUGCAGCCGCAUGUUGUGAUAGUCACCGGAAUGGGUGCUCCAACUGGCAUGGAUUGAAACCCUCCCCAUAAUGAGUAGACUUCAUAUUUUCUUCUAUCAUUUUGAUGUUUUCCGCUUUGCAAACAUGGUUCUAAAGGCUCUGUAUAAGUCAGACGUUGCAAUAUUGAAUUAAGAAAACAGGUAUUACCCAGAUUUUCCAAACCAACACCAAUUGUUCUACUUGUGAUCCCAAUACCGAGCUCCAGAUCCAACCCGUUCUUCAUAUGAUUAGACCCAUCUUGUUUUUUUUUUUCUACUCGAAGCCGCCAAACCAGUAUUGUGCCCGGGUCGCUUUGCAUCUGUGGUGGGGUUCAGAGUCUCAAGGCUAAAACCUCCGUCUCCGUCUCGAUAAUCCAUUCAUCGUCGUCAUCACUGUUCUCAUUGCUUCUCUAUUUCUCUCCAUGUGUUCCAAUCUUCUCUCACCAAAUCAAACAACACUGCUAAUUCAUUAAAAUACUAAUUAAACUUCUGCCUCCAAUCACCUCCUCACCGCGACUCCACCUUGUUUUCGUCCACAACAAUCAGGAAAAAAUCCAGAUUCCGGCGACUCUCUGGUGAAGUCCUCUCUCAACCUUUCUGAAAAUUCCCCAAGAUCUUCUGCCCCGUUCUUUAUCUCUCAAACAACCAUCUUUACCAGAAUUUCUCCACCUCUAUUUUUCAGAAGACUUCCCUCCUUACUCUCUACUUGGACUUCUUUUUCUGCUCUCUGUUUUCUCCAUUCUUCACGUCUUCUUCCCCUAUUUUUCUUUUUCCCUUUCUCCACCCAAUUCUCUCUCUUCCUUGCUUUCUGCUCAGUUAUUCUUCCACUUCUUUUGUUUCAGCAAAAUAAUAUAUCCCCUUGCUGUAGCGCCUGUGUAGAAUGCAAGCUGCUCGGUGGCAAAACCCAAACGCUCGGCUAACGGGGUAAUACCUAAUAAGCUGAAGAAGAAGACCCAUCCAUGCUUUCUAGUAAGAUAAUGUAGCAAAAUUGCUAAGGGACCGAAAGGUAGCAACAUAUUUAUCUUCGCUUUAAUCAAGACAAUGUAAACACUUCUUAGAGGAGCAGUCCUCAUUUUUUUAAAGAUCCAUGAGGUGGAGAGAGCUGCAUGAGACCCAAUAUGAGAUGUCUCGAAGUCAAAAGAAUGAACUUUUCUUGUGCCUUGUGAUGUGCUAUAAGGGAUCUCCGCAUCUGAUUCAAGGUCUAUCUUCUCCUCAAUGGAACCCAUCUCCCUCUGCGUGUCCUUGGCUUUGUUAUCUUUGUUGGUAAGGAUGAUCCUUCUUUAAAAUUCCUCUCCCCAUGCAAAAUAGAAUAAUAGUAUAAAAAAAAUAAAAAUAAAAAAUUAAAAGAAAAUUAAAGAAACUAAUGAAAUUAGUAAUAAAAUAGAAUAUCAUUUCAAAGAAAAAGCAAAGGAAUAAGGAGAGCUUAGAUAAUAUCAUUUCCUCGUUCGAUAAUAGGGUCACAUGCGUAUUUAAAGUAUAAACAAUUCAAUCAAUUUUUUAUUAAGUAAAUAAAUAAAUAAAAUAAAAAUAAAUAAAAAUAAAAAUAAAGAAUAAAGACAAUUAAAUACAUGAAUAAAUAAAUAAUAAAAAGUAAAAGUAAAAAAUGAAUAGACAAAAUAAGUGUAAUUAUCAAAUACAUGCCAUAAUAAUAAUAUUAUUAUAUAUAUAUAUAUAUAUAUAUAAGAAAUAAUAAUAAUAAAAUGUUGAGCCUCAAUGAAAUGUCUAAAUGGACCUAUUCUGAAAAAGGUGUCUAAGUGACCCAAGUGACGUGUGUAAAUAAGGAGAUGUCUCGGUGCGAGUCAAGGUGAAUCUAGGUGGGCCUAGGGUGCCUAAAUGGGCUUAAGUGCCUAAGUGGGCCCAGGGUGCCUAAGUGGACCUAAGAUGGUGCUUAAUGGGCCAAGUGAAUCUCAAAACUAUCCUAGAAAUGAAUGAAAAACCUAAUUCUAAAUUAGGGCUGCCAAAGGUCACAAUAAAGGGUCAGAUAGUCCCUCAACCAAAAUCUCCGAGGUGACUCAGAAAAAGGUAAGUGGUACGAGUAGUAAUGGGCCACCCUGGAACUACCGUGGAGCACUGGAAGUGGAUUUAAAGACAUGUGCUAAAGGGACAAAAUUGAGGGUCUACAGUGGGACUUUACUUGUAAUCAGAACAGGACUCUACUUAUAAGUGGAACAUGAUUCUACUUGUAAGCAGAACGGGACUUUACUAGUACAAUCUCAAUGGAACUCUUCCCAAAGAUAAAAGACUAAGUCAAAUGGAAUAAAAAUUAAAAUAAAAAUAAUAAUAAAAUAAAAAAAAAUAUUUUGAAUUUUGUAAAAAUUAGCCGAAUUCACUAAAACACUUUUUUAGAUUUACACUUUUCCUACAUAUAUCUAUCCCCUAAAGGGUACUUAUCCUUGUACAUGGUGGAAUGAUAAUUCAUAAUUUCACUCAAUUCUCAUUCAAAUUUUUUUUCAAGUCUGUUGUCAAAUGAGCUAUCACAUUUCCAUUGUCAACAUCUAAAACAAAAUCUCAUUUUAGGUAUCAAUGGGGUUAGAUAGGCACCAGUGGACACAAUCAGCUAUGGUCGCUUAUUCUCAUGCGGCUAAUGCCUAUAAUGGUUUGGAUGCCCAUCUGGCCUCACCACCAUUGCCUCAGUAGUAUCCAACAAUCUAAAUUUUAAGCCCCUCUUCCUCUCUAACCUUGUUGUUGCCUUCAACUCCUUCCAUCUUCAUUCAUUACUUUACUGGAAACUGGCUUUAGUCCUCAUGCAAUUCCCUCCCCAUUAUUAAAAUGUGCCAGUGACAAUGUCUUAAAAAAUGCUACUCCCUUGAAGUUUUUUAGCCUAAAAAAGGUUCUAAAUGUUGUCUAAAAAGCCUUUCUGUAUCCGCAGAACAUUGUAAGGUUCACGAUGUUCUUUUCUAUUUUUUUUUAUUUUUUUUUUAUUUUUUAUGGCAUACAUGGCACCCAAAAAUGUCACCAUUUUCAUAGAACACUCCCAAAAAGCCAAGUUCCAGUUGAGUCGAUCACAUAGCUAAAUGUCUCGAUUUGACUCAUCCAAGCUUCAUGUGCCUCAUCAAGGUACACAUUCACGAGGCGGUUGAAGGUCAGUCCAUUGAGCUUUGCAUCAAUGGCUUUAACCAAGUCAGGAGACCAGGAGGAUUCUAAGUUGAAUUUGUACUCAUUAUAUAGAUGAUGUUUGAAUUUUGGAUCUUUUCCAUAUGCAACAUCUGUAGAUUCUUGUCCCGCCUCAGAUUCUAGGCAACCCAUAAUUCGAAUUGUGAUUCCAGGUCAAAGGUUUGACCCUAAGGGUUACACCUAUCCACGUAGACAAUCAAUCCUAAUAACCUCAUUUUUUUUUCUCAACAAAACAAUGUCUAACCCCAAAUAAAUUUAUUAAGCUAAGACUUACUAUAUCAUAUUAUUUUAUUUCAUUUUAUUUAUCUCCAAAACCAACCAUCACACUAUCACCUAUUCCCAAGUAUAAUAAAUUCGUCAACCCACUCACCACCCAAGGUGAUAACCUAAAUAUUUACAAUAAUCUCUAAGUCAAAAUAUUUCCAAAAAAAGGUUUUACAAAUUAACAAAAUAUAAUUUAAGUUACAAAAGUUCAAAUAACUCGAAUUAGUAUAUGCCAAAAGGUAAUAUAACUGAAAAACAAUCAUUAUUAUGGUUCUUUUACUUUUUAGGGCUUUUUGGAACACUUCCUGUUCUUCAUGUAGUUCCUCAAAAACUAUAUUUGCAUCUAAAAAUUUUAGAAAAUAAAAGGGUUAGAAUUUUCACAUUACUCAGUAAAAUGUUUUUACACCCAAGUAGGUUUGAGAUUCUAGGUCAAUAGAACAUAAUCAUAUCACAAAAAUAUAAUAGUACAUCUACAUUGCAUAUCUGAAAUGAAAUUUCAACCAUACAAAUUUAAAUCAAUCAAAAUUAUCACUUUUCUUAUUCAAUCAUGUGUAUAACAUAUCAAACAAUUCUAAAUUUACAAAAUAUAUAAGUCAUUUUAGUCUUGAAUAAUAUAUUCAAUCAUACAAUUAAUGUCAAUCCAUUAAAUAAUACAAUUCCUUAUUUCAAAUGCAAACAUGAUGUGGAUGUUUACACACAAUGCAUUGUUUUUCUGAAGCUUUCACCAAAGGAUAUGCAUUUGUACCCAAAUACACUCCUCAUUCGGAGUCUUCUCGAGGUAAACUUUUGAGUCUUUUACCCUAAGGAUCUCACUCCCUUCUUAAUUCACCAUUUCUAAGGUAUUUUCAUUUCUUAUUUAUCUUUUCUUUUCAUUUUUAGCCUCUUUAGGGUUUUUUCAUUUUCAUUUCCAUUUCACUUUCUUCAAUUCUUCUUUUUCUUCACACAACCAUGUGCAUAUGAAGUGCAAUUAAAUCAUAUUUUAAUAUCCAUAAUUUUUCAAGACAUAAUUUUAUUUACUUCUAUUAUGUUUCCUAAUUUCCAACAAUCCACACAACGAUUUUUUUUUUUUUUUUUUUACCUUAAUUACCAUAAACAUCAAAGAAAAACUCACAAACAAGUUGUAUAUCAUCAAACAUAAUUUAAACCUUAGCCACAUAAAUUUUAUUUAUUCCUAAUAUGCUUAAUAAUUUCCAACAACCAACAUAACAAUUUCUCUUCAAUUAUAUCAUCCCAAAUAUCAACAAAAAAAUAAUUUAUACCCUAAUUUUUACUUAUUCCCAACAAUCUCAAUAAUAUAAAAUAAUCAUUUUAAACAUAUAUCUAUACUAAAAAUUUUCAACAAAUAAUUCAUAUAUAUAUAUAUAUAUAUAUAUAUAUAUAUAUAUAUAUAUAUAUAUAUAUAUAUAUAUCACCAAUAAUUUCUAUAAUUUCUAACAUGAAAACAAUAAGAAAAAUAUAUCAACCAUUAUUCGAAUAAAAUUAUUUCACAACCAAAACAAUCCAGUAAAUUCUAUCACAGGAACAACAACUAAAUACCAACAAUUCUAACAUUUUGACCUUGUAUUAAACUUUCAUUCACUUCUCAUUUAACAUUUUCAAAACAAAACCAAAUCAUUUUACAUGUUUAGGGUUUCCAAAAACAAUCUAAAUGAAAACUAUAUGACGAUCUACUACAACUCAACAACUCACCCGUUUCUAUGAAGGUUUUUGAAAGUAAAUAAAAGCAAAACAAAAAGCCCAAAAAAAGUCGACAGAAAAAUUUUAGGAAAACACACCCCUACUUGUACAGUAGAAUCCAAUUUUCGAAUCGAGAAUUCGACUCCACACAAGUGUUCACCACGUUGAAGACUAUCACUUUUUGAGAUUUCGUCACAAUCGGAGGUCGUUUCAUCGUCAGAGGCACGUGUACGACUACAUCUCCCAUUUUUCUUUCUUUCUUUCAUUUCAUUUUUUUUUCUUUUUAAGACUCCCAUGCCCAACGACUUCAUUUUACACACACACACACACACACACACACACACACACACAUAUAUAUAUAUAUAUAUAUAUAUAUAUAUAUCAAUCCCUGAUUUCCUAACUUGUGAAUUUUUGCAGGAUUCACAGGAUCAUGACCCCUAAAAAGGAAAAACAACCUUUUAAGCCCAUUAAUAAAUCCUAAGAACCUAAGAAAACCCUUUCAGUUAUUUCACAAAAAUUCAUGUCGUUAUACUAUGAGCCUUUUGAUGUUGUAGGUUCUUAAAGCAUGUUCCCAGAUUUACCAUCUUCAGAAGCCUUUAAGAUUUCCUCAUCCCCUAACAAGGAUAAUGAAGCAAGUUCAAGUUCGUCUCUAAGCAUGUGAAGUUACAAUUUGAGAGAAAUGUUAUCUUCCCUUAGGAUGGAUGUUUGACUAUUGAUCCAAGAAAGGGCUAAAGCCAUGACAAAAGAUAAACAAGUUUUUAUAUCUUCUAAUCUUCAAGACCUUCAUUUACAUGUCUCAGCUAUCCCAAGACUUCAUGUUUUAGGUUUAAUUAAUCCAUUUUCAAAUUUCAUCAUUGUCUAUAUUGAUGAUGUUUUGAUAUAUUCUAUUUUUGUUGAAGAACAUUGGAAACAUCUCAAUAGGUUCAUCCAAACUGUCAAGGAAAAUGGUUUAAGCUUGUCUGCCUUUAAGAUUAAUUUGUUUCAAACUAAGAUAAGAUUCUUAGGUUAUCAUAUUUACCAAGAAACCAUAACCCCUACGCAAAGGUCAUUCCAAUUUGCUGAUAAGUUUCCAAAUGAGAUUAAGGAUAAGAAACAAUUACAAUAUUUCUUAGGAAGCCUUAAUUAUGUGUUAGAAUUCCUUAAGGACAUAAGCCAGUUAUGUGCCCAAUUAAGACAAAGACUUAAGAAGAACCUUGUUCCAUGAAAUGAACAACACACCAAGAUUGUUAAGACUGUUAAGUCUAGAGUUAAGACUUUACUAUGUCUAUCCUUAGCCAACCCUGAAGCCUUUAAGAUUGUUGAGACCGAUGCUUCAAACAUAGGUUAUUGUGGGAUCUUUAAGUAGAGAAAUGGUAACCAAGAAAAAUUGGUUAGGUUUACUUUAGGAACUUGGAAUAAUGCCCAACUCAAUUACAGUACCAUCAAAAAAGAGAUUUUAAGCAUUUCAAAAUUUAAGAUGAUCUUUUGAACUAAGAGUUUUUAUUAAGAGUUGAUUGUAAAUAAGCAUAAUUAGUUUUACAAAAAAAUGUUAAAAAUAUAGCUUCCAAGUAUAUUUUUGCAAGAUGAUAAGUUAUUUUAAGUAAUUUUGAUUUUCAAAUUGAGUAUAUUAAAGGAGAAAAUAACUCAAUCCCUGAUUUCCUAUCUCAUGAAUUUUUGUAGAAUCCAUGAGAUCAUGACCCCUGAAAAUGAAAAAUAACUUUUUAAGCCCAUUAAGAAAUCCCAAGAAUCUAAGUAAACCCUUUCAAUUAUUUCACAAAAAUUCAUGUCGUUAUAGUAUAAGCCUUUUGAUGUUGUAGGUUCUUGAAGCAUGUCCCCAAAUUUACCAUAUUCGGAAGCCUUUAAGAUUUUCUCAUCCCCUAACAAGGAUAAAAGAGCAAGUUCAAGUUUUUUACCUUCUGUGGAGGAUUCUUUUCCCACAAAGUUAUCUAUUUAUGAUGCUAACCCUGUUUACAAAGAAUUUUGGUAUUUCAAGAGUCUUUGUGACUUGCAAGAAAAAUUUAAGACUUUGGAAAGUAAACUGGAAAUGGUUGACUUUCUUAAGUCCUAACUCGCUGUCCUUCAAAAUCAAGCCUCUUUUUUCCUACUAGAAAAAUGUGAAAAUAAGUAGUCCACCCCACCAGUGGAUGAAUUAAAAUUGAGUGAGGAUGAGUGGAACAAUUUUAAGUUAAUAAUGUACUUUUAUAAGAGGGAAAUUUCAUAUUCCCUUAAGAUGGAUGUCCGACUAUUGAUCCAAGAAAGGGUUAGAGCCAUAGCGGAAGAUAAACAAGUUUUCAUAUUUUCUUAUCUUCAAGACCUUCAUUUGUAUAUCUUAGCUAUCCUAGGACUACAUGUUCUAGAUUUAAAUUUAGUCAAGGAUAUUGAAUUCGACGAUUCUAAGUUUUGUAGAAUUGUUAAGGACUUUCUUCUUUACCAACAAGGUCUUAAGCAACUGUUUUGCAAAUGCAAUAGAAAUUUGAUAAUCAGUCAUGUUUGUCUGAAUUUGCAGUAUUACAAACCAAUCUGCCUUCCAUGCAACCAGGAAGACUUGAUCUUAACUCCAGACUUGCUCUUGGACUAUGGAAUAGUUUAUCAGAUUGUCUGCUCUAACCCCAAUUAGACAUUAAGUUUUGGAAAGAAGUUGGCUCUUGCUCUUCAACAAGGCUUUAAAAUGAACAAGUUCUUUGAAGCAAUUAUCAUCAGUAAAGCUCUAACACAUGACCUCUCACCAAAAGGAACUCUGUUACCAUGUGAGAUUUAAAAGAAUCAUAGACAAAGGGAGAAAGGAAAAAAAAAUGUCUAGAGUUUCUUAUUAGGAUCAUUUAAAAAUUAAAGUAUGUACAAAGCAAAUAAAGUUUAAAUAGGUUUCCAAUCAAAAGAAAAUGACUAAUUUACUCUUACUCCUAAAAAGAAAUAUAAUAAUUUUAAAAUAGGAAAUAGAUGAGAACAACAAGAAGAUUAUAACAAGAUCUUUUCAUUUGAACCUUUCUUUGUAGGCUGCGGGGUACCUUAAUCGGAAUAUGUCAUAUUUAUUUCCUAGUUUUACACUGGCGAUGUUGGCUCCAAGACAGCCAAGGUGAAACAAAAUUGUUAAGGUAGAAAUUAAGGAAUCAUGGCUAGGAGAACUAUGGUGACAUGGAGGAGAAGUUUGACUGUGGGAUUCCGUAGUACCUUUUCCCCAAUGUGAAUCAAUACACAUGAAUUUUGAAUGAUACGAUAGGCCUUGAAAUGCUCUUAGAUUUCUUUCCUUCUUUGGGAAUUAAGUUAUAUCAUCGAGCCAUGCCCUUCCUUUUCCACAUGAAUUGAUCAAGUUCGUCUUGCACGUUGAAAUACACUUACAAGCACCCAGCUCAUACAUGUACGUGCCCUUCUCUAGUAAGGAUUGACCAUUUUUGUACUAAAAAAGAACAUGCUAACGUGCCCAUCUCCAACAUUUAUGUAAGGAUUGACCUUUCUGCAGUAGAAAUUAAAGAAUAUGCUAAAUGGCGUAAUGAUCCUCUCUCCGAACAAAAGUUGUUAGAAAAGUGUGAAUAAAAGAUAUUUAAAAAGUUGUGAUUUCUUCUUUAAUAUGUAAAUGGAAAUAAAAAAUUGGGUAAUGCAUAUGAUAGUAUGGUUCAAAGUCGUUGGUGUCACUUAAUAUGGUAAUUCUCGAGAUCCACUUACCUCGAUCUUGCAUCUAUUUAAUAUGCUAGUUAAAAGAUUUUAAAAAUAUUCUAAAAUACUAAAAAUAAUUUUAAAAAAAAAUUUUGAAUACUAGUAUGUAACAUAUGAUAUGAUUGAUGACGAGAAUCAAACAAAAUAGGUAUUUAAAAACUUAAAAAGUAGAGAUGACCCCAUGAAUAAGGCACAUAGAUCGGACCCACAACACAUGAAUUAUGGCACCCAAAUGACCCUAUGCUAUUAUUCUUGUUUGGCUGCGACGAGAGAGUGCGGGCCACUAGUGGCGUGAUGGUUCUAUCUUAGCAGGAAAUGAUAAGAUAAAAAAGGCCUCGAGUAGUGCUAACUCUAAAGAGAAAAACGUCUCACAUGGAACAAUGUUUCUAAAAGUUCAGGCAUCCAUGUGUACUCAUCGUGCCUCCCAAUUGUCUUAUGCCACCUGUCAUUAAGUGACCCCUGACGUGGCUUCAGAGCUAAGUUUAUGAUGGUUGUCAGCUGGACUCACUUUCUAGUCAACCCUCCUAGAAGAAACGUUAAAAAUUGUUUUCUGUUAAAAGAAAAAGAAAAAUAUGUAAAAAGUUGAUUAAGUCACGUCAACUUUUUACACCAUUCAAUUGCUUUAUAGUAUUAUGAAAUUUAAAACUUGGUCGUUGGGGGGUCUUUUCUGUUAAUUUAAAACUUCGUAGGUAAGAGUUGGUUUCUUUCAGUGGCUUAAUCAUCAAUUUGCUGAACACUCGAAACUGGCUCAAUGAUUUAAAUUUGUCCAAUCAUCCUUCAAUUAUGAAGGCAGCCACUUUCUGCUUUGGAAAAAGCCAAAGGCCAGUUUGGCUGUGUACAAGUUCAAAUACUAGAUGAGAAGCCAAAUUCUUACUAUAUUUUUAAUUAAGAUCAUAAAUAAUAUUCACUCAUAUAUACCACCACAGCAUUUGACAAGAAAAGGAAAAAAAAUCAGAGAUCCGAUGAAUCACAGACCCUAAUUAAAAGACACCAAUUACUAAAGCCUUGAAAAUAAAAAAUGAACUAAAAUAAAUAAACCUAUUGGGCUCUCAUCCUUUUCACCUUGGAAUGAAGCUUUUCCUCAUAUUUUCUAGUGCCCUCCAUCUUCAGCAUCUCGAGCAAGAAAUCACUCCAUGUGUCAAUGGGGCCCGGUAGACACCAGUGGACACAGUCAUUAUACAAUGUCACAUUAGCGUUUGGCCAGUGUCCGUAUCUACUAGGAUGCCCAUCUGGUCUCAACCACAUAGCCUGUGUCGUGUCAAGCAACCUAAACUUCAACCCCCUCUUCAACGCUACCCUUUCUGCAGCCCUAUACUCCUCUAUCUGGGUCAUGUACAGCUCCAAAUUUGGCCCCUCCAUCGUACUCUCAUUACUCAUAAAAGGCCUCGUCCUCACACAGUUGCCUCCCUUGUUCCAUAACCCAUUUUCAAAGUGUGCAGGCGAAAAGGUUCGAAGAAUCGUCAUGCCCUUGAAGUUUUUGUUGCUGUUAAUGGCUUUGAACACUGUUCUGAAAGCCUUUCGAUAGCCGUAGUAAACUGUGAGGUCGGUGACAUUUUCUUGGAGGCAGUAGUAGCAGCCGGAUACCCGGCGGUUCUCGUAGAACAUGGUUGGACGGUAGAACCAUUGGCCAGCAGAGAUGAUAAGGUAGUCAAAUUCCUCCAUCUGAUUUGUCCAUGCCUCAUCCAACUCAUCAAGAUAGAGGUUGAAGAGACCGGUCUGGGUUGGACCACCUGGGUCUGCUAAUUUGGUUUUUAUCAGAAAGGGUGUCCAGAAACUGGCCAUGGUGAAGUUGUAGUCCGUGUACCUCCACCUUUUGAAAUUUUCGUCUGUUGUGUAUGAAACAUCAAUGGGGUAUACUACCUGAACCAGCAAGGAAAAUGUAGUACUGUAAGAAAGGAAAAUUACCCAAGAUUGAAAGAUAUUAUAAUAUUCACACUCAUGGACAGUCACGGACCCAGUACCAAAACGACAUGAAGUUUUCUUUUGAAGGUGUAACUUUACUUUAUUGCAUCUCAGAAAAGAAAAAAAGUUGAAAAAGGAACAUCUUUUUUUCUGUGUAAAAGAACACAUACAGAUCAAUUAUUUCUUAUAUUCCUGUACAAGGAAGAUAAAAUAUCACACUCUCUCUGUUGGGUGUCCCACCUCAACGUCAGUGAUAUUAUCUUUAAAUAAAUAUAAUGAGCGCAUAGUGGUUGGGGGGUUUCAGCCACCAAAUCUGUGUAAGGAGGACAAUUGCUUUUGAUAAGGAUUUAGAAAAAGGAGCAGAUAAAAAAGGAGGGGGCCAUGUUAUUGCUAGCUAAGCUUAGAUUCCCUAAAGCUUGUCGUGAAGUUCAAUGCAGAUAUACGUGAGUGAAGGAGGUAGCCCGGAAAGGAGCAAUCAUACCUCAACUAACUUGACUUUUCUGCAAAAAUAGUCGAAUUUUCAAAAGAACAAUCUGACAAAACAUAAGCUGGCAAAACGUCUACUUUCAAUUUUGGGCUGGGUCUUCCUUCGUUAUCAAAAACAUUGUGUGUGUGUUUGUGUUUGUGUGUGGGCUUCCCCCUUCUUUUGUUACAAAUUCUACUAUCAUAUGAUGGCAUCCGGCUGUCCUACACCAAAUGUGUGCAUACCAUAUCAAGCCUGUCCAAAACUAAAUCAGUGCAGAUGAUGGAAAACAUCAUCACUUCUACUAUGAACCACAUAGAUGUUGAUUGGUGACCCCCUUUCAAUUUUCAUCCUCUACCGUUACUUUAUCAAACUUCUUAAGGUGUCAGAAAAUCAAACAAUAUUCAAUUGGUGCAAAUAAAAUGUGAAGCACAUCUUCACAAGAAUUAAAAAUUCCACCGGGUAAAUCAUAGGUUUCGCCGCCAUGCCCCCUUUUAAAAAGAAUGAUAAUAAUAAUUUUUUGGGUUAUUGUUAAAAAUAAUAUUAUGAAAAGAAGGGGACUUAAUUUAACCCAAAAAAGAAAGAGUCAGAACAAACUUUCACUCUUCCACAUGUGGUACGCCACCUACUUUACUCUAAUAAAAAUAAGUUAGCCAUCGUUUUCAGAUUCAGAACUGACGACUAGGCUUUUAUUAAAUUAUUUAAGGAAGAGUCUGUCGGCUUGCGUAAUACAAACUCCAUAAUAAAAAUGGUUUUGAAAAUUUGAAUUUCAAACAAAUUCUUUUGUAAAAAGGAUGUAAGUAUUAUUUGUAUGCAUGCUGCUGCAUGGAAAAUUCAAAUGGCUCCAAUUAUUACUUGCCAUGUGAGAUUCUACGUGGCAAGCCUAUGCCACCCCAACUGAAAAUUCUUAUGUUUGAAAGGCAAAUAACUCAUUAGCACAGUAAUGGCAAGGUAUUGUAUUAGGUGAUGAUGAAAGAUUUUACCUAAACCUUGAAUUUUGUGGUUAACUAAUCUUGGCUUGACCAAAUCAAUUUAAACUGGAAAUGGGGGAGAGAGUAGUUGAUUAAGGAUCAAAACCUAUAAAAUAUGGGACAUAGUUUAAAAUAGUGAUUUUAAAAAAUAAAAAUAAAAAGCAUGACCAAGUAAUUUUGAGAUAGUAAAAUUAUAUGAAUAAAGAUAAUGUUUGAAAGCGCAGAAGGGCAUACCCUGGAUAAGAGGCACAUCAAGGACUGCAUAUGGUUUCUGGCCACAGAAUCCCCAACAAAGGCCAAGGUCUUAUCUCUCAUGAGUUCUAGGAACUGGGCUGGGUUGAAGAUGGGUAGCUCGCACCCAUCUGGUUUCCAUCUCCAUUUCAUGAAGUCCAGGUCUGGCCUUCCGUAUUUCAUGCAGUUUUGAUGCUCGUGGAUCGCCCAACAGGUCGUGUUGGUGUAGUAUGGCGCCUUGGGAUUCCGAAUCCAUUCUCCAGAGAAUAUGUCGCACUUCUUCACUGUUGGUUCUUCUACCCUUAUGGGGUCAUCCUCCAAUGGAGUAUUGACAUGUGAAGAGGAUGGUUGACUUGAAAAAGAAGAAGAAGAAGGGGAAGAGGAGGAAGAAGAAGAAGAAAUAUUUUUCAAAAGAAAUAAAGGGUACCCUAGCAAAGGGUAGUAGAGUGGGAUAAUUGUGAGGAGAACCAGGGCUAGUGUUACCAGAAGCACCACCUUUGGAGUCUUCUGUAGGGUGUGGCAUUUCCCAUAUGGAAGAAUGUCACUCCCUUGGAGCUUCAUUGGAGAGAUGGAC
rnacentral:lncRNA from 1 species